rnacentral:lncRNA from 1 species
AUGAAGUUAACAUAUAGUGUUGUGAGGUGUGUGGAUCUUUUAAGACCUAACCUGGUCACGGGUGUUCUUUCAAUAGCUACGGGUACUGAAGGGGAUGGGGUGUGAUUUUUGCUUCAAACGCAUAUGGUCUUGAAAACUUGAUUGCAUGUCCUAAGGUCAUGUUAAGACCUUGCCUAGUUAAUUAAGAAUGCUCAUAAGUUUAGGGGAAAAAGAUGUUGAUAACUAUUGGGGUCAUAGGUUUUCCUUUUUUUUUUUUAGUCUUCAAAAAAUAAAAAUGCAUAGGACUGUCAGGGAGUUUUUCCAUACCAUGCUUGGGCUUCGGAUGUAUGUUUCCUUUACGUACUUGUUAACGAUGAUGCAUGAACCAGGCAUGGAAAUCUUCAAUGACUAUCGUGCAUGAUUUUUAUGUUCAAAAGAUCCAGUCCUCUAGCUGUGCAUAAUUAUUGGCCAAGCCGUAGAUAAAAUGAUUUUUGGUUGAAGAAGAUUCGGUAUGUGCAAGGGUUUCUGGUUCAUUUCUUUUUACUGUCCCAUGGCUUUUCGUUAAUGCUAGUACAGCUAUAUUUCUCUUUUCUAAUGUUAAGUAGGUUGAUAUCUAGAAAUAGGUUUAUCACGGGUUUAAUAAUAUCAAAGAAAAGAAGGAAAAAAACUUUUAUGGGUCUUUAAGGCACAAAACACGCUAUUAAGACAAAUUUUAAGGGUUUUUUUUUUCACCAAGGACAUGUGUGGUAAAUAUGCCCAAACCUAUAUUUCAUAGCCUUUAUUUUUGUUUUGUUUUGUCAAGCUAAUCUUAGUCUAAUUUUAAUUAUUUUUCAAGUUUUGAAGAGCAUUUUUGCAAUUAAUUUUUCAUUUUUUACCCUUUUAUAUUUUAAAACAAGUUUAUUAAAUCAACAUGGAGCUGACCUAAGUUUGAAAAAUACUAAAAAAAUUAAUUUGUUUUUUUAAUACAAUGAAUUAUGAACUCAUACAUAAGAUGUAUUCUUGAUAUUAAAAGAAACAAAUACAAAAAUAUGUUUUGGCUCUAAAAUGACUAUGCUUGACCCAUAAAGCCUUGAGUUCACUCUAUUGAGAUAGACUUGCUUUAACCAAUAGAUAAACAAUUGAUUAGAAAAACACAACAUUAUCUUACAAAUAAACAAUACAGCUUAUCUUAGGUAUGAUGUACUAGGGGUAAUAAUAUCCAGCCUAUACACAAUCAGUCCUCUUGUCCAAACUCUAAAGACCAGUUAGGGUUUUCAAUGAUCAAAAUAUAAGGUUGUGACUCCAAGCAUUUUUUAUUGAUAGAGGACAAGAAGUCCAUGUCCUUUUCGCAUCACACCAAAGUCCUGAUCUAGGGGGAUGAUCACAAUGAUGCUAUACCCGUGCUACAUUCAACAUUGUAUGAGUUAUCCUUUCUAAUUUUCAAUUCCUCUUAUCCAAAUAAUGUGAUACCCUCUCAACAUUCUUCCAAGUCAACAUGUACUUCUACUAAUUCAUCUAACUAUGAAUGUGGUGGGCUGUAAAUGAGUAUACAAAAUUAAACGUAUGGAAGAUGGGACUUUUGAGCACUACAAAGCAUGGCUGGUGGCCAAAGGCUAUUAUCGACAAAAAAAAAAUUGAUUUUCAAAAGACAUUUAGUCUAGUGGUGAAGCCUUGCACUAUUUAGACAAUGCUCGAUAUUGGUGAUACUCGAGGUUGGUCGACUUAUUAGAUUGAUAUAUAUAUAUAUAUGCUAUUAUUCUCAAUGGAUUUCAAUGGAUUUCUUGAUACAGAUGUGUUUAUAACUCACCCUCCUAGCUUUAUUGAUCCUCAAUCCCCAAACCAUACUCACAAACUAAAACAUUUUUUUAUGGUUUAUAUUAAAAAAAGAGACCAUAUAUAUGUAAAUACUUUAUAUAGGAAUAGUUAAUGUGUAGUAUAUUCCACCAAUAUAGUGGAUACAAACCCUAAAGGUAUAAAUACAUAGGGAUGGUUGCUUUAUCAAUCUCUCAAUUCUAACUGUCUAAAACAAGUAUACCAUGCAUGGUUUGAUCACUUAGUCAAUUCAUAGUUUCUCAAUGGAUUUCAUAUUCAUAAAUUUUUUAAGUCACCCUAGAUUAUAUGAUCGCGGUAUCUCUAAAGAAAACAAACUAAAAAAAAUGAGCUAAAUUUAUUUAUAAAAUAAGCAUAGCAUGCAUUUAAAACCAGUAAAAAUUCUCAUGGAAAGAUUAGCACCUGAUAACAAAGUUAACUCGGGAAAGAAAGGUGAUAAAAAUGUUUCACUACAUCUACUUAGUACGUAUAAGUUGAAGGAUUGGUACCUUGACCAAUGAACUGAAAAUAUCGUUAAUUUAUAAUGAAUGGCAUACAGUUUUACCAUAUCAACAGCAUGAAAAUUGAUAAUCGAUCCUUUUGGGAUAUGUCAAUCCCAAAUCUAUUAUUCCAUUUCUUUAUUAAUUAUCAUAAGAACAUUUAUUAAAUGUGUUGUCCUCCAACUCUUUCCAUAAAAAGAAAGAGUUGUGAACCACCACAUUUGAUCAUGGACAAAAGGUUAUCAAAUAGUUGCCUCCACUAGGACAAGUAAACGUGCUCGAUUUAUCAUCAUAAGCAUAACUAUAAGCUUGAGGACACUGCUGCUUGAAAGUCAUCGAAUAUUGGUUAGCAGGACAUUUGUCAGGUGUAUUAUACUCUCCUGUGCAGCAGUACUGCGGCUGGUUAAAUGCCAAACACGCACUCUUGCAGGCAAUCACAGUCCCAUCUGAACCUUUCACUGCUAAACUAGGAUCACAAACAGCAUUCACGUUAGCUGCACAGCUUGUAGAAGGGCAGCCAGUAGAACCCCCUUGCGGGGUUACCGAAAUUGGGAGGUUAAAGCCAUCAACAAGGCUUAUAUCGUAAUAAUCUUUCCCACCAUCACCGCUUAGAGUAAAUUCUGCCAAGGAUGCUGGUGGGAUCGCACCGGCUCCAUUGCAUUCUAUGACACCAGAGGCACAGUCAGCAGUAGCACAAACAAACUUUCCCGAGGCAUCUGUAGAGCAUUGCGUUCUGGCCCACAAGCGGCCAGACCAAUUGACAGGGACACUCAGCGAAGAUGAAGCACCCGUUGCCAAUGUGAAGCCAGUUGAAGAUAAAGACGGACCGCCAGCAGCCGUUAGAGUUCCUGGCCAGACUGUGUAUGGACAGUUGUUUGUGAAGUCGAAAGUCACAGAUUGAGCUCCUGCAUGCAUGCAAGAUUUAUUUUUGUUGAUAUCAAUAAUUAAAUCUUGGUCGAUUCAAAGAUAACAUAAUUCAAUAUUUAAAAUCUUAUAUUAAUUCAGUUAUUUUUCUUUUAAAAAUAUAACAUAACCCAGGUUUUUUUUUAAUAUAUUUUUUUCUUUCUUGUUUUUUAUCUGGAAACUCUCCCUCCUGGAUAAGUUUAUUGGAUUCACGAAAUCCAUUGAAUAAUGAAAACUAGUUAAUAUUGCAUAUGCAAACAGAAAAUAUAUAUGUAGAAUAAUCAAAGUGAAUAAUAUGCAUAAUAGAGUUUUCCAUGCAAGAAUCUAAUAUAUGUAAUAUUGUAAAAGUACUUGCCAUAGAAGAAGAUGACGAGGGUGAAGGUAAUUAUAGCAAAGGGCAUACGACUCCCCAUUGCCGAGAUGCGUCGAAUUAACACUUUUUCAGUAUCUUUUAAGAGAUUUGAGGUAAGCAAGAAACACUCUAUAUUUUAAAAAGAUUGUGUUUGCCACUUAAUAAAUAGUGUUCAAUUUGCAGACUAGUAAACAGUCAAAUAGAGGAACACGUGAAAAUCAAGAGAGAAAAGAAAAGGAAAAAGAAAAAGAAAAGUUUGUCACUGACAACCAUCUGGCACACGCACUAUCUCAUUCAACUUAAGUUGUUAGGUAAGGUUCCCGAAUAUGAUUUAUAUUAUUUUUUAACCCACCCUCUCAAGUUAAAACCUUUUAGGCUUGAAACUUGUAAAUGCCCACAUUAUCUUGUGCUUAAUUUUUAUCAAAUAAAUGGGGAUAGUGAGAUUCGAACUUGUGACCGCUUGGUUAUCAAGACUCUGAUACAAUGUCAAAGAACCAAUUGAACUCAAAAGUUUAAGCUAUUAGGUAAGAUCCCCGGAUAUGAUUCAUUACCUUGUGCUUAAUUUUUAUCAAAUAAAUAGGGAUGAUGAGAUUCGAACUCGUGACCGCUUGGUCAUCAAGACUUUAAUACAAUGUCAAAGAACCAAUUCAACUCAAAAGUUUAAGUUAUUAGAUAAGAUAUCCGGAUAUGAUUUAUAUUAUUCUCUAACAAAAAUAAACCACCCUGAUAAAAAAAAAAAAACCAACUAAAUAUACAAAUGCUCUUGGUUUGAACCACAAGUGACUAUCUAGAUAUCUCAAUUAAUGAGAAAGCAGAAUAGUAAACAGGCAAUUAGAGGAACCCCCUGCUUCUCUAAUUGACUAAAUAAUGUAACACCGGUCCCUUGUUUGAACCACAAGUGACUAUCUAGAUAUCUCAAUUGAUGAGAAAGCAGACUAGUAAACAGCCAACAGUGGCAGUUCUCCUCCAGCAUUACACCGUGAUGAGUGCGAGACUCUUCAAAUUAUCACACCGUGAUGAGAAAGCAGAGUAGUCCCUGCUUCUGGAAUGAAUGUAACUAGAUAUCUCAAUUGAUGAGAAAGCAGACUAGUAAACAGCCAACAGUGGCAGUUCUCCUCCAUCAAUACACCGUGAUGAGUGCGAGACUCUUCAAAAUUAUCACACCGUGAUGAGUGCGAGACUCUUCAAAAUUAUCACACCGUGAUGAGUGCGAGACUCUACAAAAUUGAUGAGAAAGCAGACUGGUCCCUGCUUCUGGAAUGAAUGUAACUCUGGAAUUAUUCCAAAUCUACAAGUUUCAUAAUGUUGUGUUGAUUGUGAGAUAUUAUUUCAAAACCUGAAGGGGGAUAAAAUUAUCAAAGAAUUUUAAUUCUAUAAAUUAUUUAAAAUAAAAAUACAAUAAUCAAAAGAAUAGGAAUAAAAUUAAAAUAAAUAAUAAAUUGAAGACAUGCUUGGAAAUUUUAAAGUGCCGCAUACGAAAAUCAAGGAGAGAGAAAAUAAAAUAAAAUAAAUUGUCGGUAACAAACUAAAAACUAUGUGCCACACGCGCCCCCUUAUCCACUGCAGCAAUUGGUUAAUGAACAUCUCUGCACGCACCACCUGAUGUGUGUGGAACUGCCCAUGAACUUACAUGUACUCAUCAACUAAUUUUUUUUUAUAUUAUUUAUAUUUAUUAAAUUAUAAAAUUGGAAAUAAACAACCCUUAUUAAAAAAAAAAAAGACCCAAUGAAGAUAUACAAAUGCCCUUGGUUUGAACCACAAGUGACUAACUAGAUAUCUCAAUUAAUGAGAAAGCAGACUAGUAAACAGCCAAUUAGAGGAACGCCUGCUUCUCACGCCAAAUGAAAGCAAUUGAAUGCAGGAAGAGGGCCAAACUCGCAAGAAAAUUGAUUUACACUCGACAUAAUAUUUUGUAAGUGUAAAAGCUAUAUUUCUGUGUCUAUAAAUAUCAGGUAGAUUUUUUUAUGGAAAUAUCUUAUCAAUAAAUAUCAAAAUAUUUAAUAUUACAAUACAUAGCAUAUAUCUAAUUGUAUUUAAUAAAUUUUUUAUUUGAAUAAAUUUGUAUUUAACCAAAAGAUUAUCCGUACCAAUAAAACGAUGUCUACCCAAUAUUUUUUUAUUUUGUAUUUUAAAAUAUUAUAAAAUGAGCAUCACUUGCUUAUAUUUAUUUAAUUAAUUAAAUUAAAUUAAAUGAAAAAAUAUCUAUAAUUUUUUUUUUAAAAAAAUAAAAAUACUCGAGAUAUCCCGAGUCAUUUUCAAAAUAAGUAAAAAAUCUUAUAGAAAAAAAUUAUGGAGGAUGAUAUUAUAAAACCUGGGUUAAUCUCUAAAACUCGCAACUCAUGAAAUUCUAAACUUGAACUUGAUUAAGACGCACAAUUCUCAACUAAUUUAAUGUUGAAUAAUGAAAAUAGAAAAAAAAUCAAUUUAAAAAAAUUUUCCAAAGUGAAAAAAAAUAGCAAUCAAAGAAUGAAGAUCAAAUCUGAUAGGAAAAAAAAAACUUAUGGAGGAUUAUAUUGUAAAAAAAUCAAAUUAAAAAAAUAUCUCAAAUAAAAAAAUAGGAAUAAAAUUUGAAAGAUAAAAAAAUUGAAGGGGGAUGAAAUUGUCAAAGAAUUCCAAUUUAAUAAAUUAUUCAAAACAAAACAAACAAUGAUCAAAAGAAUAGGCACCAAAUCCGAAUGAAUAACAAAUUAAAGGUGUGCUUUGAAAUUUUGAAGGGGCAUAAGCGAGAAUCAAGGAGCGAGGAAAGAAGAAGAGAAAAAAAAGGUUGUUAGGACCAAACCGAACAACCAGUUCACUUGGUAUUACCAAACGGUCGACCGGAUCAACUUAAAUACCGGAUUUUGAUAAUUUGAACCUGCUGAAACUUGAACCGAUACUAAUCCUAUAUACAUGUAGAGUGAAGUGUUUGAGUUCAUUUUAAUUGUGCUAUUAAGCUAAGAUAUAAAGAUGUACAUAAUAACUGAAAUGAACAAUUAAUUCUUAGUCUUCACUUAUUUUUCAUCUUGGACAUCUUCAUUGAUUUUUUCAUAACAUCUUUCAUGCUUGUUGAUGUCAAAACUCAUUUUUAGGUUAUUCUCCAAAUUUUUUUACCUUAUUCCUUUUCAAAAUAAAAAUAAAAUAAUUAAAUAAUAAUAGCAAGGAGACUAGCGACGUGGAAAAUGUUGGCUGAGGAAGGAUUUCAAAUAUAGAAAAAUUAAAGUUUUGGGGUCAAUUAAGAGUUGCAUUAAUGAAAUUUUCAGCCAAGGAUCAUUUUGACAAAGGCGUCGAAUUCUAAGGACCCAAUUGGCUGAAAUCAGGGGUAAAAUUGAAUAGAUUUGAAAGUUUAAUGGUCAAUUAAGCGCUAAAUUGAAGAAAUCCAAGAACAAGGACCAAAAUGAAAAUCACUACCAGAAAAUCUAUGAAUACAAACGAAAUCACCAACGGAAAUAUUCCGUCGGUAUUUUGGUGUGGUAUUUACCGACUGAAUUGAUUCCAUCAUCAUUUCUAUCUAUGUUUACCGAUGAAAUAUUUUUGUUGGUAAAUAUCAAAGGAAUCCCAGUCGAAAUAAAAGGAAUUUAAAAAAAUCAAAAAGCAGAUGAUGUGUAAUUUUUUAUGGAUGCAACAUUGCUUGUUAAGCAUUCAAACCUCCUCUUAUGCUUCUAAAGAUAAACAUAAACAAAACAAAUAAAAAAAACAACAAAAGCAGGCCACGAAGGACCUACUUUUGGGUCUGCAAUGUAUACCUAGAACAAGCUAUUUUCUCUUAGUUUUUCUUUGGAAAGUUUUGCCUCUCACAAGCUUACAAAGCUUAAGAAAAACUUGGUUUUUACUUUUGGACCUCUAAACUUAUAUAUAUAUUUUACUGUAAUUACUCUCCUUUUUCUUAUCUUUUUUCAUCCUUUUUUUUUCGUUUUCCUCUUUACUCUUCAACCCUAAGCAUGCUUGAGGGGUAUUUAUAGGAUUUUAGGAAGUCUUGAAUCCAUUCAUAACCUCUUGAUCUUGAGAGGAGUAUUUUGAACCCUUGAUAAGGACUCAUUGACGAGCCUUUUUGUGUGAAAACAUGAAAACCAAAUCGUUUUUUGCAAGAUAGUUGCACUGUCAGGGCUAGUUGAGUUGCCCACUUUGUGAGAGUUUCUGACGUCUUUGGAGCUAUUCUAUAGAGGGAGUGCACAACUUUCAUUUGGAUCCAUUCUUACUUAAUUUGGAGGUUUGUAGCUUCACAUUCAUUCGUUCAAAGGUACUAACCACACCAGCCCUAAAUCUCAAAUUGAGUGAUGGCUCAUCAGAGACAAGAUGUUAGGGACUUCAAUGGAAAACUUAGAAUGUAAACGUCUAAUUCCAUGGAAAUAGGGUUGUAGAGGGGAUGUUCCUCUUUCAUUUGCAAAAAACCUCAUGCCAUUUGGAGGUCUAGAACUCUAGAAUGAGCUCUUGGAAGGUGUCAACCUGAUCAUCGUGAACUGCCAAGGAAGAAAAUGAACAGAGGCUGAACAACGCGUCGUUUGGGUUAAAACCCUAGAAAUUAGGAUUUUUAAUUUGGAAUUUGGCAAAUUUUCAAUUUAGUCCCUAUUCUUUCAAUUGUGGCACAUACACCUUAAUUUGUCACUAGUUUUUAAUUUGUGCAUUUUGACCGUCAAUUGACAACAAACUUCCAAUUUCUUCAAUUUGGUUCCUGAUUUGAUUAAUCUCGGCCCUAUAUUCACACGCCUUUUCCAGUUUGAUCCUUGGUUUUGGAUUUUUUCAAUCAAGUCCCCAUUUUCCCAUCAAAAUUCAAUAUUUAUGUAAUUAAUCCCCUAAUUAGACCAAAUUAACUCCUAAAAAUUGCAAUUGGACCCCAAACUUCAAUUUCUUCAAAUUAAAGCUUCAAUUGACUUUUAAAAAUAAUUUUUUCUUGCAAUUAAACCCUCAAUAAAUUCAAAUAAACCUUGAAAAAUUCUAAUUGAGUCCUUAAACAUUCAAUUUUGAAUUUUCCUCGUUGAAUUGAAUUUUCUUUGUUAAUAGAGCUAUCAGUCGAAAAUGCACUGUAAAGUUUUUUCAAUCUUGUGUAUUUGAUCUUUCUCAUUCAGUCUUUGAUAAUUUCCUAGGCAUUCUGGUAUACUCUUCUCACCGAUUUAUCUUUUUUAUUUUCUCCUAUAAUUUUUUUAUUUCUUUUUGUAUUUUCUCUUUUACCUUUUCUUUUUGAUUUUUUUAUACGAGAUCCAAAAAAUGGAUAACAACAAUUGCAUAGUGAUUAUAAGCAAUUAAAAUCAAUACAAAAAUUUUAAUGAUCUGAAAUAAGUUUUUAAACGGUAUCUUGUUAAUCAAAACUUCUUUCUCUUAUUAAUGCGUUCCUUUUUGUUUCAAAAAAUAAUUGUGUAUCAUAAAAUUUAUUUAUUUUUAUUUAAAAUCUUAUGAUAAUCUCAAAAGAAAGUUUUGAUAAAAUAAAAUAAUAAAAUAAUAAAUUGAUAAUUUUGACAGGAAUUUAUUAGAAAAAUAAUGUAACAAUAAUAAUUUUGAAAACAUUAUUUAAAAACUUACAAUAAUGUUUUUGAAAAAUAGAUAUUUUAUCCAUAUUUAGAAAAGUAUGCAUAUUAAGUUUAUAAAUAACCAUGUAGAAUGAAAUUGUUAAUAUUACUAUGAAAGAUGCUAAUAUUAUUUAAAACUAAUGGCAUAAUUGAUCAAUUAUUUAAGCAUCAUUUAAAAUAAUUUCUUUUAAAAUAAUUCAAUUACAAAUGUGUAAAGAGAAAAAAAAACAAUGAGAUAAGAAAAUGAAGGGCCCUAGCCCACACGAAAGACAAGCGUGCGUGGACGACAUGUUAUCUGCUUGAUUCAUAUGAAACAUGAGUGCUUCGAAACCAAAGCCCACACACCUAUUUUUUUUAAUGGGGUGGAUGUUGUCUACACCAGUUGUUUUUGUUUUAAAUAAAGCGAUUGACACUUUGCUCACCUGUCGUCUUUUCCAAUCAUCAAAGGUGCUUCUGAUGAUUAGAAAAUCAAGAUCUAAGUUUGUGGAUCCUAGAAAUCUAGAUUUUAACUCAUUUUUACCUAAAAACAUGAAAAACAAUUCUCGAUCAACUUCUAUAUCCUCAUUUCUAACAACAAAACAUAUUGAUCUCACAGGUCAACAAAUUCAAAAUCAAAUUAAAUAGAAAAACUUUAAAAGUUCUAUCUACUUUUUGCUAUAUCUUUAAAGAUGAAAACCACCACCACCAAGUCCCUCUCAUCCAUGGACACUAAAAUCAAAAUUUUCUGAUGACUUUCUCUUUCCUCUCUCAAUACAUAGGGAGUGACACAAAACAAAUAAAUUUUGGGAUGAAAAAAAAAAGGAGCAAACUAAAACAAAAAUUAAAAUUGAAGAACUAAAUUGUAGAUAUACAGGCCUUUUGAACAGUAAAAGAGGGGAAACGACUGCCAAUUAUCGGCAUGUCAAACUUGGCCACUGUUAUUUUAAUCUCGUCCUUUUUAAGAACAUAAAACUUUCCCAUGCAAUAUGAGCACAAUGUUAAUUCCUGACACCUCAGGUACGUGUAAAAACGAAAUUCAAAGAGGAUAAAAAAUCCUUGAUAGCAAAAAAAACAAAAAACCCUUCAAGUAUCAAAUUGAAAGAAACUGCUACUUAUACACUGAAAAAAAACCGAGGGACCAAGAAUGAAAUUUGACAAGGAUAAAAUGCUUAUGAAUAUGAAAUUGUGAGAAGAUGAACAGGAAUGCUGAAAGGCCAAAAAUAAUUUAAAACAAUGAAUUAGACACUUUAUUUAAUUACGUAGUACAGAUAAGUUGAAGGAUUGCUACCUUGACCAAUGAACUGAAAAUAUUGUUAAUUUCUAAUGAGUGGCCUAUGGUUUCACCAAAUCAAACAUCAUGAAAAUGAAUAAUCGAUCUCUUCGGGAUGUGAAUCCCAAAUCUUAAACACCAUUUCUUUAUUAACUAUGAUAAAUCUAUUUAUUAAAUGUUGUCCUUCAACUCUUUCCAUAAAAAGAAAAAAAAUAAAUAAAAAAUUGGUGAACCAACCACAUUUGAUCACGGACAAAAGGUAAUGAAAUAGUCGCUUCCACUUGGACAAUUAAAUUUGCCAGUUGCAUCAUCAAAAGCACAAGUAUAAGCUUGAGGACACUUCUGCUUAAAAGUCGUCGAAUAUUGGUUAGGAUGACAUUUGUCAGGUGUCUUAUACUGUCCUGUGCAGCAGAAUUUUAUCUCUCUAAAUGCCAUACGCGCACUCUUGCAGGCAAUCACAGACCCAUCUGGCCCUCUCACUGUUAAAUUAGGAUCACAAACAGUAUUCACAUUAGCUGCACAGCUUGCAGAUUUGCAGCCAGGAGGACCUGCUUUUGGGGUUACCGAAUUAAAUUGGGAUGUUAAAGCCAUAAACGAGGCUGAUAGCAUAAAAAUCAAGAAAGAUCAAAUUAUACGGAAAAUUUAACAGUGAAUGAACAAUUUUUUGUAAAGACAAAAUAUUCAUAUUGAGCUCCUGCAUGCGUGCAAGCUGCACAAGAUUUAUUUCUGUUAGUAUUAAAAUUAAAUAUUAGUCGAUUCAAAUAAAACCUUAAAUAAGCAUUAGCUCACAGAGUCACACGUAAACUGAUUCGAAAAUAUUUAUAUUGUGGAAUAAAAAAACAAACAAGUUUUAAAUACAUCAAACUAUUGUUUCAUGCUAAUUUAUGUGGAUCUAUUUUUAUUUUAUUUUUCAUAUAAAAAGAAUAUGAUUUGAACAAUCUAAAUUUGAUGGAUGUUGACCUAACUAACUUGAAUUGGUAGAUUGUUUUUUGGAUUUACCUUACUCGAUGAUUAAUAGAUAAUGCAUGAAUAUUAUUAAAUCCGACCCGAAACCUAACUCGAGAUAUAUAUGUAGAACAUUUAUAUUUUUUUGAAUCCAAUACGGUAUAUACAUAUCUCCAUAUUGAUAUAAUACACACACGUGUUUAUAUAUAUAUAUAUAUAUAUAUAUAUAUAUAUAUAUAUAUAUAUAUAUAUAGUAUUAUUUAUUUAUCAUUUAAUACAUGUAUACAUAUUUCAAAUAUAUCUAUUACUAUUUUAUUUUUUGUUGAAUAUUAAAUAACAAUAGAACAAUGGAUACCAAUAUGGAUAUAUAUACUCGAAAUCCAAUGAAUAAAGUAUGAAUAUUUGAAUUUUUUACUUGAUAAAUAAUAGGUAAGGUAUAAAUAUAGAAAAACUCAACUAGUAGAUAUCCAUUGUGAUCCUUAUACAUAAUUUCAAUAUAUAAAAUCAAUGCAUUAAUUCACUUAUUUUUCUUUUACAAAGAUAAAAUGAUGAUAAGUGCAAAAUAUACAUAUGUUUUUAUUCCUUUUACAUUAUGCUUUUAAUGUGUUUUAAGCUUAUUUGAGCUCAUUGAAAGUAAUUUUAUGAGUUUGGCAUGCCUAAACUAAAAGAUAAGAAAUUUCACAUUUGAUGUUUUGAACCUUGGUCUUUUUGACAAGUUUUUCACCAAGUUGGAGUUACAAAAUAGAAACGUGGCUUAAUAAAGGUUGAAUUACACAUAUUCAGCUUUUUAAGAAGGUAUUACAUUCAGAAAUCUAAUUUCAUUUAAACCUCUAAUUAGACUCUCAAAAUCAUACCAAAAACCUAUUUGCAGUAGAAUACUCUACUUUAAGAACUAGAAAUGCAAACAAAUGUAUCUUAAGUUUCAGUUAUGAAGGGCUACAUAUCCACGGCUAUAACUUAUAUAAAGGCUCCGGGUCAGAUAAAAUCUUUUCAAGAUGAAAACCCUAAUGCAAGUCAGAUGUCGAGCUUGUCUUCUUAUAUGAUGAGAAACUAAUGGUUUGAAAGCAGACUAGUAAACAGCCAAUUAGAGGAACUUAAAAUUGACUUACACCGGACGUAAUUAAUAUUUUCUAAGUGUAAAUAUCACCGAUAGAUUUUUUCAUGGAAAUAUAUCGUCAAUAAAUAUCUUAUUAAAAUUCAAUAAAUCUAUCAAUUCAAUUAGUAAUUUAAAUAUCAAUAGAUAGACUGAUAAAAUAUUUAUGUCAAAUAUUGGUUGAGAAAGAUCAAAUUAUAUUUUUUUUUGUAUAUGGCUAAAAAUCCUAAAUUUAUUUAAGUAUUUAAAAAAAAUCUAAAUUUUUUUGACAUGUUUUUUAAAAAAUAUAGCAUUGAUUUUACAAUAAGUUUGUAAAAUUCCAAAGGAUUUUGGCCUAUAUUUUUAAAAUACCAAAAAAAAUUAUUUUAUUUCUUUUAAUAUACAGGAUUAUGAACUUAUGCAUAAAAUAUAUUUCUAAUAUAAAAAAAAAACAAUUUUUUUAUUUCUUUUAAUAUACGAGAUUAUAAACUUGUACGUAAGAUAUAUUCCUAAUAUAAAUAAAAAGACAAUUUUUUAUGUUGUCAUUAGUGUUGUUACUUAUUUUUGGGUUCCAAAAAAAUGAGAAAAUACAAAAAAAUAUAUAUAUAAAAAAAAUAUUCGGAAGAAAUCCAAAAAAUAAUAGGAGCGAGAAAAAGAUGCUGGAAUGCCGGAAAAAGGCCAAAAUUGGUUGAGGAGGUUUAAAAAUGCAAAAGGUUGAAACUUGACAAUAUAUUUUUUACUGGUGAGAGUCCUGUUGACAAGGAAAAUUCAAUUUGACGAAGAAAAGUCCAAAAUCAGAUGUUUAUGGACUCAAUUAAAUCUUAUCUAAGAUUUAAUUGAAUUUAUGGAGUGUUUGAUUGCAAGAAAAAUUGAUUUUUAAGUCAAUUUCGGUUUUUAUUGGAUGAAAUUAAAGUUCUGGGGUCCAAUUAUAAUUUUGAAGAGUUAAUUUGGUCAAAUCAGGGGUUUAAUUGCAUAAUUAUUGAAGUUUGAUGACCAAUUAGGGACUUAAUUGAAACAAUCAAAAACCAAGGACCAAACCGGAAAAGGCGCUAAAAGAAAGGGAUUUAAUUCGAAUUGUUUCUGGCGCUUAAUUUCAAAACGGUGCCGUUUUAUUCAACACUGCCCACUGUCUUCUUUAGAAGACGUUACGUGAGCUGGCCGAGAAAAGUUUGCAGCGGCGAAGGUGCGAUUUGCUUCAAUCAAGGGCGCAUGUUUCACGGCUACCAUGAUGCACGCCGGCCAUUACUCCGUCCCUGCAACAACAAAGGGAAAACGCCUGCAUCCUCUGGCUAUAAAAGCCAGAGGAUGUACUGCACUAGAGAGGGGGGUGGAGAAAAGAAACGAGAGAGGAGAGGUGACAGUGAGGAAACACUGGAGGAGAGACAGAUAGAAGAGGGGAGAGACAGACGAACGAAAAAAACAGAGGGGGAGACGAUAGAGACAGGAGGCAGAAGGGAAAGGAAAACACAAAAAAAAACAGAGGGGGAAGAGAGUCGAGCAGAACAGGGGGGGAAACACAGGAAACAUAAAGACGAGACAGAGAGGGAAGGAAAGAGGAUAGAAGAGAAAAGGAGAGAGGGGAGUACAUGAGAGAAAAGCAGAAAGAAAAGGGAAGGGAAAGACAGAGAGGAGGAGAACAUGGGGGCUUCAUCAUUUCAAAAAAGCAAAGAAAAACCAGAAGAAAAAAAGACCCAGCGUUUAUCGUCUUCAUCGUCCCCAAAACCAGUCACCACCGAUCCUGCGCAGCAGUUUCAUCGCCAUCGUCUUUGUCUGUCUCAGUUACCAGGUAAGCUUCACACAUUUCUCUUCACGUUGCAUUUUUUUUCUGUCAUUGCAUGCAUUUGUUCUUUCAUUGUUAUGUUUUAUGUUCAAGUGAAUUAUAAUGCACGCGUGAGGCUCACGCGUGCCUCUUAUCUGCCCAGCCGGGUCACUAGCUUGGGCCAAUGACCCGGUUAGGCCUGCUAGAUCCAGCCCGAAAAAACAAUUCUUCAAAAAUUAUUUCAAAAAAAUCUGUGAUUUUCCGCAAAUUUUUUACUUCAUUUGGAUCAAUAUUGGUUUGUAUUUUUAUACUGUAAAGAUACACAUCUGGUAUUAAAAUAGCCAGUUUUCGUCAAAACAUUAAAAAACAAUUAUUUUCAUGCAUACGGCCAAGUCUCAAAAAUAAAAUAAAAAAUCAUAUUGUAUUUUCAUAUAAUAAAGAAAAUUUCAAAAAUAUGUAUUAACAUGCAUUUUGGCUUUAAUAACCAGUUUAUUAAAGUCACGAGAACUAGGCUAAUAUUUCAAAAAUUCCAAAAAAUUUAUUUUGUUUUCUUUUAAUAUCUGGGGUUAUGACCUUAUACGUAAGACGUAUUCCGGAUAUUAAAUUCUUUUGUUGACGUCAGAAUUACUCGAUAAGAUAAGGAUCUCCUUACCAAGGAGGACUUUUCUUAAACCAUAGAUGAACCAACAAUUAGAAAACACGACAAAGUUUUAGAUUUUAUUAGACAAUAAAACAAUGCAGCUUACCUUAGGUAGGGCGUAUUUGGAGUGCUAAUACCUUCCCUUUACGCAACCAGUCCCCGUACCCGAUCUCUGAAACCAGUUAGGGUUCCUAGUGACCAAAAUACUAGGUGGCGACUCCCAUUUUAAUUUUUCAUUGAUAAGAGACAAGAAUUCCUUGUCUCCCCAUAUUUGCCACAUAAGAUAAAAUUGUUAGGGUGGAUUUUUUUGCCGCGACGUCGCACACGUGCGACAAUUAGAACGGUUAACUUUUUAAUCUAAUAAGAUAAGGACCUUCGUAUUGAAGAGAACAUUUCUUAAUUCUUAGACAGACCAACAGUUUAAAAACAUAACAUUUCUUUUGUUUUUCUCUCUUUUUUCUUUCAUUAUCAAGUUGUGAGAAGUAACGUUAUCAUUGUAAUUUUUUCAGACUCAAGAACUUAUUUUUCUUUAUUUCAGAAUUAUGCUAUUGAUUUCUGUUCAAGAUAAUUAAAUUGUUUUGAGAUGACAUGUAUGCUUUCUAGUUUUUUUUAUCCUUAAUUAUUGUUAAGGACUAGAGCUAGAAUCAAAAGAAUUAAUUUGAUUGCUGCCACUCUUAUCUUAAUUUAUUAAAGAAUAAUAAAUUAAGUUAAAUUGUUAAGUUUUUAAACUGACUGCUUGGUAUAAAUUUGACAGGUUUUACUCUUAAGGUUACCGAAUGAAUGAGAAUUGAUUAUCAAUAUUACAUUUAUCACAAAUUAUGCCUCCGCAAAACUCAAGUUGGGGAAGCUUUUUUAACGUUGUUUUCUUCAUCAUCACUUGUAACUUGUGAUAGCUGACAUGUCCAACUCGCUCGUGCUAGAAAUUUGUAAUGCCAUUACUUCGUGUUGUUUUAUCUAUGCAUGCUGACUCAGCCGACAUUACGUAGACAAAUUCAUGUCCUUUUCCUUUUAUAAAUGGUGCUCAAAUUAUCUUGACUUCCAUGUAGACUUUGACAUCAUCAAUCCUAAACACCAAUCAUUUUUCUAUAAUAGUCGAAUUUUAUUGAUGAAUACAGAACUCUGACAAGUAAAUGGAGUUCUGUCUGAAAUAACAUGGAAGAAAGUUAUACAAGAUAUGAAACAAUAAACAUCAUGCCAAAGAAAAAAGUUAUGGAAGGCUAUAGUUUGUCAACUUCAGAAUCCUUUGAAAUCUGCAGGUAGUCAGAGCACUCCACUGUCCAAGAACUUGUUCAAUCGAUUAGGACAUACACCAAUUGAACCCAAGCCAGUUCAUGAAAUGCUACCAAAACUUCCAUGAACCAUGACAGUGUAGGAAUAAAUGCUGCACAUGCUCAGUUUUAACUUGACAUAGUGGACACAAAGCUUGACUGGGAUAGAUUAAAUUCCUUCACAACAAGAAACUUCUUGUACAGACUCUUUCUUGCAAAACCAACCAUAAGAACAUCUCAAUCUUAGGAGGUGCAAUACCUUUCCAUAGUAGUGGUGUGAAAGUAAAAGAACCUGAGAAUUCAAUAAGGUCAAUGAUAUUACUGCCAGAUUUAACCAUAUAGCGUCCUUCACUGGUAUACUCCUAUCAUUUUAAAUCUUCCUUGCUGGUACUCAAACUGACAUCUGGCAACAAUGUAAGAAGUUGAUGAUGAUAUUAUAACUCCUUUAAAGGAUGUAGAGUUGAAGCAAUGUUUGUGUUAAUUAUGAGGCUUACAUAAUCAGGUAUACUAAAUAGGAUAUACAUAUGUUACGAUGUAGUAUACUACACAUGAUAAAUCUAUACAAGAAAAGUGCAAUAUUUUCUAUAUUACAACACAUUCCAUAAUACACUCCUUCAAGCUGAAGGUGGGUUGUUCACAUGAAGUUUGGAUCGUAAAUAAGCAAAGCAGAGUGAGGAAGUGGCUUCGUAAGAACAUCAACUAAUUGGUCUUUGGAGGAGAUGAAGCAAAUCUAAGUCUCCUUUUUAGCCACUCAAUCAUGAAUAAAGUGAUAAUCAACUUCAACAUGUUUUGUACGAGCAUGAAAAAUUGGAUUGGCAGACAGAUAAGUAGUACCCAAAUUGUCGCACCAAAUAGUGGUAACAAAACUAGGAGAGAAGCAUAAAUCUGAUAGAAGAUAGCGAAGCCAAAGAACCUCAGCAGUACCAUCAGCCAAAGCCUUAUACUUUGCUUCAGCGGAGGAGCGAGCAACAGUGCGUUGCUUGCUAGAUUUCCAUGAAAUGGGAGUGGUGCCAAGAAAGAAAAUGUAUCCACUAGUAUAUUUAUGAUCAACAACACUCUAUGGCCAAUCAGCAUCAAGAAAACCAUGAAGUGAUGAAGAGAAGCCACAAGUAAUGUGGAGACCAAAAGAAGACGUACCUUUCAAGUAUCGCAGUAUACAUUUAAUAGCAAGCCAAUGGCUCUUAGUAGGAGCAUGCAUAAACUAACAGACCUUAUUUACAACAUAGCAUAUGUCCGGUCUAGUAAAGGUGAGAUACUGAAGAGCACCAAUAAUUUGUUGAAAGCGAGUGAGAUCUGAAAAUAACUCACUAAACCGCAGGUCAAUCUUGAAAGAAGAGGCUGGUGUAUCAAUAGGUCUACACAAAGACAUCCCAGCACGACAAAGGAUAUCAAGAACAUACUUGUGUUGACUAAGUAUGAGGCCCAUACUGGUGGGAGUGACUUCAACCCCCUAAAAAUAAUGGGCAUUGCCCAUAUCACAAAGUUUAAACUCUAAACUCAAUAAGGUAAUAAGACGUUGACUCAAAGCAGAGUUAUUACCAAUAAGUAAGAUGUCAUCAACAUAGACAAACAAAUACCAGAUAAAUCAUGAUUCACUAUUAGAAUAAAUAAGGAGGUGUCAAUCUUGGAAACCUGAAAACCAAUAUUCAGAAGAAAAUCACUUAGGCUUGUGUACCAAGCCCGUGGGGCUUGUUUUAAACCAUAAAGAGACUUGUAAAGAUGACAGACAUGAGUCGGCAAAGCAAAGUCUACAAAACCCGUGGUUGUUCCAUGUAAACAACCUAUUUAAGUGAGCCAUUGAGGAACGUAUUAUGGACAUCAAGUUGUUGAAUCUGCCAUCCUUUAGAUACUACAAUAGUGAGAACUAACCAAAUAGUAGUCGGUUUAACAACAUGACUGAAUGUUUCUGAGUAAUCAAUGCCUUCAUGUUGAGUGAACCCUCAUGCAACCAAGCGAGCUUUGUAGCGGUCAAUAGCACCAUCAGCUCGGCGCUUGAUUUUAUACACCUAUUGACAACCAACCACAUUCAUAGAAGGAUUAAACGAUACCAAGGACCAAGUACCAUUGGCAUGUAAGGCUGCAAUUUCAGACUUUAUAACAAUAUGCCAACACAAAAAACAGUCAACUUCCUUAAAAUUCAGAGGCUGAAGAUCAUAGGGAGAUGUUACUCGUGAGGUUGAAGAUAAUAAAGAGGCAGAGACCGAAAUUGAUGUUCAUAGUCCUGUGCUGUCUGGGACGCAACACCAUGUGAUGCUGGUAGAGCAGGAGACAUGAUAAGUGAGGGCUGUUGUGAAAGAGAAUAGUUGGAGAGAUCAACACAUAGAUCCAGGCUUGGAGGAGACAAAGUAGAAAGUCGGGAUGGAGAGGAAUCCCUGGCGGCGAGGUUAGAGAGACAACAGUAGAAGGGUAAUAAGAUGUAGACAAGUCCGGCGCUGCAGAACCUGAACCUAAAAAAUGAUCAAGAGACAUAAAUGCAGAUGGUGGUAAGGGGACCGAGGGGUUAGUGGGGAAAGUUUGUGGGGCUGAUGAGUUUGGUGAUGGAAAGGUAGUGAGGGAAGGGAGGUGGGAGAAAAGGCUAGGAGGAAAGGUAGUUCUAGUGGAUGCAGAAUUAUAGACAAAGUUAAGAAAACGAAAAGAUUGUUCAUGAAAUUGAACAUGACAGGAGAUAUAGAUAUAAUUAGAAGACAAAUCAAGACAAUGAUAGCCUAGAUGAGAUGAACUAUAGCCUAGAAACAUGCAUGGAGUGGAGCGAUAGUCUAACUUAUGAGCGAUAGAAAAGGAAAGCAUAGACAUCCGAAAACACAUAAGAAAGCGUAAUCAGGCGAUUGAUGAAACAAGCAUUCAAAGGGAGACUUGUUUCAUAAGAUAAGUGUCGACAUGCAAUUAAUUAGAUAAAUAGAGGUUUCAAACGCAAAAUUCCAGAAUUUUAGAGGUGUCUUACAAUGACUAAGAAGUGUAAGACUAGUUUUGACAAUAUGAUGGUGAUGACGCUCAACAAUACCAUUUUAUUCAUGUAUACAUGGGCAUAUUAAGCGAUGAUAAAUACCAAUAUUUUUGAAAAAUGAAUUUCAUUCACAAUAUUCACCAUCCCAAUUAGUUUGAACAUAUUUGAUUUUGCGAGAGAACUAUCAUUCAACAAAGACUUGAAAUUGAUGAAACACAUUGAAUACAUCAGAUUUGAUGACAAUAGGAUAGAACCAAAUAAAUUUCGUAUGUGCAUCCACAAAAUGACAAAAUAUCAAAAGAUAACAUAGGGGCAGGGCCUCGAACAUCACUAAAAAUAAAUUCAAGAGGAGCAAAUGUUUUGUGACCUGUAGGCCCUAAUGACAAACAAGAUGAUUUUCCUAACAGACACGCUUGACACUGAAAGUUUAAAUGACGAGAAGUACAUACAACUUUUUUAUUUGAUGCUAAGAGACUCAGAACAUGUGAGCUUAAGUGACCAUAUUGAUGAUGCCAAAUAUCAACAGAAGUAGGCAAGCUAGCAGAUAGAAAAGUUUGGGGUAUAAAUACGGUAGAAGACUUUGAAAGGACAUAAAGGCCAUCUUUACUCUGUCCGGAAAGAAGAACUUCCUUGUUUAUGAGAUCCUUGACAUAGAAAAUAGAGGAGUGAAAUUAAAAAAAGAUAAUUUUCACGAUAAAAUUAUUGAAAAGAUAUGAGUUGUUUUUUAAUUUGCGGAACAUGUAUUAUGUUAGACAAAGUAAAGGCUCGUUUUGGAGUAUGUAAGAUAUUAUAGGUUGUAUUAGAUAUAACAAGUCCCUUACCAUCACCAACAUGCAAUUGAUCAUUAUUGAGAUAGGGUUCUGCUUAUGUCAUACCGGUAAUGUUUGGAGUAACAUGUUGAUUCGCACCUGUGUCAGAAAACCAAGUGACAGAAUUUGCUGCUGAAGCAUCACUAAAGGAGAAGGUGGUCGAGGAUUGAUUCCCAUGAUGAACAAGAUGUGAACACUGCUGUGCUGAAUGACCAACCUUGUUACAAAGUUGACAUCUGAUCUGUCGUGGCCACUGAUUUGUUGCUGCUGAUCAGUGCUGCUGCCAAUUGCCACCAUAGCCAUGAUUUUGCUUCCCAGAAGAACCGCCACUAUUUCCGUGAAAAGUCUGACCACUAAACUGAUUGAAGUUGCUUCGAGGGUUUCUCCAACCACCAUGCCUUCCUCUGCCCUGACGAGGAGAGGAACCACUACCAUUAAAUCCUAAAAAACCACGUUGAGUAGCAAAAACAGAGGGAAGUUGCGUAGGUGUGGGCAGCAGCGGUGCAACAGUCGAAAUUGAUUAAAGAGAGCUCCUAUGUAAAAACUCAUGUAUAGACAAGUCACUACGGAGCUCAGAGUAAGGAAGAGGCUCAACUUUGGUCGAUAGACUUGUAACCAAAUCACAAAAUUCACCACGAUGGCCCCAAAAAAUGUAUAGGUUGAAAUUAGUAAGGGACAUAGGUCUGCCUGCUGUGGCUAAUUCAUCAAAUAAUCCCUUAGCUUUUUACAGGUAGAGGGUGACAAUAUCAUCACCUUGUUAAAGAUCCUAAAAAGAGCCAUGCAAUUGUAUAAUCCGAGACUUGGAUGGAGAGGCAAGAACAUGUUUUAAGGUCCUCUAAACACAAGAUGGAGAACAUCUAUUGAAAUUGAGGAAAGGAGAGCAUUGAGGAUGAGUUGGUCUUGCUGUUUCCAUGUUAGAAACGCUUGGGAAGGACCAGCACUGAAAUUGGUAGAGGCAACAUAAAGAUUACUGGACAGGUCGUGCAGAGAGGGGCAUGGAGUCGAGCCAUCGACAAACAAGAAGACUACUUGGCUGAUAUGAUAUGGCUUCAUCUGCAUACGCCAAAAUUGUAACAUCCCCAUUUCCGGGACUAACACAUUAAUCCUAAAAAGGGAGAAACAUGGUAAUUUGUUUUCUUGCAUUCAUACAAAGUUUGCUAAAAUUUAUGCUGAAAUUUCGGCAGAGUCUCUCCUAUACCAGGAGGUCCCAAGUUAUCGACAAGUCACCUAUACAAUGAUAAUGAGGUGAAUGCAACAUGUGCAUGCUACUGCAAAGGCAAGCUCCUGUUUUUCCUUUAUGUGCUAUGAGGUUAACAUAUAGUGUUGUAAGAUGUGUGGAUAUUUUAUGUCCUAACCUGGUCACAGGUGUUCUUUCACUUGCUACGCAUACUAAAGAGGAUGGGGUGUGAUUUUUGCUUCAAAUGCAUAUGGUCUUGAAAACUUGAUUGCAUGUCCUAAGGUCAUGUUAAGACCUCGCCUAAGAUGAAUUACGAGCUUAUACUUAAGAUGUAUUCUCGAUAUUAAAAGAAACAAAUACAAAAAUAUGUUUUGGCUCUAAAAUGGCUAGACUUAACCCAUAAAGCCAUGGUUCUCUCUACUAGGAUAGACCUGCUUUAAGCAAUAGACAAAUCAAUGAUUAGAAAAAGAAAAUAGUGUCUUAGUAAUAAUCAGACAAAUAAACAAUACAACUCAUCUUAUGUAUAAUGUAUUAGGGGUGAUAAUGUCCACCCUAUACACAACAUGUCUCCUUGUCCAGACUUUAAAGAUCAAUUAGGGUUUUCAGUAACCAAAAUACAAGAUGGCAACUCCAAGCAUUUUUUAUUUAUAAAGGACAAGAAGUCCAUGUUCUUUCCGCACCACACCAAAGUCAUGAUCUAGGAGGAUGAUCGCAAUGAUGCCACACCCAUGCUACAUUCAACAUUGUACUUUCCAUGAGUUAUCCUUUCUAUUUUUCAAUUCCUCUUAUCCAAAUAAUGUGUUACCCUCUCAACAUUCUUCAAAGUCAACAUGUACUUCUACUAAUUGAUCUAUGAAUGUGGUGGGCUGUAAAUGAGUAUACAAGAUUAAACGUAUGGAAGAUGGGAAUUUUGAGCACUACAAAGCAUGUUUGGUAACCAAAGUAUAUUAUCAACAAAAAAGGGAUUGAAUUUCAAGAGACAUUUAUUCUAGUUGUGAAGCCUUGCACUAUUCAGACAAUGCUCGAUAUUGGUGAUACUCAAGGUUGGUCGGCUUAUUAGAUUGAUAUAUAAAUACUGUUUUUUUUAAUGGAUUUCUUGAUAUAGAUGUGUUUAUAACCCAGCCUCCUGGCUCUAUUGAUCCUCAAUUCCCAAACCAUAUUCACAAACUAAAACAUUUUCUUUAUGCUAUAAAACAAAACAUUUUCUUUAUGCUAUAAAACAAGCAUCUCGUGCAGGGAUUGAUCGCUUAGUGAAUUCUUAGUUUCUCAAUGGAUUUUAUAUUUGUAAAUUUUUAAGUCAAUCUAGAUUAUAUUAGAUUUAUAUGAUCGUGAUAACUUUAAAAAAAAAGAAGCUAAAUUUCUUUAUAAAAUGAGCAUCGCAUAUUUAAAACCAGUAAAAAAUCCCAUAGAAAGAUUAGCACCUGAUGACAAUGUUUUGAAAUUGAAUUCGACACUACAUCUACUUAGUACAUAUAAGUUGAAGGAUUGCUACCUUGACCAAUGAACUGAAAAAUAUCGUUAAUUUCUAAUGAGUGGCCCAUGGUUUCACCAAAUCAAACAGCAUGAAAAUUGCUAAUCGAUCCUUUUGGGAUAUGUCAAUCCCAAAUCUAUUAUUCCAUUUAUUUAUUAAUUGUCAUAAAAACAUUUAUUAAAUGUGUUGUCGUCCAACUCUUUCCAUAAAAAGAAAGAGUUGUGAACCACCACAUUUGAUCAUGGACAAAAGGUAAUCAAAUAGUUGCCUCCGCUAGGACAAGUAAACGUGCUCGAUUUAUCAUCAUAAGCAUAACUAUAAGCUUGAGGACACUGCUGCUUGAAAGUCAUCGAAUAUUGGUUAGGUUGACAUUUUUCAGGUGAAUCAUACUCUCCUGUGCAGCAGAACUGCGGCUGGUUAAAUGCCAAACACGCGCUCUUGCAGGCAAUCACAGUCCCAUCUGAACCUCUCACUGCUAAACUAGGAUCACAAGCAGCAUUCACGUUAGCUGCACAGCUUGUAGAAGGGCAGCCAGUAGAACCUCCUUGCGGGGUUACCGAAAUUGGGAUGUUAAAGCCAUCAACAAGGCUUAUAUCGUAAAAAUCUUUCCCACCAUCACCUCUUAGAGUAAAUUCUGCUAACGAUGCUGGUGGGAUCGCACCGGCUCCAUUGCAUUCUAUGACACCAGAGGCACAGUCAGCAGUAGCACAAACAAACUUUCCCGAGGCAUCUGUAGAGCAUUGCGUUCUGGCCCACAAGCGGCCAGACCAAUUGACAGGGACACUCAGCGAAGAUGAAGCACCCGUUGCCAAUGUGAAGCCAGUUGAAGAUAAAGACGGACCGCCAGCAGCCGUUAGAGUUCCUGGCCAGACUGUGUAUGGACAGUUGUUUGUGAAGACGAAAGUCACAGAUUGAGCUCCUGCAUGCGUGCAAGCUGCGCAAGAUUUAUUUUUGUUGGUAUCAAUAAUUAAAUCUUGGUCGAUCAAAUAAAAACACAAACAAGUUUUAAAUACAUCAAACUCUUGUUUCAUGCUAAUUUAUGUGAAUCUAUUUUUUUUUCAUAUAAAAAGAAUAGGACUUGAAUCUAAGACUUGGCCUUCGUUUUCUCUAUGGGACUAGACGUCCGUACAUAAUUCAAUAUUUAAAAUCUUGUAUUAAUUCAGUUAUUUUUCUUUUAAAAAUAUAACAUAACCCAGGUUUUUUUUUAAUAUAUUUUUUUCUUUCUUGUUUUUUAUCUGGAAACUCUCCCUCCUGGAUAAGUUUAUUGGAUUCACGAAAUCCAUUGAAUAAUGAAAACUAGUUAAUAUUGCAUAUGCAAACAGAAAAUAUAUAUGUAGAAUAAUCAAAGUGAAUAAUAUGCAUAAUAGAGUUUUCCAUGCAAGAAUCUAAUAUAUGUAAUAUUGUAAAAGUACUUGCCAUAGAAGAAGAUGACGAGGGUGCCGAGAUGCGUCGAAUUGCCGAGAUGCGUCGAAUUAACACUUUUUCAGUAUCUUUUAAGAGAUUUGAGGUAAGCAAGAAACACUAUAUUUUAAAAAGAUUGUGUUUGCCACUUAAUAAAUAGUGUUAAAUUUGCACUAUCUCUCCACUUAGUAAACAGCCAAACAGAGGAACACGUGAAAAUCAAGAAGAGAAAAAAAAGAAGAAGAAGAAGAAGAAAAGUUUGUAACAACCAUCUUCCACACGCACCGUCUCAUCCAAGAAAAAGAAUGUCAAAUUAUAAAAUUAUAAUUUAUUUAUAUUUAUAAAAAAAUAAAUUAUAAAAUUGGGUCUAUCACCUGAAGUGCGCAGACCGUCCAUGCAAUGACCUGCACUCAUCAACUAUUUUUAAUAUGAUUUAUAUUUAUUAAAUUAUAAAAUAACAAAAAAAACCCAAUGAAAUAUACAAAUGCCCUUAGUUUGAACCACAAGUGACUAACUAGAUAUCUCAAUUGAUGAGAAAGCAGACUAGUAAACAGCCAACAGUGGCAGUUCUCCUCAGGCAUUACACCGUGAUGAGUGCGAGACUCUUCAAAAUUAUCACACCGUGAUGAGUGCGAGACUCUUCAAAAUUGAUGAGAAAGCAUAGUAGUCCCUGCUUCUGGAAUGAAUGUAACUCUGGAAUUAUUCCAAAUCCACAAGUUUCAUAAUGUUGUGUUGAUUGUGAGACAUUAUUAUUUCAAAAACUGAAGGGGGAUAAAAUUGCCGAAGAAUUUUAAUUUUAUAAAUUAUUUAAAAUAAAAAAAACAAUAAUCAAAAGAAUAAAAAUCAAAUUCUAAUAAAUAACAAAUUAAAAACAUAUUUUGAAAUUUUGAAGUGCCACAUACGGAAAUCAAGAAAAAAAAAAGUUGUCGAUAACAAACUAAAAACUAUCUGCCACACGUGCCGCCUCAUCCAUGACAGCAAUUGGUCAAUGAACAUCCCUGCACGCACCACCUGAUGUGUGUGGAAUUGCCCACGAACUAACCUGCACUCAUCAACUAUUUGUUUUUAAUAUUAUUUAUAUUUAUUAAAUUAUAAAAUUAGAAAUAAACCACCCUGAUAAAAAAAAAAACCAAUAAAAAUAUACAAAUGUCCUUGGUUUGAACCACAAGCGACUAACUAGAUAUCUCAAUUAAUGAGAAAGCAGACUAGUAAACAGCCAAUUAGAGGAACGCCCUGCUUCUCACGUCUAAUGAAAGCAAUUGAAUGCAGGAAUAGGGCCAUACUCACAAGAAAAUUGAUUUACACCCGACAUAGUACUUUGUAAGUGUAAAAGCUAUAUUUCUGUGUCUAUAAAUAUAAGUAGAUUUUUUUAUGGAAAUAUCUUCUCAAUAAAUAUCAAAAUAUUUAAUAUUGCAAUUCAGAGCAUAUAUCUAACUGUGUUUAAUAAUUUUUUUAUUUGAAUAAAUUUGUAUUUAACCAAAAGAUUAUCCAUGCCGAUAAAACGAUGUCUACCAAAUAUUUUUUUUUUAUUUUGUAUUUUAAAAUAUUAUGAAAUGAGCAUCACUUGCCUAUAUUUAUUUAAUUAAUUAAAUGAAAUGAAAUGAAAAAAAUGUCUAUAAAAAAGAGAAAUUAAAAAAAAACAACAAAUAAAAAUACUCGAGAUAUCCCGAGUCAUUUUCAAAAUAAGUGAAAAAUCUUAUAGAAAGAAAAUAAAAAAAAAUCAAUGGAGCCCAAUAUCUAAUUAAAUAAAUAUUAAAGGAUGAAACUAAAAUAAACAUGAGCUUAAAAAAAGGGAAAAAACCAAGCAAACUCGGGUGAACCUCCUAAACCUGAGUUAAUCUCUAAAACUCCCAACUUAUGAAAUCCUAGACUUGAACUUGAUUAAGAAGCACAAUUCUCAACUAAUUUAAUGUUGAAUAAUGAAAACAGGAAAAAAAAUCAAUUUAAAAAAAAAAUUGCAAAAGUGAAAAAAAAGUUAGCAAUCAAAAGAAUGAGGAAUCAAAUCUGAUAGGAAAAAAAAACUUAUGGAGGAUGAUAUUGUAAAAAAAUAUCAAAUUAAAAAAUUAUCUCAAAUAAAAAAAUAGCAAUCAAAAGAAUAGGAACAAAAUUUGAAAGAUAAAAAAAUUAAAGGGGUAUGAAAUUGUCAAAGAAUUCUAAUUUAAUAAAUUAUUCCAAACAAAACAAAUAAUGAUCAAAAGAACAGCCACCAAAUCUUAAGGAAUAACAAAUUGAAGGCAUGCUUUGAAAUUUUGAAGGGGCACAAGCAAGAAUCAAUGAGAGAAAAAAGUAAGAGAAAGAAAAGGUUGUCGGCACCAAAUUGAACAACCAGUUCACUUGGUAUUACCAAACGGUCGACCGGACCAACUUAAAUUCCAGAUUUUGACAAUUUAAACCUGCUGAAUCUUGAACUGAUACUAAUCCUAUAUACAUGUAGAGUGAAGUGUUUGAGUCAUUUUAAUUGUGCUAUUAAGCUAAAAUAUAAAGAUUUACAAAAUCACUUAAAUGAACAAUUAAUUCUUAGUCUUCACUUGUUUUGCAUCUUGGAUAUCCUCAUUGAUUUUUUCAUGACAUCCUUCAUGCUUGUUGAUGUCAAAACUAAUUUUUGGGUUAUUCCCCACCAUUUUUUACCUUAUUCCUUUUCAAAAUAAAAAUAAAAUAAUAAAAUAAUAAUAGCAAGGAUACUAGCGACGUAGAAAAUGUUGGCUGGGGAAGGAUUUUAAAUAUAGAAAAAUUAAAGUUUUGGAGUCAAUUAAGGGCUGCAUUAAUGAAAUUUUCAGCCAAGAAUCAUUUUGAAAAAGGCAAUUAGGGACUUGAUUGAAGAAAUACAAAACCAAGGACCAAAUUGGAAAAGGCACGUGAAUAUAAGGGUUGAAAUUGACCGAAUCAGGGACCAGAUUGAAGAAAUUGGAAGUUUGUUGAUCAAUUGAAGGUCAAAAUGCACAAAUUCAAAACCAAGGAUCAAAGUGAAAAAGGCAACCAACUUCAAGGCUGACAUUUGAAUUUGAAAAAGAUGCAAUUGAAUUAAUUCUUAAAAUCAAAAUCUAAAUCGAUGACUUAAUUGAACAAAUAAAAAAUUGAGGACUGAUUUGGAGAAAAGCACUUCUUAGGCGCCAUUUUUAUUUAAAUGAAAUGGCGCGUUUUGUACAAAACGAUGCCAUUUCAUGUAUUCUUAUUCCAAAAAGAAAAAAAAAAGACAGCUCAAAAUGGUGUCAUUUUGGAUGGCACUGUACAUCUUCUACUUCCCUAGACGUGCUGUAGGCAGGGGAAAAAGGUUUUUUUCCCCUCCUUUACAGCACCUCCCUCCCUCCCUCCCUCCCUCCCUCUCUCUCUCUUUCUCUCUUUCUCUCUUUUUCUCUCUCUCCCACUUGCCUAAAAACCCUAACACAACCCACACCCCCUCAUGGCCUACCACCAUGAUGAAAGGGGCAGAGGGAACAAGCCUUACAGGCGACUCUAGGGCGGCUACACAGUGGACGCCCUAGCACUACACUACCCCUUCAGCAUGACUAGACAGGGGUAGGGCAGCUCCCCCCCCCCCGCCCUUUAUAAAUACCAUCCGUACCAGGAGGUUGGGGGGCGAAAGAAAGAAAAAGGAAAAAGGAACGAAACAAAAAAGAAAAGGAAAGAAAGAAAAACAAUGGAAAACAAAGGAAAGAAAGGGAAGAAAAAGAAAAACAAAGAAAAAAAAGGAAAGAAAAGAAAGGAACACUCUUUGGCCUCUACUCGGAGAAGAAAAGGAACCUCUUCUCCUCAUCUCUCUUGCUAGUUAGUAGCAGCAGCCACCAUUCCUCCUAGUCGCCACCACAACAAUGCCACCGUCAACAUCAGCAGCCAUGCUACCCUCACUCCAAGUAAUCUUCUUCCCCUCUAUGUAACAUCUUCUUACCUGCUUUCCUUCUUCAUUUCAUUUGCAUGCAGAAUAUGAGCAAUUCACAUUCUGCAUAGUAACUAAUUACUGUGCUAAGCACAGUAACCAUUUAAUGGUUUUUUGGGCUGGGUCUAGCCUUAUAAAAAAAAGAAAAGAAUAUGUUGGGUCGACAUCGGCCCAACUCUUUUGGGCUGACCUCGACCCAAUUUCUUUUGGUUUGUAUUUUUACACUAUAAAUAUACAAAAUUCGUUAUUAAAAUACUUGUUUUUUCUCCAAAAUGUUGCAAAACAAAUAUAUAGAAAAACAACAAAAAACAUUUCUUGUUCUCAUGCAUAUGACCAAGUCUAAAAAAUAUAAGAAAUUUCAUAUUGUAUUUUCAUACAAAAUAAAAUUCAAAAAAAUAUAUGUUAGCAUGCAUUCUAGGCUUUAAUAACCAGUUUAUUAAAGCAAUCAGAACUACGCCUAUAUUUCAAAAAUACUAAAAAAAUAUUUUGUUUUCUUUUAGUAUCUAGGAUUAUAAACUUAUACAUAAGACGUAUUAUGGAUAUUAAAUAAAAAGGUAGUUCUUUUUUUUAUAUGUAUUGACAUUAGAACGGUUAGGUUUUUACCUGAUAAUAUAAGGAUCUCCUUACUAAGGAAGACUUUUCCUAAACCUUAGACUGACCAACAAUUAGAAAACACAACAAUAUGUUAGUUAUAUUAGAUAAUUAAACAAUGCAGAUUACCUUAGAUAAGACGCAUUAAAGGUGCUAAUACCUCAUGUGAAACUUCAGAAAUUUAUAAUUUAGAUAUGUAGAUGACUUGGUGGAAACUCUGUAAAACCCCAACAAAAGACUUCACCAUGAUGAAUUGAAUAAUGAGAAAUAAAAUAUAAAUGGUGGUAAAUUGUAAACCCCCGAUCAAAUUUCAUGAUAUUAAUAAAAUUAUUGAUAAUUCAGAACCCAAAAUGGGAUGAUCUAGUUAAAAUAAAAUAAAAUGGAAUAGUAUUGAAUUAUUAGAAAAGAAAUUUUAGAGAGAGAUUUUUUUUGCAUGGUAUUUUAAAAGUGAGCAGCGAAAAGGCAUUUGGUUGAACGAAAAGAUACCUAAACUUGAUAUAAGGGUGUUUUAGUAAAUAUAGAUAGAUUUGCUAUAUAAAUUGCAAAAUUAUGCAGAAAUUAACUAGGAGUGCCGAAUGAAAGGAAAAGAGAGAGAGAGAGAGAGAGUACCUUGAGAGCAGAAAUUCAAACGGCCAUAUCUCUGAAUUGCACUGUUACAUUGGUUUUUGGGAUAUAUUAUACUUCUCACUACCCUCUAACAUCUAACCAUUGGGAUCUGAAUGUUCUAGUUCGAUGUGAGAGAUAUAGCCCUCACAACAUUUCAAGGAAAAUCUGCUUGCAGGUCAGUCAUGGUCUCUAGCAGUUUCCACCCUUGUCCACUGUUGGAUCCUGCUCAAGUUUGGAUAUAUGGGUCAUAUUGAUGAGCUCUUCAUUAUGAACGGUGGAGAUCAGGAUUAUAGACUCCGAUAAGAAGUUAGUCAUCGAAGAACAAUAUGUUGUCAAUUUUCAGGUCCGUUUUGGUUUUGUCUUGAUCUAGAAAGAUCUAACCGUUACAAUGCUAUGAUUUGUUUAAAUUAGGUUAGUAGAAAUGAAAUGAAUGGAAAGUGUGGUGGCUUAAUUUGUGUUUAACCAUCGAAAGCAUGCUAUUUAUGAUUUAAAUUGAAGAAAAUCCUUAGUGUAUUUCCUUAGGCAUGUUCGGCUAUAUUAUUGAUAGUAGGAAAAGGGAGAUAUUGGUUGUCCAAUCUAUGAAUUGGGACUUAACAGUUUUAUCACCCACCUUUCAGCUGUGGUUAGGGAGCCAAAAUGAUAAAAUUCCAGAUUGGGUUCUUCACAAAGCUUGUAGGUAUAGAUGUUAUCUUUUAAACAAAACUGACCUCGUAUAAUUUGGAGUUAUAAAACUCCAGAUAUGGACUGAAAAUGAAAGAAGGGUCGAACUGUCUUGUACUUGACAGAUUUGGUUGAGUAUUAUAACAGAUAAUUUCGGGGGUGUUAAGGGCAGAAUUGGUCUUCCGAUCCUUUAGUAGAGUUGUAGAACCGUGUCUUACCUUUCCAACAAGCCAAACCACACUUAAAACUGAAUUCUAUAACUUUACUUACGAAUUAAUGAGGUAGUUGAAGGAAAUAAUCGGAAAAUGAAAUCAAAACAUGGUGAUGAAUUAAUUUGAAUGAGAUGGCAAUAGUAUGAGAACACACAUUGUGAUAAAAUUAGAAGAGGGUACUAAUUGUAUCUCUUGAUUCUCAAAUAGAAGAGAUGCCUGGAGUAGGGUCGUCAGGAGUUGAUGGGACUCGAUCGGUUGGGGAAAUAGGUAGGUGCAUCACACCUUGUCUUUUCAUUUUGUGUAAACUCAUUGAUAAAUUUCAAAAUUUACUGUUUUAUUGCGUUGAUAAAUAUUGGAAUGAAUAUGAGUACCUUGUAUAUAUUGAUGUGUAUCAACUAGUUAUUAUAUAAUUGGAAUGGAUACGAGUACCUUACGUACAUUGAUAUGUAUCAAACUUGUGAUGAUAUUAUUAGAAUGAAUAAGAGUACCUUGCGUACAAUGGUAUAGAUCAAUUAGUUAAGAUAAUGUUUGAAUGAAUAUGUAUACCUUGCGUAGAUUGGUAUGGAUCAAGAUCGCUAGGAUAAUGUUUGAACGAACAUGAAUACCUUGUGUACAUUGUUAUGUAUCAAAUUAAUUAUGUUAUUAUUAGAAUGAAUAUGAUUACCUUGCAUACAUUGAUAGUUAUUGAAUUAGCCAUGAUAACUUUGGAAUAGACGUUAUUAUCUUACAUACUUCAGUAUGAAAUAUGUAUACACAAUGACUAGGAGAUUGGAGGAGAAAUGAUAGAUAAUUGGUCAUUGUAGUGUCGGUCGCUAAUGAUACGUUAUGAUGAUACUUAGCACCAUGAUGAGGGUGGUUAAGGGCAUAAAUUGAUGCUUGGCACUGUGAUGAGGGUGACCAAGGUUAUGUGAAUGAUGCUUAAUGAUCGUAGUGUUUGUUACAAUGUAUAUGAUGUUAAUAAGAAGAAUAAAAGGGAAUCGGUACAAAUAGAAGGUUGAGAAGACAUUGAUUAGCUAUCUAGGUUUGGAUAGCUAAUGGUAUCGAUGAGGUUCCAUUGGUACCGACAUUUCAGAUGACAUUAAUUAGCUAUCCAGGUUUGGAUAGCUAAUUGUAUUGAUGAGGUUCCAAUGGUACCGACAUUUCAGAUGACAUUGAUUAGCUAUCCGGGUUUGGAUAGCUAAUGGUAUCGAUGGGGUUCCAUUGGUGUCAGCGUUCCUUAAAUUGAUUAGUCAAUCCCGAGUAAUUAGGUGACUAAUGAUGUUAGUAAAGAUUUAUAACAUCGGCAUGGUUACUCCUGGUUAAGGGAAAAAAAUAAGUUGAUUAAUUAUUCUAGGUCGUGAAUAGUUAAUUAUAUCAAUCGGUCCUAUUGGUAUCGACAACCAUUUCUGGUGUAAUUAGCUACUCCAGGUAAGGAGGCUAAUGAUGGCAAGGGUUCUUGACAUUGACAACUUUGAUGGUAAACCAGAUAUGAAUAAGAAUUGAUUAACUAUUUUAGGGUAGAAAUAAUUAAUGAUAUCAAUUAGUUGUAUUGAUAUCGACACUUAAAUGGAAUUGAUUUGUCUAACCCGAUAUUGGGAGACUAAUGAUACUAAUGAGAUUCAAUAGUAUCGGCAAUUACCUUCCGAAAAAUGAAAGAGAAAAUAUUGAUUAGUUAUUCCAAAAGAAUGAGAUAAGCUAAUGAUACCAAGAGAGGAAUAUCUUGAUAUCAAGUGAGAAUUGAUUCAUAAGGAGAUGGUGUUCGAAACUAUUGAGUUGUAUUGAGAUUUCCAAGAUGAAAUUAUUUUCGGCAAAUGGGAUAGGAUAUUAGAUGGAUAUUGGUAAUAGAUGGAAAAUAUAUGUUGUAAAAGUGGUCUAUGCCUAAUUUUAUGUAUCAAAAGAAAUUCUAUAUAAAUGAUUACAUGUCAUUGUUAUUGUUUGUUACUACCUUUUUAUAUUUAUAUGUACAUGUUAAUUUUUAUUUCCAGGUUCAUUAGGGUCGCGUCAAGAGUUAUCUUAGUUUAGUUACCUUUUGCUUUCGGCCAUGUAAUGAUUUGUAAAUUAAGAGACUUCUCUCCUAAAACUUGAAAUGUAAUAUUAACCCGUACAUUUGGAUGUAUGACUUUAAUCUAAUGUUUGUAAUUCUAAGUACCUAUUUAACCAUGCAUGUUUAUAGUUGUAAUCGAAUCCUUCACUUGAAUAACAUUUUAUGAUGUUAUUAUGCAAGAUAUAGUUUAUAUGAUGUAACAAUUGAAUUAUGCAUUGUUAUUUUGUGAACUUGAAUUGUAUAAUGUUAUUGAAUAAGAUGUGUUGUGUUGGUGAUGAUGAGUUGAGUUAAGAUCCAGGAUGAUUGGAUCAGAUUGUGAAAUGAAAUUGGAAGUGUAAUAUGAAUUUGUCGAUAACUUGGGACCUCCCUGUAUAGAGGAGACUCUGCUAAAAUUUUGGUAGAAAUUUUGAUGGAACUUGUAUAUAAAAAUAACAAUGAUGAAAAAAAAUCAGGGUUGUUACACCUUCUCUUCACGCAACCAGUCCCCAUGUCAGAUCUCUGAGACCAGUUAGGGUUCCUAGUGAUCAAAAUACUAUGUGGCAACUCUCAUUCCCUCUUUCCACUAAUAAAGGACAAGAAUUCCUUGUCUUUCCCAUUUCCCAACCCGAGAGGAUGUUAGCCGUGAUGUCACACACGUGCGACAACCAUCAACAACUCUUGUGAGCCACCAAGAAUCUCCAUUGUGUAUAUAACAACCAACCACAUAACUCAGGAAGCUCUGACUAGUACUAGCAACUUCAAACUAACCACUUACCCUCUCCCAUGGUGACUGUAGCACCUAUAAGCAGUAGAGAGAAGAAUUAAAGAGAAAGAGGAAUUACAAUAGAAAUAGAACAAAGUAGAAAUUUCAACUCAGCCGAUCUUCUUUCUCUGGUUGUUGUGAGCCUCACCAUUGGGGUUAGCAGGAAGAGGAAGGACUGAUCUACCAUACUGAGGUCCUCACACGAUUUGAGGUCUCGUCAGCAUGACGCGCCAACAUUGGCAGUUCUCUUCUAGGGCGUGCAACAGACACAAUGCCAUUGAUCAACCUACUUCCAAUAGAUUCCAAACAUCUUUAGGCAUUCUCAAAGGUGAAAUAUUAAUGUUAAGAUUGAAAUUUGUUAAUGUUGUUUGGUUUUAUGAACAUAAUUUUGAGGUGAUGAGAAAGUUGUUUGAUUUGGAGUUUUGUUAUAAAUAUAAUAUGAUAUAAGUAUCAUGUGAAAAUAAUAAAUGAGCAUUAUUGAUUUCGAUUGUUUGAUUAAAAAAUAAUUGAAAAGUAUGAAUUGUGAUUUUGAAGAUAUGAUAGACAACAUGUACAUUUUUUUAUAAAAGAAAUGUUGAUUAGAAAUUGUUUGUUAAUUGGCUAUGUCCAUAUAAAAAAUAAAAAACAUGCAAAAUGUGUGAGAUAUUUGUUUUUGGAAGUUAGUUGGAUGAAUAUUAUAAGAUGGUUGAAUAUAACCAUAAAAUUUAAAAUUUGAGAAUUUUUAGAUCAUUGUGAAAAUUCUUGCAAUGAAUAUAUAUGGACCGAUUAUUUUUAUAAAAAUAACGAUUGAUUAAUUAACCCAAGAUUGUAUGGUCUAACCUUAGGCUUUAUCUUUCAGGUGUUGAUUAAUAAAGAAAAAGGAAAAGAAAAAGAAAAAGAAAAAGAAAAUUGUCCUUGUAUUGAUUGUUCUUAUUAAUUGAUUAAUUAAUCCAAGAUGGAAUGGUCUUCUACUAGGUCCUCUCUUUCAGAUGUCGGUUAUCGAGUAACAAGAUCAAUUAAUAUUUGAUCGAUGAAUUAACUGUUUCUAUUAAUUACUAAUUGACCCAUGAUGAUAUGAUCUAAUAUUGGGUUAUGUUCUUCUAGUGUCGAUAAGUGAAUAAUAGCACCAAUUAAUACAUGAUCUCUAGGAUAUUAACCAAUAAAAUUAAGUAGCCCAAGAUGGAAUGGUCUAAUAGCGGGCCCUGUUCUUUGAUUGCUACAUAAUGAAUAAUAUGAAUUUUUCAACCCGCAAUAAGCCUCAUAUAUAGGUGUGCUCAUCAUUUGCAAAUAACUGAGGAUAGAAAGGUCCAAUAGUAGAACUUGUCCUUUAAAUGUUUUCUAAUAGAUAAUAAGAACUAUACAUCGAAUAACAUACAUACUAGUUUAGGUGAACCAAAAACAAAACACAUUUAUCAUUAAAAACAAACAACAAUGCAGCUUACCUUGAGUAGGAUGUAUAGGGUUAUGUCUAUAUUACCUAAUACAUAACCAACCCCUUACCUAGAACUUCUAAAGAUCAGUUAGGAUUUCUAGUUACUAUAAAUCUAGGUGACGACUUUUUUUCACAUAGCUCGCCUCGAUGUUCACAUGCAACACAAGUUUGAGCAAGUGAACCGAGUUACAUGUUGACCCUUUAAGUCACUCGAGUUUGACUGGAUCAUUGUCCACUUCUGUUCAGAAGAAAAUCAAAACAAAACAAGGUUUUGGGUCAACGAAUCAGGAAUGCAUCCUGUUGGACUAGACCAAGUUUAAUGACUAUGACUUACAUAACUUCUCGUAGAAAUUGCACUUGGAUCUAAGUUUUUUGAGGUAAAAAAAUAUUAUAAAAAUAGCACAAUUAAUUAGUUGCAUUGUUAGGAACGAUUCAACCAUAUAAAUUACGUUGUUCUCAACCAUACAAUUCAAUAUGCUACACUAUUAAGAAUAUCGUAAACCUUGUCAUAAUCCAUUUUUUGGUUAUUCCCAAAAUUCACUUUUUCUCUUCCAAAAAAUGAAACAAAAUAUUAAAAAAAAAAUCUAAAAAAUAAUAACAGUGAGAAGAGGCUGUCAGAGCGCCCUGAAAAUAGCUAAAAAUUGGUUGAGGAGGCUCAAAAAUUCAAAGAUUAAAAUUUGACAGUAUAUUUUACAGAUGAAGAGCCCUGUUGACAAAGAAAAAUUCAAUUUGAGGAAAAAGUCCAAAAUCAGAUGUUUAUGGACUCAAUUAAAUUUUAUUGGAGGUUUAAUUGAAUUUAUAUAGGGUUUGAUUACAAGAAAAAAUUAUUUAAAGUCAAUUUAGGCUUUAAUUGGAGGAAAUUAAGGUUCUGGGUCAAAAUACAAUUUUUUAGAGUUGAUUUGGUCAAAUCAGGGGCUUAAUUGAAUAGAUAUUGAAGUUUGAUGGCCAAUUAGGGACUUGAUUGAAGAAAUCCAAAACCAAGGACCAAAUUGAAAAAGGCGCGUAAAUAAAGGGACUGGAAUUGACCAAAGCAGGGGUCAAAUUAAAGAAAUUGGAAGUUUAUUGAUCAAUUAAGGGUCAAAUUGCAUAAAUCCAAAACCAAGGACCAAAGGAAAAAAUGCGCCGAAAUCUGGGGUUUAAAUUGAAGUUCUUCAUGGGUAAAAUUGAACAAAAUUAAAAGUUUAAAGCCAAUCAGGGGUGUUGAUAGAAAUUAAUCACAAAUUGAAGGACUAAAUCGUAAGAUACUAUUCAUCUUCUUCUCCAGCUAGGCUGGUUGGGUGGCCACCUUCCCAAGGCAUUUGGCGCCUCGUUUCUUCACCAAAUUGGAUGAAACGUACAAGAAAACAAUCCUGUGAUACCUGACUACACGCUAGUGUAAGACGUUCGGGUUGAUCGAGGCUGUAGAGGCGGUGGCACCGCCCCAAAGUGGCCAACCCGACCAGCCAUUUUUCCUGCAAACUGACAGUUCAUCAUUGCUACUUUGAGCUAAUGGUUGGGAUGCUUUCGGGUUGAGCCAAUGGUUGGGAUGCUUUCGGGUCGAACCAAGAGCUGAGAUUUUGCACCAGAAGAGACAAAGUGUCCCUCUUCCGCCACCUAUAAAUAGAUUUUAUCUUCAUGCUCAGGGGGUGGAGAAAUAUGGGUCCAAAGACAGCAAAAAAACCAGCCUUCCUCCCAAGAAUUUUUUCUUUUCUGCCGUCUGCCUCUUCACACUCUCUCUCUCUACGCCGUCCAGGCCACCACUGUCAUCACCGUCAGCUUUUAAGCCACCAUCUCCACCACAGGAAGCCAACACAGCCACCACCGCUUGCACCACGCUGUCCUCCGCCACUGUCAGAACCACCGCAGGUCAGCCUUCCCCCCCUUCUUCUUCUUCUUCUUCUUCAUCCCAGCUGUUCACUGCGUGAACAGUAGACGUGAAUUAAUUCAAUAGGCGUGAACAGUAGGCGGCCCAAUCACAAAAAUUUUCAAAAAAAUAUUUUAAAUUUUUAUACCGUAAAGAUACAAAUGCGAUAUUAAAAUACCCGGUUUUCUUCAUAACAUUGCAAAAAAAUUUAUAAAACAAAAAAAUAUUUUGUUUUCAUGCAUACAGCCAAGUCUCUCCAAGAUAAAAAAAAACAAUUAUAUCAUUUUUUCUUAUAAAAAAAAAUAUAAAAAUAUAAAAUAUGUUUUAGCAUGCAUUUUGGCUUUAAUAACAAGUUUAUUAGAGCCAUGAGAACUAGGCCAAUAUUUAAAAAAAACCCAAAAAAAAAAUUUUGUUUUCUUUUAAUAUCCGGGAUUAUGAAUUUAUACGUAAAGCAUACUUCUGAUAUUAAAAAGUUAGUUUUUUUAUUUGACGUUAGCACAGUUAGAUUUUUACCCGAUAAGAUAAGGACCUCCUUACCGAGGAGGACUUUUCUUGAGGCAUAGAUAGACCAAAAAUUAGAGAACACAAUAAGACCUUAGUUUUUAUCAGACAAUAAAACAAUGCAACUUACCUUAGGUAGGACGUAUUUGGGUACUAAUACCUUCCCUUUACGCAUCCAGUCCCCGUACCCGAUCUCUGAGACCAAUUAGAGCUCCUAGUGACCAAAAUACUAGGUGGCGACUCCCAUUCAAUUUUUUCCAUUGAUAAAAGACAAGAAUUCCUUGUCUUCCCAUGUUAGUUGUAGUGAAAUUAAAGUUCAAUAAAAUUCUUUAACUUUAUAGGUUAAUUAAUAAUUAUCAAUGAAAAUAAUUAGUUGUAGUCGAUAUAAAUUUUCUUAACUUGGUUAAUUAAUAAUUAUCAUAAUUAUCACACCAUGACAAAUGCGAGACUCUUCAAAAUUGAAGGAAAAAAAAAUAAUGAAGUCACCACCUAGUAAUAAAAAAAAACUAGAAAUCCUAAAAUAGACACCGGUCAGUAGGUAUUGAGUUAGUUAUACCUAAGGGAAGAUCGAUGUCACCCUUACCGCAUCCUUUCAAACGAAAGCUUACCUCCACAAUGUUUUGUUCUAAAUUUAUUCUAUGCAUACUAUUAAUUAUCUAAAUCUAUUUUUAUUUUUAUAUUAAUAAAAAAUUAAUGUUGGUCCCUAAGAAAAGAAGACUCGACGAUAAAAGAAAAUCUUGACGUUAAUCCCUAAAAAUAGAUAAUUUCAUCGAUUUAGAAAAAAAUAUUAAUGUUAAUCUCUACUGUAUGUUUUUUAAAACACCUCCACACACAAAACCCUUCAUACUGAAAAACUAAACAUAUAAGAAAAAUCAAACAUCCACAUUAAAAUUUCAUAACUGAGGGCAUCAUACCCCACAAGUUGCCACACCACAGUGUAAAUCCCAACGCUUUAAAUAUCGCAAACAUUCACAUUAAUACAUGAUUAGUCUCAAUCAAUAAGCAUUUCAUCAUAAUGUCUAACAACAUAAUAAAAAAUUAUUCAAAAAAUUAAUUUAGGCCUCAACAACCUUUUAGAGUGGCUAAAGUUAAUCAAAACAAUUGGAAUUGGGUGAAGAAACUAUUAGAUUAUUGAGGGCAAUAUUGGCAUAUGACAACCACGUGCUAGUGUGUGAUAACAAUUAUUGGUGGUAUCUCGUCCCAUGCGCCAAUGAUGGUCACAGAGGUGGUUAGCUAGAUCGGGUGUGCCACUAUAUUCUUUUCUCUUCCACAUUGGUGGUGUAGUCCACCACUCUUUGACGAGGGAGAUUGAGCCACUUGAACAUUUAAUUUCUCUCUCUUGUUUUCCUUCUCUCCCCACCUCUACUUCCACUGUUACUACCUUGCUACUACUAGUUAAGAAGCUAUUGUGAUGAUGUUGGAAAGAGAUUACAACAUUGAUAGUGGUGUUUUGUUUUGGUAAGUGAGAUUGAUGUUUUUCUCUAUUUUUGGGUCCCUGGAUAAAAAGGAGAAAAAAGAAAAAAAUCAAGAAAAAAAUUGUUGCAAGAAAACCAAAAAAAAUAUAUAGCAGUAAGAAGAAGACAUGGGGGCGCCCAAAAAUGGCCAAAGAUUGGUUAAGGAAGUUCAAAAAUACAAAGAUUGAAAUUUGACAGUAUAUUAUUGAUUGAUGAAGGCCAUAUUAACAAAGAAAAUUGAAUUUGAGGAAGAAAAGUCUAAAAUCAGAUGUUUAAGGACUCAAUUAGAUUUUGUUGAAAGAUUAAUUGAGUUUACGAAGGUGAUUGCAAGAAAAAUUAAUUUUUAAGUUAAUUUUGGUUUUAAUUGGAAGAAAUUAAAGUUUGAGAGUCGAAUUAUAAUUUUUAGGUGUUAAUUUGAUCAAAUCAGGGGUUUAAUUGCAUAAAUAUUGAAGUUUGAUGGGCAAUUAGAGACUUGAUUGAAGAAAUCCAAAACCAAGAACCAAACUGGAAAAGGUGCAUGAAUAUAAGGGCUGAAAUUGACCAAAUCAGGGGUUAAAUUGAAGAAAUUGAAAGUUUUUUUUAUCAAUUGAUGGUCAAAAUGCACAAAUUCAAUACUAAGGACUAAAGAGAAAACGAUGGCCAACAUCAGAGGUGACCUUUGAAUUUGGCAAGGAUGCAAUUGAAUUAAUUCUUAAAAUCAAAAUUCCAAUUGAGAACUUGAUGAAUAAAUAAAAAGCUAAGGACUGAUUUGGAAAUUGAUACAUUUUGGUGCCAUUUUCAUUUAAAUGAAACGACGCAUUUUGUACAAAAUAACGUUGUUUCAUUCACUGUUCAUAUAUAAAAAAAGAAGCUUGUUUUGAACUGCAUUGUGCAUCUUCUUCUUCCCUUGACGCGCAAAGGCAGGGGAAGAAAGUUUUUCUUCCCCUUACUUUCUUCCCCUUCUUUGCAGUGUCUCCCCUCCCUCUUGCCCAAAAACCCUGACAUAACCCACACCCCCUCAUGACCUACCACCAUGAUGAAAGGGGCAGGGAAGACAAGCCCUGCAGGUGACUCUAGGGUGAUUGCACAGAGGCCGCCCCAGCCACCCUACCCCGUCACCAUGACUAGACAGGGGUAGGGUCGCUCUCACUCCCCUACCCCUUAUAAAUACCCCCUCACCACGAGGUGAGGAGGGAGAAAAAAUAGGGGGAUGAUGAGAACAAAAGAAGAAGAAGGAAUGGAAAAAAAUAAAAAGUAGGAGAGGGAAGGAAAAAAACGAAAUAGAAAAAAAUAGAGAAUAGAGUUUGUUGGGCCGAAAUCGGCCCAAGUUUGUUGGGCCAACCUCGGACCAGUUUGUUUGAGCCAAAUCUCGGCCCAACCAGGGUGGGUUCAGCCCACAUCAUUGGGCUGGGCCCAACACAAUAUAUUUUUAUAAUAUAAUAUUAAUAUUAUAUAUUAUUCAAAAAAACAAAAUGUUCCAAGAAUUUUCAAAAAAACUUUUCAAAACAUUUGUGAUUUUCUCGUGUAUUUUUCUAUCAAUUUUAAUUAAUAUUGGUUGAUAUUUUUAUAUUGUAAAAAUACAAAUCUGGUAUUAAAAUACACAGUUUUCUCCGUAAAUGUUGUGUGUGUGUGUAUUUGAAAAACAAAACAAAUGCUUUGUUUUCAUGCAUAUGACCAAGUCUCUCAAAAUAUAAAAAAAUAUUUCAUAUCAUAUUUUCAUGCAAAUAAUUUUUUUAAAAAAAUACGUGUGAGCAUGCAUUUUGAGCUUUAAUAACUAGUUUAUUAAAGCCAUGAGAACUAAGCUCAUAUUUCAAAAAUAUCAAAAAAAAAUAUUUUGUGUUUCUUUUAGUUUCUGAGAUUACAAACUUUUAUAUAUAGACAUUAGAACAAUUAGGUUUUUACCAAUAUUAAAAAUAUAGUUCUUUUAUAUAUAGAUUUUAGAAUGGUUAGGUUUUUACCCGAUAAGAUUAGGAUCUCCUUACUGAGGAGAUCUUUUCUUAAACCUUAGACAAACCAACAAUUAGAAAACACAACAAUACUCUAGUUAUAUCAGACAAUCAAAUAAUGCAUCUUACCUUAGGUAAGGAGUAUUAGAGGUGUUAAUACCUUCCGUUUACGCAACCAGUCUUCGUGCCCAAUCUCUGAGACCAGUUAGGGUUUAUAGUGAUCAAAAUACUAGAUGACGACUCUCAUUUCCUCUUUCCACUAAUAAAGGACAAAAAUUCCUUAUCCUAUCCAUUUCCCCACACCACAUGCCAAUAUGGAAUUUCAGGAGGAUGUUCGCGCGAUGUUGCAUCAUGUACGACAAUUGAGAAAAGGGAUGGUUGGAUUUUGGUCUCGACAUGAGUUGUUUUGGUUGUGAUAUUGGUGAUCAAUGUUGCUAUUAUCAUUAUUAGUGUAUGUCAUUGGAAGCUGCUAUCAGUGGUCGGUGAAUUAAGUGUUCUACUAUUAAUAACAAAUGUUGAAAUUAAUUCAAUUAAACAUAAUUAACGAACAAUAUAAUUAAAUUGCAUAAAGUAAAGUGUAAAAGGAUAGGAAUUGUAAACUCAGUUUUUAACAUGGUUUUGGCAAGUCUAUAUCCACACCUCAAGCUCCUAAAUUAGUCUUGUGUAUUUUGUUCUUUCACUAGUCCAAGUUGAAGAUUACAAUUGUCACUUGAUGAAUCCACACCAAGAUUUUACACCACUUGAAGAUAUUUUUUUAUGACAGUUUGAACCCGCUGAAUCUUGAACCGAUACUAAUCCUAUAUAUAUACAGAGAAGUGUUUGAGUUCAUUUUAAUUAUGACAUUAAACUAAAAUAUAAAUAUUUAUAUAAUUACUGAAAUGAACAAUUAAUUCUUAGAUUCUCAUUUCAUCUUCAUUUUCUUUGGUGGCUAGGUUUUAGAGAAGAAGAAGACUUUUUUUUCUACACUUUCACUCCAUUUUGUUUCUUUCUCUAUCUUAAAUUUUUCUUCAAGGUUUGCUAGGGUUUCUUACCCACUUUUUGAUUUCCCUCUAAUUUUUCUAUAGAGGCUAGAGUUUUUUUUUACACCUCCUCCUUUUUCUUACCUUGCCUUUCUAUUUAUAGGCCAUGGGGUAGGUUCUAGAAUCUUUAUAGGUAGAACAAUCAUAUUCUUUGAUUUUUUUCGGUACAUUUGACCCUUCAUCAUUGUUGUAUAUUUGGCACAACAUGCUCGUGUUCUAUAAAGCUCACACCAAAUCUUAAUCAUAAAGAGUGGGAAUGAGAGAGAGAAAAAAGAAGAAGAAGAAGAAGAAAAUGGGGCUGAAAAACUUCACUGCCAUUUUUCAAAAUCAGACGACCCGUUUCCUUUCAAAGGGUAGCCAAAAAGUUCCCAUACACACCCAUUAGCGAGCUUCUUCUUUACCAAAAAAAAAACUAAAAAAAUUAGAUCAUCAUUUUCAAACCACCUUCUAGCUAGAACUGGAAACAAAAAAACAGUACAGACUCUCUCAUCAGCGCUGUCUCUUUACGCCACCCUCGAGUUACUACUAUCUUGCCCCACGUUGACUCAAGGAACCAUAGCCGCUGCUUCCACAGUACCGUUAACCUGAGGUGUUCAUUACCGGAAUCAUAACACAAGGCAGGCCAGGAGCCCACUCACAUCGUCCAUGUGCAUCUUCAGCGUGCUCGUUUUACAUUCUUGCCUCUGACCUCUCUGGACUUAGCUUUAUUCAAGCACUAGCCACUCAAAAAAAGAGUGAAGAUGAGGUACGGGAUAUCCAGUGGAGCUGUCUCCAUCAUAAUCACUCAAGGUAUAAAGCUUCUACCUAUUCUCAUGUAGUUGUAAUCUUUUACAUGUGCAUGCUACUGCAAAGGCAAGCUCCCGUUUUUCCUUUAUGUGCUAUGAAGUUAACAUAUAGUGUUGUAAGGUGUGUGGAUCGUCUUUUAAGUCCUAACCUGGUCACGGGUGUUCUUUCACUUGCUACGGGUACUGAAGGGGAUGGGGUGUGAUUUUUCCUUCAAGCGCAUAUGGUCUUGAAAACUUGAUUGCAUGUCCUAAGUUCAUGUUAAGACCUUGCCUAGUUAAUUAAGAAUGCUCUUACCCAAGGUUAAAGUUCAAGAACGGUAUGAGAAUGCUCUCUCAUUUUAUUUAGAUCGCUCAUUGAUUAUAAUAUUGUUGACUUAUUUUAUUAGAUUUUAAUGUAAUUUAAUUUCUUGACUAGAAUUAUCAGUAUAUAAUUAGUUAAAAAAUUAUUUAUGAUUUUAUGAUUUUACGAUCUGAGUUUAUUUUAUAUUUUUCGUGUCGUGUCAAAAAAUAUUUUUGACAACCUUGAACCCAGGAUCUUGACUUUAUUGAUCCACAAUCCCCAAACCAUAUUCGCAAACUAAAACUUUUUUUAUAUAGUUUAAAACAAGCACCUCGUGCAUGUAUUGAUUGCUUAGUGAAUUCUUAGUUUCUCAAUGGAUUUUAUAUUCGUAAAUUUUUAAGUGAACCCAGGUUAUAUUAUCAUGAUAACUAAAAUAAAAUGAGCUAAAUUUAUUUAUAAAAUGAGCACCACACGCUUAGAUUUAAAUUCCAUAGAAAGAUUAGCACCUGAUGACAAGUUAACUCGGGAAACAAAGGUAAUAACAAUGUUUUGAGAUUGAAUUCGACACUAGGUCUACUUAGUAGUUAGUACAUAUAAGUUGAAGGAUUGCUACCUUGACCAAUGAACUGAAAAUAUCUUUAAUUUAUAAUGAAUGGCAUACACCAUACAGUUUUACCAUAUCAACAGCAUGAAAAUUGAUAAUCGAUCCUUUAGGGAUAUUAUUCCAUUUCUUUAUUAAUUAUCAUAAAAACAUUUAUUAAAUGUGUUGUCCUCCAACUCUUUCCAUAAAAAGAAAGAGUUGUGAACCACAACAUACAUUUGAUCAUGGACAAAAGGUAAUCAAAUAGUUGCCUCCACUAGGACAAGUAAACGUGCUCGAUUUAUCAUCAAAAGCAUAACUAUAAGCUUGAGGACACUGCUGCUUGAAAGUCAUCGAAUAUUGGGUAGGAGGACAUGUUUCAGCUGUAUUAUGGUCUCCUGUGCAGCAGUACUGCGGCUGGUUAAAUGCCAAACACGCACUCUUGCAGGCAAUCACAGUCCCAUCUGAACCUUUCACUGCUAAACUAGGAUCACAAACAGCAUUCACGUUAGCUGCACAGCUUGUAGAAGGGCAGCCAGUAGAACCUCCUUGCGGGGUUACCGAAAUUGGGAGGUUAAAGCCAUCAACAAGGCUUAUAUCGUAAUAAUCUUUCCCACCAUCACCGCUUAGAGUAAAUUCUGCCAAGGAUGCUGGUGGGAUCGCACCGGCUCCAUUGCAUUCUAUGACACCAGAGGCACAGUCAGCAGUAGCACAAACAAACUUUCCCGAGGCAUCUGUAGAGCAUUGCGUUCUGGCCCACAAGCGGCCAGACCAAUUGACAGGGACACUCAGCGAAGAUGAAGCACCCGUUGCCAAUGUGAAGCCAGUUGAAGAUAAAGACGGACCGCCAGCAGCCGUUAGAGUUCCUGGCCAGACUGUGUAUGGACAGUUGUUUUUGAAGUCGAAAGUCACAGAUUGAGCUCCUGCAUGCGUGCAAGAUUUAUUUUUGUUGAUAUCAAUAAUUAAAUCUUGGUCGAUUCAAAGAUAACAUAAUUCAAUAUUUAAAAUCUUGUAUUAAUUCAGUUAUUUUUCUUUUAAAAAUAUAACAUAACCCAGGUUUUUUUUUAAUAUAUUUUUUUCUUUCUUGUUUUUUAUCUGGAAACUCUCCCUCCUGGAUAAGUUUAUUGGAUUCACGAAAUCCAUUGAAUAAUGAAAACUAGUUAAUAUUGCAUAUGCAAACAGAAAAUAUAUAUGUAGAAUAAUCAAAGUGAAUAAUAUGCAUAAUAGAGUUUUCCAUGCAAGAAUCUAAUAUAUGUAAUAUUGUAAAAGUACUUGCCAUAGAAGAAGAUGACGAGGGUGAAGGUAAUUAUAGCAAUGGGCAUACGACUCUCCAUUGCCGAGAUGCGUCGAAUUAAUUAAGACCUUUUCAGUAUCUUUCAAGAGAUUUGAGGUAAGCAAGAAACACUCUAUAUUUUAAAAAUAUUAUGAAAUGAGCAGACUUAAUAAAUAGUGUUAAAUUUGCAGACUAGUAAACAGAGGAACGUCCUGCUUCUGAUCACGUCAAAUGAAAGCAACACCCCAUUGAAUAUUGAAUGUAACUCUUGUCCAGCAGACGAGCCGUGAUGAAUGUGACACUCUUCAAAAUUAUCACACCGUGAUUAAUGCGAGAUUCUUCAAAAUUAAAGAAAAAAAAAUCACCACCUAUUAAUUAAAAAAUUUAGAAUUCAAAAAUAGACAUUGGUUAGAGAUUUAGGCAUUCGGGACAACUCGCUCUUCUGGCACCAGCACAGCACUUCGUCGAAAAGAAACCCAAUGAAAUAUACAAAUGCCCUUGGUUUGAACCACAAUAUAAAUGAAUUAUAUUCCACAAAACAUCGAAAGAUGUACUUUUAAAUUUAUUUUUUAAUAUUUUGGAUAAUAUAUUUAAAUUAAAAUUUUACUGUUAACUUCAAAUAUUCAUGUACAUGAGUUAAUAAUUGAUCUUAAAAAAAAAUUAUAUAUUUAUUUAAUAGCUCAGGACACGAAAACUUCUUUGCUCCGCCCUUGCUAAUAAUCAUCUUCCACACGAUGACAUUUGACAAUGAAUAUCAAAUUAUAAAAUUAUAAUUUAUUUAUAUUUAUAAAAAAAUAAAUUAUAAAAUUGGGUUUAUCACUUGAAGUGCGCGUAGACCGUCCAUGCAAUGACAUGCACUCAUCAACUAUUUUUAAUAUUAUUUAUAUUUAUUAAAUUAUAAAAUUAGAAAUAAACCACCCUGAUAACAAAAAAAAAAAAAAAACCCAAUGAAAUAUACAAAAGCCCUUAGUUUGAACCACAAGUGACUAACUAGAUAUCUCAAUUAACGAGAAAGCAGACUAGAAAACAGGCAAUUAGAGAAACGUCAAAUGAAACCAACACCCAAUUGAAUAUUGAAUGUAACAGUACCGGUCCCUUGUUUGAACCACAAGUGACUAACUAGAUAUCUCAAAUUCAAUUGAUGAGAAAGCAGACUAGUAAACAGCCAACAGUGGCAGUUCUCCUCAGGCAUUACACCGUGAUGAGUGCGAGACUCUUCAAAAUUAUCACACCGUGAUGAGUGCGAGACUCUUCAAAAUUGAUGAGAAAGCAGAGUAGUCCCUGGCUUCUGGAAUGAAUGUAACUCUGGAAUUAUUCCAAAUCCAUUUGUCUAAUGAAUGUUACUCUGGAAUUAUUCCAAAUCCACAAGUUUCAUAAUGUUGUGUUGAUUGUGAGACAUUAUUAUUUCAAAAACUGAAGGGGAUAAAAUUAUAAAAGAAUUUUAAUUUUAUAAAUUAUCUAAAAAAAAAAUAAUAAAAAUAAUAGGAACCAAAUUCGAAUGAAUAACAAAUUAAAAACGUACUUUGAAAUUUUGAAGUGCCACGUACGGAAAUCAAGAAAAGAAGAAAUAAGACAAAAAAAAAGAUUGUCGGUAACAAACUGAAAACUAUCUACAACACGUGCCGCCUCAUCCAUGACAGCAAUUGGUCAAUGAACAUCCCUGCACGCACCACUUGAUGUGUGUGGAAUUGCCCACGAACUAACCUGAACUCAUCAACUAUUUUUUUUAAUAUUAUUUAUAUUUAUUAAAUUAUAAAAUUGGAAAUAAACCACCUUGAUAAAAAAAAAAAAAAAAAAAACCCAAUGAAAAUAUACAAAUGUCCUUGGUUUGAACCACAAGUGACUAACAAGAUAUCUCAAUUAAUGAGAAAGCAGACUAGUAAACAGCCAAUUAGAGGAACGCCCUGCUUCUCACGUCUAAUGAAAGCAAUUGAAUGCAGGAAUAGGGCCAUACUCACAAGAAAAUUGAUUUACACCUGACAUAAUAUUUUGUAAGUGUAAAAGCUAUAUUUCUGUGUCUAUAAAUAUCAGGUAGAUUUUUUUAUGGAAAUAUCUUGUAAAUAAAUAUCAAAAUAUUUAAUAUCGCAAUUCAGAGCAUAUAUCUAAUUGUGUUUAAUAAUUUUUUUAUUUGAAUAAAUUUGUAUUUAACCAAAAGAUUAUCCAUGCCGAUAAAACGAUGUCUACCAAAUAUAUAUUUUUUUAUUUUGUAUUUUAAAAUAUUAUGAAAUGAGCAUCACUUUCCUAUAUUUAUUUAAUUAAUUAAAUUAAAUUAAAUGAAAAAAAUGUCUAUAAAAAAGAGAAAUUAAAAAAAAACAACAAAUAAAAAUACUCGAGAUAUCCCGAGUCAUUUUCAAAAUAAGUGAAAAAUCUUAUAGAAAGAAAAAAAAAAUCAAUGGAGCCCAAUAUCUAAUUAAAUAAAUAUUAAAGGAUGAAACUAAAAUAAACAUGAGCUUAAAAAAAGGGAAAAAACCAAGCAAACUCGGGUGAACCUCCUAAACCUGAGUUAAUCUCUAAAACUCCCAACUUAUGAAAUCCUAGACUUGAACUUGAUUAAGAAGCACAAUUCUCAACUAAUUUAAUGUUGAAUAAUGAAAACAGGAAAAAAAAUCAAUUUAAAAAAAAAAUUGCAAAAGUGAAAAAAAAGUUAGCAAUCAAAAGAAUGAGGAAUCAAAUCUGAUAGGAAAAAAAAACUUAUGGAGGAUGAUAUUGUAAAAAAAUAUCAAAUUAAAAAAUUAUCUCAAAUAAAAAAAUAGCAAUCAAAAGAAUAGGAACAAAAUUUGAAAGAUAAAAAAAUUAAAGGGGUAUGAAAUUGUCAAAGAAUUCUAAUUUAAUAAAUUAUUCCAAACAAAACAAAUAAUGAUCAAAAGAACAGCCACCAAAUCUUAAGGAAUAACAAAUUGAAGGCAUGCUUUGAAAUUUUGAAGGGGCACAAGCAAGAAUCAAUGAGAGAAAAAAGAAAAAGAGAAAGAAAAGGUUGUCGGCACCAAAUUGAACAACCAGUUCACUUGGUAUUACCAAACGGUCGACCGGACCAACUUAAAUUCCAGAUUUUGACAAUUUAAACCUGCUGAAUCUUGAACUGAUACUAAUCCUAUAUACAUGUAGAGUGAAGUGUUUGAGUCAUUUUAAUUGUGCUAUUAAGCUAAAAUAUAAAGAUUUACAAAAUCACUUAAAUGAACAAUUAAUUCUUAGUCUUCACUUGUUUUGCAUCUUGGAUAUCCUCAUUGAUUUUUUCAUGACAUCCUUCAUGCUUGUUGAUGUCAAAACUAAUUUUUGGGUUAUUCCCCACCAUUUUUUACCUUAUUCCUUUUCAAAAUAAAAAUAAAAUAAUAAAAUAAUAAUAGCAAGGAUACUAGCGACGUAGAAAAUGUUGGCUGGGGAAGGAUUUUAAAUAUAGAAAAAUUAAAGUUUUGGAGUCAAUUAAGGGCUGCAUUAAUGAAAUUUUCAGCCAAGAAUCAUUUUGAAAAAGGCAAUUAGGGACUUGAUUGAAGAAAUACAAAACCAAGGACCAAAUUGGAAAAGGCACGUGAAUAUAAGGGUUGAAAUUGACCGAAUCAGGGACCAGAUUGAAGAAAUUGGAAGUUUGUUGAUCAAUUGAAGGUCAAAAUGCACAAAUUCAAAACCAAGGAUCAAAGUGAAAAAGGCAACCAACUUCAAGGCUGACAUUUGAAUUUGAAAAAGAUGCAAUUGAAUUAAUUCUUAAAAUCAAAAUCUAAAUCGAUGACUUAAUUGAACAAAUAAAAAAUUGAGGACUGAUUUGGAGAAAAGGACUUCUUAGGCGCCAUUUUUAUUUAAAUGAAAUGGCGUGUUUUGUACGAAAACGAUGCCAUUUCAAGUAUUCUUAUUCCAAAAAGAAAAAAAAAAGACAAAGCUCAAAAUGGUGUCAUUUUGGAUGGCACUGUACAUCUUCUACUUCCCCUAGACGUGCUGUAGGCAGGGGAAAAAGGUUUUUUUCCCAUCCUUUACAGCACCUUUCUCUCUCCCUCCCUCCCUCUCUCUCUCUCUCUCUCUUUCUCUCUUUUUCUCUCUCUCCCACUUGCCUAAAAACCCUAACACAACCCACACCCCCUCAUGGCCUACCACCAUGAUGAAAGGGGCAGAGGGAACAAGCCUUACAGGCGACUCUGGGGCGGCUACACAGUGGACGCCCUAGCGCUACACUACCCCUUCAGCAUGACUAGACAGGGGUAGGGCAGCUCCCCCCCCCCGCCCUUUAUAAAUACCAUCCUUACCAGGAGGUUGGGGGGCGAAAGAAAGAAAGAAAGAAAGAAAAAGGAAAAAGGAACGAAACAAAAAAGAAAAGGAAAGAAAGAAAAACAAUGGAAAACAAAGGAAAGAAAGGGAAGAAAAAGAAAAACAAAGAAAAAAAAGGAAAGAAAACAAAGGAACACUCUUUGGCCUCUACUCGGAGAAGAAAAGGAACCUCUUCUCCUCAUCUCUCUUGCUAGUUAGUAGCAGCAGCCACCAUUCCUCCUAGUCGCCACCGCAACAAUGCCACCGUCAACAUCAGCAACCAUGCUACCCUCACUCCAAGUAAUCUUCUUCCCCUCUAUGUAACAUCUUCUUACCUGUUUUCCUUCUUCAUUUCAUUUGCAUGCAGAAUAUGAGCAAUUCACAUUCUGCAUAGUAACUAAUUACUGUGCUAAGCACAGUAACCAUUUAAUGGUUUUUUGGGCUGGGUCUAGCCUUAUAAAAAAAAAAAGAAUAUGUUGGGUCGACAUCGGCCCAACUCUUUUGGGCUGACCUCGACCCAAUUUCUUUUGGUUUGUAUUUUUACACUAUAAAUAUACAAAAUUCGUUAUUAAAAUACUUGUUUUUUCUCCAAAAUGUUGCAAAACAAAUAUAUAGAAAAAUAACAAAAAAACAUUUCUUGUUCUCAUGCAUAUGACCAAGUCUAAAAAAUAUAAGAAAUUUCAUAUUGUAUUUUCAUACAAAAUAAAAUUCAAAAAAAUAUGUGUUAGCAUGCAUUCUAGGCUUUAAUAACCAGUUUAUUAAAGCAAUCAGAACUACGCCUAUAUUUCAAAAAUACUAAAAAAAUAUUUUGUUUUCUUUUAGUAUCUAGGAUUAUAAACUUAUACAUAAGACGUAUUAUGGAUAUUAAAUAAAAAGGUAGUUCUUUUUUUUAUAUGUAUUGACAUUAGAACGGUUAGGUUUUUACCUGAUAAUAUAAGGAUCUCCUUACUAAGGAAGACUUUUCCUAAACCUUAGACUGGCCAACAAUUAGAAAACACAACAAUAUGUUAGUUAUAUUAGAUAAUUAAACAAUGCAGAUUACCUUAGGUAAGACGCAUUAAAGGUGCUAAUACCUCAUGUGAAACUUCAGAAAUUUAUAAUUUAGAUAUGUAGAUGACUUGGUGGAAACUCUGUAAAACCCCAACAAAAGACUUCACCAUGAUGAAUUGAAUAAUGAGAAAUAAAAUAUAAAUGGUGGUAAAUUGUAAACCCCCAAUCAAAUUUCAUGAUAUUAAUAAAAUUAUUGAUAAUUCAGAACCAAAAAUGGGAUGAUCUAGUUAAAAUAAAAUAAAAUGGAAUAGUAUUGAAUUAUUAGAAAAGAAAUUUUAGAGAGAGAUUUUUUUUGCAUGGUAUUUUAAAAGCGAGCAGCGAAAAGGCAUUUGGUUGAACGAAAAGAUACCUAAACUUGAUAUAAGGGUGUUUUAGUAAAUAUAGAUAGAUUUGCUAUAUAAAUUGCAAAAUUAUGCAGAAAUUAACUAGGAGUGCCGAAUGAAAGGAAAAGAGAGAGAGAGAGAGAGAGUACCUUGAGAGCAGAAAUUCAAACGGCCAUAUCUCUGAAUUGCACUGUUACAUUGGUUUGGUUUUGGGAUAUAUUAUACUUCUCACUACCCUCUAACAUCUAACCAUUCGGAUCUGAAUGUUCUAGUUCGAUGUGAGAGAUAUAGCCCUCACAACAUUUCAAGGAAAAUCUGCUUGCAGGUCAGUCAUGGUCUCUAGCAGUUUCCACCCUUGUCCACCGUUGGAUCCUGCUCAAGUUUGGAUAUGUGGGUCAUAUUGAUGAGCUCUUCAUUAUGAACGGUGGAGAUCAGGAUUAUAGACUCCGAUAAGAAGUUAGUCAUCGAAGAACAAUAUGUUGUCAAUUUUCAGGUCCGUUUUGGUUUUGUCUUGAUCUAGAAAGAUCUAACCGUUACAAUGCUAUGAUGUUUUGGUACGUGUUUCAUGUUAUAAUGGUGGAAAGUGUGGUGGCUUAAUUUGUGUUUAACCAUCAAAAGCAUGCUAUUUAUGAUUUAAAUUGAAGAAAAUCCUUAGUGUCUUUCCUUAGGCAUGUUCAGCUAUAUUAUUGAUAGUAGGAAAAGGGAGAUAUUGGUUGUCCAAUCUAUGAAUUUGGACUUAACAGUUUUAUCACCCACCUUUCAGUUGUGGUUAGGGAGCCAAAAUGAUAAAAUUCCAGAUUGGGUUCUUCACAAAGGUUGUAGGUAUAGAUGUUAUCUUUUAAACAAAACUGACCUCGUAUAAUUUGGAGUUAUAAAACUCCAUAUAUGUGUCGCGGGUGCGCGGCGUCGCGGCGAAAAUUCCACUUUUUAGAAUCUAGGAAGUGUGUAUGGUAUCUAUCUGGUAAAUGUGGGGAGACAAGAAAAUAGUCUUUUGUUGGUAGGAAAAUGGAAUGGGAGUCGCCACCUAGUAUUUUGGUCACUAGGAACCCUAACUGGUCUCAAAGAUUGGGUACGGGGACUGGUUGCGUAAAGGGAAGGUAUUAGCACCCCAAAUACGCCCUACCUAAAGUAAGCUGCAUUGUUUAUUUGUCUGAUAAAAUUCAAGGUCUCGUUGUGUUUCCUAGUUGUUGGUCCGUCUAUGGUUCAAGAAAAGUCCUCCUCAAUAAGGAGGUCCUUAUCUUAAGGGGUAAAACCUAAUCCUUCUAACGUCUAUGUAUGUUGGUCCGUCUAUGGUUCAAGAAAAGUCCUCCUCAAUAAGGAGGUCCUUAUCUUAUCGGGUAAAACCUAACCGUUCUAAUGUCUAUGUAAAAAAACCCAUAUUUUUAAUAUCAGGAAUACGUUUUACGUAUAAAUUCAUAAUCCCAAAUACUAAAAGAAGACAAAAAGAUUUUUUAAGAAUUUUUGAAAUAUUGGCCUAGUUCUCAUGGCUUGAAUAAACUGGUUAUUAAAGCCAAAAUGCAUGCUAAUACAUAUAUUGUUUUGAAAUUUCCUUUUGUUGUGUGAAAAUAUGAUGUUAGAAUAUUUAUAUAUAUAUAUUGGAGAGACUAGGCCGUAUGCAUGAAAACAAAACAUUUUUUUUUGUAAUUAUGUAUUUUUUGAUGUUUUGACGAAAAUCGGGUAUUUUAAUACCGGAUUUGUAUCUUUACCGUAUAAAAAUACAAACCGACAUUGAUCAAAAUACAGUAAUAAAAUUACAACAAAAUCGCAUAUUUUUUAAAUGAUUUUUGAAGAACCCUUUUUUAUUUUUUUAUUUUUUUUUUUUUAAAACAUGUAUACAUAUAUAAAUAAUACAAAACAAUAUAAUAUAUAAAUAUAUAAUAUUAAAUGGGUUGGGCUGGUCCGGCCCAACCAACUGGGCCGGACUCAGCCCAAAAAAUGUUGGGCCGAUUUCGGCCCAAAAUGGAUUGGGCCGAUCUCGGCCCAAAAAACUGAUAUUCUUCUCUGGGCCAGACCCGGCCCCGAAGACAGGGCCGGGCCAGGAUCUGCCUGGACCGGACCAAACGGGCGGGGGGAAUUAAUUCCCCCCCCACCCCUGCAUGCAGAACGCUACUCGUUCUGCAUGCAGAGAAGGAAAAAAAAUAAACACCAGAACAAGGGGGGAGGAAGAAUUACCUGGCGCGGAGGAGGCGAUGGCUUGCUGAUUGGAAUGCUUCGCUGGUGGUGCUGUGGUGGAGGCCGGUGGCGGUGUCAUGGCUCACGGACGGCGGCUCCAAGCGGCGGUGCUGCUAUUUCAAACGGUGGAGGGUGAGGUUACUGCUCUUCCCUUCUCCUCCGUAUGCCUUCCUCUUCUUUCGUUUUCGGUGGUUUCCUUUUAUCCUCCCGGUUUGUUGUCAAGUUUCCUACCCCGUUUCAAGCUUUUCCUUCCUCUCCGUUUGAGUUUAUCAGUGGUUCCCUUUUUAUUCGGUUCUGUUCUCUGUUUCUCUCUAUUUCCUCUUCUUUCGGUCCUCUCCCCUUUCUCCUCCCUUUCUUCUGUGUUCUUGGGUCUAUUUAUAGAGCCAAGAGGCGGGGCUUUUUAUGGCUGCACAUGGGGGGCAGGGGCUGCGGCGGUUGGUCGGCCAUUCGGGUGCAGCUGUCGAGACGUUACUCCCCUGUUUUCUGCAUGGCGCGCGGCGGGUGGUCGGCCAGCGGGCGUGGCUGGCGAGGUGCGGCUCCCUCGGUUUCCUGGCAAGGCAUGUGGUCAAGAGAGAGGCAGCACCGGUUUAAAGAAGAAAAACCAUUUUUCUUCCUUCUUCUGCAUCGCGUCCAGUGAGGAAGAAGAAAGGGGAACAGUGUCGUUCAAAACGACACCGUUCCGAUCUUCUUCUUCUUCUUUUUUUUUUUUUUUUUUGGCAUGAAACGGCGUCGUUUUAGGCAAAACGCGCCGUUUCAUUUAAGUCCAGCAAGACGCCAAAACGCGUCAAUUUGCAAAGCAGCCCUCAAUUAUCUUCUUUCCUUCAAUUGCAUCCCUGCCAAUUUCGGUCUCCGCCCCUAUAGUUGGCCGCGUUUUUCACUUUGGUCCUUGGCCUCUGAUUUAUGCAAUUGAGCCCUCAAUUGAUUAAUAAACUUUCAAUUUCUUCAAUUAGGCCCCUGAACCGAAUAAUUGCAGCCCCUCCAUUUACGCGCCUCUUCCAAUUUGGUCCCUGAUUUCGGAUUUUCUCAAUUAAGUCCCCAAUUGGCCCUUAAACUUCAAUAUUUAUGCAAUUAAGCCCCUGAUUUGACCUAAUAAAUUCCUAAAAAAUAUAUUUUGGCCCCAGAACUUAAAUUUCUUCUAAUUAAAACCCAAAUUGACUUAAAAAUCAAUUUUUCUUACAAUCAAAUCCCCUAUAAAUUCAUUUAAAAAUCCAAUUAAGUCCAUAAACAUCCAAAUUUGGGCUUUUCUCCUCAAAUUUCAAAAUUCCCCUCUCAAUAGGGCUCUCAUCCUUCAAGAAUAUACUGUCCUAACUCCAAUCUUUGUAUUUUUAACCUCAUUGACCAAUUUUCCAACCAUUUUCUGAGCACUCCCACCUCUUAUUAUUUUUUCUAAUUUCUUCCGGCUAUAUAUUUAUAUUUUUAUGGGGGGAACCCAAAAAUGGGUUACAACAGAUGCCCCCUCUUUAUAAUGCUUACGGAGCAGAGGUCUUGCGCAGUAAGUUUUAUAAAGAUAAACCCCAAAACGGAACUCCCGAAACUGAUCUGGUUGAAGCUUGAUUAAUCUGAAACUUGUCUUUUACAGCAAUCCUCCUCAACUUGGAAUCCCAUCUGGCGAUCUCCUUUAGUCAAUUUGGAAUCCCAUCUGGCGAUUCCUUUUUUAAUCAACAUGAAAAACGAGGUCCCAUCUGGCGACCUUCAAAUAGCGAAACAUGAGAUCCCUUCUGGCGAUCUCCUUUAAUCAAACUUGGAAUCCCAUCUGGCAAUUCCUUUUAUUCAAACGAAAUAUGAGGUCCCAUCUGGCGACCUCCAAAUAGCGAAAUACGAGAUCCCUUCUGGCGAUCUCCUUCAACUUGGAAUCCCAUCUGGCGAUUCCUUUUAUUCAACAGGUAAUACGAGGUCCCAUCUGGCGACCUCCAAAUAGCGAAACACGAGAUCCCUUCUGGCGAUCUCCUUUAUUCAACUUGGAAUCCCAUCUGGCGAUUCCUUUUAACCAACAUGUAAUACGAGGUCCCAUCUGGCGACCUUCAAAUAGCGAAACACGAGAUCCCUUCUGGCGAUCUCCUUUAAUCAACUUGGAAUCCCAUCUGGCGAUUCCUUCUAACCAACAUGUAAUACGAGGUCCCAUCUGGCGACCUUUAAAUAGCGAAACAUGAGAUCCCUUCUGGCGAUCUCCUUUAAUCAACUUGGAAUCCCAUCUGGCGAUUCCUUUCAACAUGAAAUAUGAGGUCCCAUCUGGCGACCUUCUAAUAGCGAAACACGAGAUCCCUUCUGGCGAUCUCCUUUAAUCAACUUGGAAUCCCAUCUGGCGAUUCCUUUCAACAUGAAAUGAGGUCCCAUCUGGCGACCUUCUAAUAGCGAAACACGAGAUCCCUUCUGGCGAUCUCCUUUAAUCAAUUUGGAAUCCCAUCUGGCGAUUCCUUAUUACCAAAGCUGAUAUCGAUGUCGUUCUUCCUGAUGGCAGGGUUCAAAACUUUUCAUUCUCUCUUUUUCUUGUUAUUCUCGUUGUUCCAGAAUCCACUAUGGUUCAAAACCGUGAUUCUUUGCUAUCAUCCUCUAUGAUUCUUUCUUCGUCUCCAAUCUUGUUGGAAAGCAUCAAGGUCUCCUCCUGUAACGAUCCAAAAAACAUAUAUGCAAUGCUUUAUGAUUAGAUGUCAUGCAUGCAUUCAUACCUGGUUUUGAAACAUAGGCCCCAUCACCUUCUUCGAGUUCAUGAGCCUCCUUCUUAACCUGAGCUUGCUUUUGAAGUCGCAUGCUGGAUUCAUCUCUCGUGUUGCCUCCUAUCAUAUUUUGGAGAAGAAAUCUCUGACUUUCUUUAAGUAGUCCUUUUCCCAAAAUGUAUGAUUUGUCAUUGCCUCUUUGUCAUGCUUUUGUCAAAUGCUUUAGCUUGGUUUUCAAAUCUAUAGGCUUCCGUACAUUUUAAACACGUAAAACUUUUCAUGAAAACAUCUCUUAUUGCCCCCAGUGUAGGGGUGUGAUUUUAGCCUAGGCUUUUGUAUAGAGAAGGAAUUCGUUCAGCCGAUGCUAAACUUUUUUAGGUGCGAUAACAACAAAACAUGCGCUAUUGGGAUUAAUGCAAAAAAAUGAUUGUUGUGAGAUCAAUGCAAAAAAAAAAAAAAAGUCAAUGGCCAAACUUUGCUUUAUUGAUUUAGGAGCGUACAUCAAACAUAAUAUCUUUUUACAGAGUCAGAAUUCACAGGUCGAGCUAGGUCUUCUCCAUCCAUUCUAGCCAACUUCAGCGCUCCUCCUGAGAAUGCCUUCUUUACUACGUAAGGACCCUCGUAAUUCGGUGCCCAUUUGCUUUGAUCGUCUCCAGGUAACGGCAAUAUUUUCUUCAAUACUAGAUCCCCUUCUUGAAACAACCGCGGUCUAACCUUCUUAUCAUAUGCCUUGGCCAUUCGUUUCUGGUAAAGUUGGUGAUGACAUAUUGCGGCCAUCCUUUUUUCACUGAUCAGGUUUAGUUGCUCAUAUCUCACUUUGGCCCACUCAACCUCUUCUAGCUCGGAAUCCAUUAAUACUCUUAACGAUGGGAUUUCUACUUCCAAAGGCAUCACUGCUUCCAUACCGUAUACCAAAGAAUAUGGGGUAGUCCCUGUCGAGGUCCUGACUGUAGUGCGGUAUGCGUGAAGUGCGAAUGACAACAUCUCAUGCCAAUCUCUAUAUGUGACUACCAUUUUCUGAAUAAUCUUCUUGAUGUUCUUGUUGGCGGCUUCUACUGCGCCAUUCAUCUUUGGUCGGUAUGGUGAAGAAUUCGAAUGCUUGAUUUUCCAUUUAGUACACAGCUCCGCUAUCAUUUUGCCAUUGAAAUUCUGUGCAUUAUCUGUCACUAUCUUUUCAGGAGGACCAUAUCGACAAAUCAAGUUCUUCUCUAUAAACCUCUUCACUACGUUCUGUGUUACGUGGGCAUAUGAACUAGCUUCUACCCAUUUUGUGAAGUAGUCAAUAGCUACGAGGAUGAAUCUAUGACCAUUGCUAGCUUUUGGGUUAACAGGCCCGAUCACGUCAAUUCCCCACAUUGCAAACGGCCAAGGGGAUAUUAGAUUAAAUAGAGGAGCUGGUGGCAUAUUGACCUUGUCACUGUAAACUUGACAUUUAUGACAUUUCCUGACAUAAUCGAUACAGUCUUUCUCUAGUGUCAUCCAAAAAUAACCAGCCCUUUGGAUUUUCCUCGCUAUCAUAUGCCCGCUAGCAUGGGUUGAGCAAAUCCCCUCAUGGACCUCCCGUAAUGCCUUUCUAGCAUCUGCCUCAUUCAAACACCUUAGUAGGGUCCCAUCAAAUGAUCUUUUGUACAAAAUCUCUCCAUCUAAAUAGAAGUCUAUAGCCAACCUUCUCAAAGUUUUCUUAUCCAUUUUGGAAGCUCCCACCGGAUAUUCGUGAUUUUGCACAAGGUUCUUGAUAUCAUAAUACCAAGGAUGUCCGUCUAUCUCUCCUUCAACUAAGCAACAAUAAGCUGGGUCAUUUCUAAUGUCAAUGUGUACCGGUUGUACCUUGCACUUGAGAUCAAUGGUAGUCAUAGCAGCUAACGUGGCCAAAGCAUCCGCAAAAUGGUUCCCCUCCCUUCCCAGAUGGGUGAAUCUAAUUCCUUCAAAUUCCUUUGCUAGCGUGGAUAGGUAUUCCUGGUACGGCCUCAACUUGUCCUCCUUGGUCUGCCAUUCCCCUUUAACCUGACAAAUAAUCAACAUUGAAUCUCUAUAUACAUCUAACUUCUUUAUCUUCAACUCUAAUGCCGCUUCUAAACCGAGGAUACAAGCUUCAUACUCAGCUGUGUUGUUGGUGCACUCGAAAUGUAGUUUAACCGAAACUGGAUAUUGUUUCUUAUUAGGAGAGAUUAUUACCGCACCGGCCCCGUUACCAUAUACAUUCACUGCACCAUCAAAAAACAUCGUCCACCAAUCUGUCUUCUCUUAUUCUUUCUCUAUUGACAAUAUAUCUUCAUCAGGGAAGUCAAAAUCCAAAGGUUCAUAAUCUUCAACAGCAUUAUCGGCCAGAUGGUCUGCAAUUGCACUUCCUUUUACGGCUUUCCUUGUCAUGUAUACUAUGUCAUAUUCUGCUAAUAGAACUUGCCACCUUGUAAUUCGACUUGAGAGAAAGGGCUUGUUACAAAUAUACCUCAGAGGAUCCACUUUUGAAAUUAACCAAGUGGUAUAGUAUAACAUAUAAUGUCGCAACCUCUUUGCAGCCCACACCAACGCACAACAAAGCCUUUCUAUCUCCGUGUAUCUAGACUCACAUUCAGUGAAUUUCUUACUUAAGUAAUAAAUAGCUCUUUCCUUCCUUCCGGUUUCAUCAUGCUGACCCAAUACACAUCCCAUGGCCGCUUCAGUCACUGUUAGAUACAAUACUAAAGGUUUUCCUGAUACCGGAGGCACCAGUAAAGGUGGAUUUUGUAAAUAAUGCUUGAUUUUAUUGAAUGCCUCCUCACACUCCUCAUUCAAGGUUCCAGGAUUCUUUUUCCUUAGUAGUCGGAAUAUUGGUUCACACGUCGUUGUUAACUGAGCUAUGAACCUAGCAAUGUAGUUUAAUCUUCCCAAGAAUCCUCUUACUUCUUUCUCCGUCUUAGGGGAUGACAUAGCUUGGAUGGCCUUCACUUUAUCUGGAUCCACCUCUAUACCUCUAUCACUUACCACAAAUCCUAACAGCUUACCCGAUUUAACUCCGAAUGAACAUUUUACAGGAUUGAGCCUUAAUUCAUACUUCCUCAGUCUCUCAAAUAACUUCCUCAAAACUUCAACAUGAUCCUCUUCCGGUCUGCAAUUGCACUUCCUUUUACGGCUUUCCUUGUCAUGUAUACUAUGUCAUAUUCUGCUAAUAGAACUUGCCAUUGCUCUUUGAUAGGUUGCUCCUGCAUUCUUCAAUCCAAAUGGCAUGACCUUAUAGCAGAAUGUUCCCCAAGGUGUGACAAAAGUUGUUUUCGUCUUAUCCUCCGGAGCCAUUUUUAUCUGGUUGUAUCCUGAAAAACCAUCCAUAAAGGAAUAUGUGGAACUCCGGGCAGCGUUGUCUACUAAAACAUCUAUGUGUGGUAGCGGAAAAUCAUCCUUGGGGCUAGCUUUAUUCAAAUUCCGAAAAUCCACGCACACUCUAAUCUUCCCCUCCUUCUUAGGCACCACAACAAUGUUAGAUACCCAUUGCGGAUAUCUAACUACUUCUAGAAAACCAGCAUCCCAUUGCUUCUCGAGUUCUGCCUUGACCUUGAUCCAGACAUCCGGGUGGGCCCUCCUCAGCUUCUGCUUGACUGGCUUACAACCUUCUUCCAACGGUAUCUUGUGUACUACAAUAUUUGUAUCCAAACCAGGCAUAUCUUCAUAGGACCAAGCAAAGACAUCUGAAUAUUCUUGUAAUAGGGUGAUCAUUUUGAUCCUUUGUUCAGAAGUAAUUAGGGUACCUAUUUUUAACUCUUUCUUAAGCUGAUCACUGCCCACAUUGAUGGUUUCGAGUUCCUCGACGAUAGGCUUCCAAGUCUGUUCCUGUUGUUCUACUAGCCUAGUGAAUUCACUGAUAUUGCUUUCAUCCCACUCUUCUUCUUCCAUAGCUAUCACAUGCUCGUUCAAGUUUGGCCAUUUAUUCUUGAUGCUAAAUGUAUGUGAUGUUGUGGGAGAUCCGCUUUCAGGAUUCCUGAAAGCGGGAAGUGUUUGGUGUAAAUGCAUAAAAAAAAGAAGGCAAUUUGUGAAAAGUGCAUGAUCUCACAAUUUAUUUAAAGAAAAGGUGGGCUCCAUGACAAACAUAAAAUCUAGCUGACAUCAUGAGCCUUGAUUGUCAACUAGAGGAAAUAAAAGCAAACAUAAGCAAUGACAAAAGCAUGUUAAGACAAACAAAAUUGGUUUACAUUUUGAAAACCACUGGAGCUUCUUGGGUCACCCAGUUCUGAAACUUCUCGUCUUGAGCUAACUUGCGCACAAAGGUCUUGGCGGAUACUUCUUCUAUGGUGUAGACCGUCAGUUGUGGGAGUGCUUCAUCUCCCUUUCUUGCUACUGUCUUCAUGUCAUCUCCUUCCACCUUGUUUUCCCCCAAGGUAUUUAUGCUCAUGUUUGACAGCUCUUGAUCAAGGCUUUCGGCUUCUUUAUCAUGUUACAUUAUGUAUGCAGCUUUUGGGAAUGACACGCUAAGGGGAGGGAUUUCCAGCUUUUCUUCAUCAGGCUCUCUUCCUUUAAUUCUAGCCAUCCUUCUUGCCCUUCUCCGACCAGCAGCCCACCGAUAAUCCUCUUGGUUAGGUUGGUACCCUAGCCCAAAUCUUUGAGCAGCACUUUUCAUCUUUGCCAGAUUAACCCCUUCUGGUAUCCUAAUAAUAAGGUUAUACUGAAAUGGGAUUCCGCGGUUCAAGAAGCAUAGACUUGCCAUCCUUGCUGCUUCUGAGAUCCUUGGCCUUCUUAGCACUGUGUUCUCCGACACCCAGUCGGUGUUCACAAUCUCAAAGGCAUGGAUAUUGUUACCCUUGCAAUCAUCCGCUUCGAUAAAAGGCACAGCUACAUUCUUUAUCAUGGAUACUGUGUCCUCGGCCUUGACAGUUACCAACAUCCCAUUCAUGAUAUACUUUAGGCAUUGGUGCAAUGACGAAGCUACUACCCCCGCUGCAUGAAUCCAAGGUCUUCCUAACAACAUACUAUAAGAAGGGUGGAUAUCCAUAACCUGAAGUGUUACUAGGAACAUUUGUGGUCCCACAUAUAGCUCCACUUCUAAAGUCCCAAUUAUUGGCCUAGGCGACCCAUCAUACGCUCUGGCCAUCAUAGUACUUGGCUUAACAUGGGAUUCAUCGAUCGGCAUUUCUUCUAGCAUGUGCUUUGGCAACACGUUAAGGGCCGAGCCAUUAUCAAUGAGUACUUUUCCUAUGAGGCAGUCCUUGCACCUAACCGUAAUGUAUAAAGGCUUGUUAUGUCCGGUACCUUCAGCAUCGAGCUCGUCAGCUGUGAAGUACAGGUAAUUCGUUGCAUGGAUCCUCCCCACUAGAUGCUCCAUGGUUUUGUGUUCGAUGUCUUGGGGUACAUAUGCCUCAUUCAAUACCUUUUGCAAGGCGUUUCGAUGCGGCUCAGAGCUGAGUAUCAAGGACAUAAGGGAGAUCCUAGCUGGAGUCUUCUUUAGUUGAUCCACUAUGCAAUAUUCGCUAUGCUUGAUCAACUUCAAGAAUUCAUUCGAUUCCUCUUCCGUUACUGGCUUGUUAACUUCUAGUGCUUUGUCCAGAUCUACCACUUCUUUGCCCUUUGACUUCCUCAACUCCUCGGGCGUAAAGCAACGACCACUCCUGGUCAAACCCCUUAUCUCAGGCUGGAACAAAGGAAGAGGAGCUCGGACGUUAGAGGCAUAACCAUAAUUAUAAGGCAUGGCAUUGUGAUUCCCUUUUGUGUAGGGCGGUUUAACCAAGAUUAGCCUUGGGGGCCCAUGAGCUGUUGGCUGGAUCCUGCAUACUCCUGUCAUUUCAUCUUGACCUUCCAUCAUACUCACCUCACCGCUGUUCUUCAUGGGUUCAAUCCUCAACUCCCCCAUUUUUAGCAUUUUUGCAAUCUUUUCGCAAAACUCGAUGCAAUCCUCAAUAUGAUGUCCAUCUCUUCCAUGGUAUUCACAAUAAUCAUAUCCCUCCGAAUGGCUCUCCACCUUUGUCUUUAGAAAUCCUGAUUGUACCAACAUGCCGUACAACCUCUUCAUGGACACCUUCGACACCUUGCAUUGAUUUCCCACUUCGAUCAUGCCUAUUCCACUACUAUUUGGGGCAUGCUUAGGCAAUGGGUUUGAAUUAACAUUGGGCUUGUCCUCAAAGGAUACCCAUCCCAUCUUAAUAAGCUCCAACAACCUCUUCUUGAAGGCGUAACAGGUUUCAAUCCCAUGCCCGGGAUUACCCCCAUGGUACUCGCAAGCCAACUCGGGCUUGUACCAAAUUGGGAAUGGUGGUUGUAGUGGUAGUGUAGGUAUAGGAGCUAUUUGUCCAAUGCUCAGAAGUUUGGCGUACAUGUCCUUCAAAGGCAUGGGUAAGGGUGGCAGUUGUUCUGAAGUGUAUUUUAUAUGGGGUCUUUGGUAGUGAUUUUGGUAGUUCGAUUGGUUAUUUGUUCGAUUAGGGGAAAAAGGUUGGUUAAAGUUUAUGCGUGAGAAUUGAGAGGUAGGUACUUGAGGAUUAUGAAAAUCUACUCUCUUGCCCUUAUACCCACCUUCCAGAUUGUUAACAUCGCCUUCUCUCUUUCUUCCAAUAAAACCCUUCUUCUCCACUGGCAUCGCUAUUCGCCCAGCUUUAAUCCCUUGUUCUAUCCUUUCAGCUAUGCGUACCGCAUCAUAGAAGUGUUGAGAGGAGCUACCCAUUAGGUGCUCAUAAUAAGGUGCUUUGAAGGUAUUGGCAAACAAGCUCACCAUCUCUGUUUCUAUCAAAGGGGGUUGGACAUGCAUUGCUUCAUCCCUCCAUCUUUGCGCAUAAGCCCUUACUGACUCCUGGCUCCUUUUCUCCAUUGUCAUUAGACUUGUUCGAUCAGGAGCGAUUUCCAUGUUAAACUUGUACUGUUUGAGGAAAGCCUCCACCAAGUCUCUCCAGCUCUUGAUCCUGAUGCUGUCUAACCUCAUAUACCAGCUUAAAGCGGAUCCUGCUAGGCUAUCUUGAAAGAAAUAGAUUAGCAAUUUAUCAUCACGGAUUACUUCCGCCAUUUUGUUGCAGUAGGAUCGAAGGUGAGUGUUUGGGCAUUCCAAACCGGUAUACUUAACGAACUCUGGUAUUCGAAAAUCUUUUGGUACCACGAUGUUUGGUACCAAACAUACUUCGGCUGCUCUCAUAGGGUCAAACCAAUCAUUACCCUCAACUGCCCUUAAUCUUUCUUCUAGUGCAAAUAGCUUGUCUUGGUCCAUCACACUGGGAGACCUAUUAUCCGGGACUCCCUCCGUUGUUAAGUCCACAGUGAUUGGAGCGUGAGUUGGCUGGAUAGGGGUGAUAGGCACGAAAUGUUGUUCAUUGGCCGAGUUUGCCCCCUGGUUUUGGGAUACUUGAGGGACGUACGCUGCUGGCGCUCCUUCAGGUUGUUGUGCUGAUGUUCCCUCCCCAUUCUUAGCUCUUAGAAGCUGCUCAAGUAAAUCAGUUAACCGAGAAACUUCAUUUUUUACGGACUCCAACUCGGUCUGAUAAUGUGACUCUAAGUGAGCUCUCUCUUCGUUCUCCAUUCUUGCUCUAGACCGGGUGUUGUGGACCUUGGAAGUGGGACCUAUGUUUCACGAUCUGGCGCAUAUGAUAAAUUAAACAAAUGCGUGAUGAAAAUAUGAUGCUCGUGCAAAUGUAUAUUUUAAAAUUGAUUCAUGACUUUCGUAAUCCUUUAGGCAAGAUUUCUGAGUUGACCCGAUUGCUGUAAAGGGGGUUUGCCAAGUUCUUUAUCAUAGUAGCUUACCAAAACACACUUAGAAAGAAAGAUAGGUCAUAGCCUUCUUAUAAAUAGAAGUUGCUCAUACAGUGAUAACAGAACAAGGGCGUUAUACAUUGCUAUCCUUAAAAGGCAUUUCCUCUAUUAGCUAAGUCCCCAAUAAAACAGGUGAUGGCCGCCAUAUAUUCUCGAUACUUUGAAGCAUCAUUUCCAACUUGAGUAGCUUGUCGUUGCAACCUUUCCGCAUAACGGGCUGCUUGCUCGACCUGCUUCGUUAUAUGCCUUAUCUUAUCAUGGAACACAGUGUUAUCUGCAAUUAUCACUUCGUUGCUGGCUCCUAGGGCUUCAUUACUUCUUUCUAACACUCGAACCAUAUCAUCCGACCGGGCCAACUUAUCCCUUACCCUCUGCAGUUCUUCCUUUUCGAUAUCCAGCUCGGCUAUUUUGGAGUUAAUUUGGACUGUAAAGCUGUCCAUGUAACCCUGACAUUCUUGACGCUCUUGCUUAGCCUUACUGAGCUCCUCUUCCAUCUCAAAGUAAUGGCUUCUCAACUCCCUCAACUCUUCUACUUGUAUCUCGAUCUCAGAUUGUAAAGCCAUCAUUCUUCCUUUCGAAGACUCAGCUCUUUUCUGGUAAUCUCUCAUAUCAGACUCGGCGGCCUUUCUUGCACUUCUCUCUUCCUCAAGCUGCACCAUAUAUUGAGCUCUAAUCCUUCUUUCCUCUUCUAUGUCGAGCUGGGCUAGCUGAUUCUUCUCCUUUUCAACUUCUAUUUUCUUUGAAAGAAUGCUCUUUCCCUUCUUCAAGGAAUCCAUCACCUCUUUGUCAACAUUCAUCUUGCCUUUUGUUGAUCUUUUAACCCUUGCCAACUCUUUUUCUGCGAGCCCAUUCUUCUUAACCAGCUCAUCAUAUUCGGUCAUUCGUUUCUUUAGCUCAGCCUGGACCCCUUUUGCUAUUUCUUCCGCUACCUCGGCCCUUUUCUGCCAUUCUUUCAAUGAUGUUAAUUGCUUAUCCUGUUUUUCCAACUGCUGGUUCAAGAAAACCCUCAUCGUGUUUUCUUCCUCUAACUGACUUUCUAAUAACUGUUGUUGCCCUUUACUUUUACUGAGAUCGAUUACACAUCGUUCUAGCUGCUUUCUUAACUCCUCCUCAUUAUCAGUCCUUUUCCUUUUUUGUUGCUCUAUUGUGGAUUCUGGAUGUUUUGGUAUUGAGAAAACCUUCACUUCAGAAAGCUCUUCAUUCCUCCAAACUGCAUAAUUCUGGCUAAAUGAUGUUUCAAACGUGCUCCCUUCUUCCCUUUUUAUCAACAGGGGUCUUUCCCAAUCUUGUCGGAUAAGCUCCAUCUCUUCGAGGAAGGGUUGGUGCUUGAAUAGACCGACGAAAUCAGCUAAACCCAGAGUUCUUGGUACGUACUGCAUUCCCCCUAACUGCCUUGUUACCAAGGCGGGCGCGUAACUGAUGUACCCGGUUACACCAAUCAAAGGAACCCAUAUCCUGCUUCCGCAACUCAUUGUGCAGAUGGCGUUGUUCAUCCAUGGUGCUUUCCAUUUAUCUAUCCAUGCUUUCUCAUCCCAAUUCUUCCAAGUCUCAUCCAUGGUAACCUUUAACGGUCGCAGGUCAAACCACCAAAAGUUGUUAAAAAUGUCCCUUGGUGUUUCGAUAUGACUGAUAAUCCAUAAAUACAACAUAGGGGCGCAACACCUCAUGGCUCCUUUUCCAUGCAUUCUGCAGUGGUUGAGUGAUAACAUGGUUUCUCCCAAAAUGGCUGAUGAGGGAUUGAUCCGGUCACGUUCGUAUUCUAUGAAGACACUUGCUGCUUCCAAACUGAUGACUCCGAUUUCGGAAGGGAACAAUACUAGCCCAAAAAUGGCGAAGGCCACCAACCUGUAUCGUUCUUCUCCUAACUUGCCUUCUUCAGCAUUUUUCUUCAUUCGGGCUUCUAUGACCUUCCAUUUGAAACCCCCCUCGGCGACUCUACAUUGACUGAUCUUUCCCAAGCCUAAUAAACUGACUACCUCCGAAGCUGUGUCUUCAAAUCUUCGCCUUAGAUAGAUCCUGUGGCUGUUGUUUGGAAAAUCUAGAAUCCUUUCAUAUUCCUCCAAAGUCGGUGUCAUAUCAAUGUUCCCAAAGGUAAAACUCCGAUAACUAGGAUCCCAAAAAUUCAGUAGGGCUUUGAUUGCUGUUGCUUGUACGGGUAACCUCAUUAGUUGUGCAAUUCUCCCAUAUCGCCUUUCAAAAAUAGUCUCAUCAAUGUAUUCCAUAAUAGACACUAACUUCCCCAAGUCAUUUACCAUGUGAUUUAUCUUAGUAAUGCAAGGCAACCUACUAGCAUCGAUUCUUGGGCAUUUUCCUUCAGCUACUUGAGUCAACUCAGAUUCUUGCCCAAACUCUUGGAAAGAUAGGUACUUAGUCAUGAUUUGGUUCAAAACCUGGAUUGAUGAAUUUAGCAUUAUUAAUCAUGAUGCAAAUGAACGUAAGAUAGAUAUCUUAAGGACAAGUUCUAUUUAAUAGGUGAGAAUGGGUAGGUUUUCUAUCUGGUCUUUAAAAGGGUCUCAUAUCUGCCCAGUGACGUUCUUCGUAAAGACAGUAUGGGGGCGUUGCAAGGAACAGUUAAGGUAAGUAUACCCACCAUUACCAAGCAGGCACUCAGAUAUGAGUUGGGUGUUUCACGCAUCUGAACCCUGACCGAUAGUCAUAGGGCAAAUCGCUAAUCCCCCACCUAACUUAAAGCUUUGUGUGUGCUUCUCAAAAAGUAUGUGAUGCAUGUGACAGUUUUAUAAGAUGCAUGAGACAGUUGUAUACAAAUGCAUGAACAAAAUGUGUAAAAAUAUUUAAAGCAUAUAAGCAGAUAACAAAAGGAAAGGUAUAUUAAAAAACACACGAAAACAAAAACAAUUCAGACAAAAACAAAGCUUAGUCCACAAGAAUCCCCAGUGGAGUCGCCAUUCUGUCGCGGGUGCGCGGUGUCGCGGCGAAAAUUCCACUUUUUAGAAUCUAGGAAGUGUGUAUGGUAUCUAUCUGGUAAAUGUGGGGAGACAAGAAAAUAGUCUUUUGUUGGUAGGAAAAUGGAAUGGGAGUCGCCACCUAGUAUUUUGGUCACUAGGAACCCUAACUGGUCUCAAAGAUUGGGUACGGGGACUGGUUGCGUAAAGGGAAGGUAUUAGCACCCCAAAUACGCCCUACCUAAAGUAAGCUGCAUUGUUUAUUUGUCUGAUAAAAUUCAAGGUCUCGUUGUGUUUCCUAGUUGUUGGUCCGUCUAUGGUUCAAGAAAAGUCCUCCUCAAUAAGGAGGUCCUUAUCUUAAGGGGUAAAACCUAAUCCUUCUAACGUCUAUGUAUGUUGGUCCGUCUAUGGUUCAAGAAAAGUCCUCCUCAAUAAGGAGGUCCUUAUCUUAUCGGGUAAAACCUAACCGUUCUAAUGUCUAUGUAAAAAAACCCAUAUUUUUAAUAUCAGGAAUACGUUUUACGUAUAAAUUCGUAAUCCCAAAUACUAAAAGAAGACAAAAAGAUUUUUUAAGAAUUUUUGAAAUAUUGGCCUAGUUCUCAUGGCUUGAAUAAACUGGUUAUUAAAGCCAAAAUGCAUGCUAAUACAUAUAUUGUUUUGAAAUUUCCUUUUGUUGUGUGAAAAUAUGAUGUUAGAAUAUUUAUAUAUAUAUAUUGGAGAGACUAGGCCGUAUGCAUGAAAACAAAACAUUUUUUUUUGUAAUUAUGUAUUUUUUGAUGUUUUGACGAAAAUCGGGUAUUUUAAUACCGGAUUUGUAUCUUUACCGUAUAAAAAUACAAACCGACAUUGAUCAAAAUACAGUAAUAAAAUUACAACAAAAUCGCAUAUUUUUUAAAUGAUUUUUGAAGAACCCUUUUUUAUUUUUUUGUUUUUUUUUUUUUUAAAACAUGUAUACAUAUAUAAAUAAUACAAAACAAUAUAAUAUAUAAAUAUAUAAUAUUAAAUGGGUUGGGCUGGUCCGGCCCAACCAACUGGGCCGGACUCAGCCCAAAAAAUGUUGGGCCGAUUUCGGCCCAAAAUGGAUUGGGCCGAUCUCGGCCCAAAAAACUGAUAUUCUUCUCUGGGCCAGAACAAGCAGAUAACAAAAGGAAAGGUAUAUUAAAAAACACACGAAAACAAAAACAAUUCAGACAGGGCCGGGCCAGGAUCUGCCUGCAUGCAGAACGCUACUCGUUCUGCAUGCAGAGAAGGAAAAAAAAUAAACACCAGAACAAGGGGGGAGGAAGAAUUACCUGGCGCGGAGGAGGCGAUGGCUUGCUGAUUGGAAUGCUUCGCUGGUGGUGCUGUGGUGGAGGCCGGUGGCGGUGUCGUGGCUCACGGACGGCGGCUCCAAGCGGCGGUGCUGCUAUUUCAAACGGUGGAGGGUGAGGUUACUGCUCUUCCCUUCUCCUCCGUAUGCCUUCCUCUUCUUUCGUUUUCGGUGGUUUCCUUUUAUCCUCCCGGUUUGUUGUCAAGUUUCCUACCCCGUUUCAAGCUUUUCCUUCCUCUCCGUUUGAGUUUAUCAGUGGUUCCCUUUUUAUUCGGUUCUGUUCUCUGUUUCUCUCUAUUUCCUCUUCUUUCGGUCCUCUCCCCUUUCUCCUCCCUUUCUUCUGUGUUCUUGGGUCUAUUUAUAGAGCCAAGAGGCGGGGCUUUUUAUGGCUGCACAUGGGGGGCAGGGGCUGCGGCGGUUGGUCGGCCAUUCGGGUGCAGCUGUCGAGACGUUACUCCCCUGUUUUCUGCAUGGCGCGCGGCGGGUGGUCGGCCAGCGGGCGUGGCUGGCGAGGUGCGGCUCCCUCGGUUUCCUGGCAAGGCAUGCGGUCAAGAGAGAGGCAGCACACGUGAAGAAGAAAAACCCACCAUUUUGCUUUCUUCCCCUGCUGCACGUCCAUGGGAGGAAGAAAGAGGAACAGUGUCGUUCAAAACGACACCGUUCCGAUCUUCUUCUUCUUCUUUUUUUUUUUUUUGGCAUGAAACGGCGUCGUUUUAGGCAAAACGCGCCGUUUCAUUUAAGUCCAGCAAGACGCCAAAACGCGUCAAUUUGCAAAGCAGCCCUCAAUUAUCUUCUUUCCUUCAAUUGCAUCCCUGCCAAUUUCGGUCUUCGCCCCUAUAGUUGGCCGCGUUUUUCACAUUGGUCCUUGGCCUCUGAUUUAUGCAAUUGAGCCCUCAAUUGAUUAAUAAACUUUCAAUUUCUUCAAUUAGGCCCCUGAACCGAAUAAUUGCAGCCCCUCCAUUUACGCGCCUCUUCCAAUUUGGUCCCUGAUUUCGGAUUUUCUCAAUUAAGUCCCCAAUUGGCCCUUAAACUUCAAUAUUUAUGCAAUUAAGCCCCUGAUUUGACCUAAUAAAUUCCUAAAAAAUAUAUUUUGGCCCCAGAACUUAAAUUUCUUCUAAUUAAAACCCAAAUUGACUUAAAAAUCAAUUUUUCUUACAAUCAAAUCCCCUAUAAAUUCAUUUAAAAAUCCAAUUAAGUCCAUAAACAUCCAAAUUUGGGCUUUUCUCCUCAAAUUUCAAAAUUCCCCUCUCAAUAGGGCUCUCAUCCUUCAAGAAUAUACUGUCCUAACUCCAAUCUUUGUAUUUUUAACCUCAUUGACCAAUUUUCCAACCAUUUUCUGAGCACUCCCACCUCUUAUUAUUUUUUAUAAUUUCUUCCGGCUAUAUAUUUAUAUUUUUAUGGGGGGAACCCAAAAAUGGGUUACAACAAUAUGGACUAAAAAUGAAAGAAGGGUCGAACUGUCUUGUACUUGACAGAUUUGGUUGAGUAUUAUAACAGAUAAUUUCGGGGGUGUUAAGGGCAGAAUUGGUCUUCCGAUCCUUUAGUAGAGUUGUAGAACCGUGUCUUACCUUUCCAACAAGCCAAACCACACUUAAAACUGAAUUCUAUAACUUUACUUACGAAUUAAUGAGGUAGUUGAAGAAAAUAAUCAGAAAAUGAAAUCAAAACAUGGUGAUGAAUUAAUUUGAAUGAGAUGGCAAUAGUAUGAGAACACACAUUGUGAUAAAAUUAGAAGAGGGUACUAAUUGUAUCUCUUGAUUCUCAAACAGAAGAGAUGCCUGGAGUAGGGUCGUCAGGAGUUGAUGUGACUCGAUCGGUUGGGGAAAUAGGUAGGUGCAUCACACCUUGUCUUUUCAUUUUGUGUAAACUCAUUGAUAAAUUUCAAAAUUUACUGUUUUAUUGCUUUGAUAAAUAUUGGAUUGAAUAUAAGUACCUUGUAUAUAUUGAUGUGUAUCAACUAGUUAUUAUAUAAUUGGAAUGGAUACGAGUACCUUACAUACAUUGAUAUGUAUCAAACUUGUGAUGAUAUUAUUAGAAUGAAUAAGAGUACCUUGCGUACAACGGUAUAGAUCAAUUAGUUAAGAUAAUGUUUGAAUGAAUAUGUACACCUUGCGUAGAUUGGUAUGGAUCAAGAUCGCUAGGAUAAUGUUUGAACGAACAUGAAUACCUUGUGUACAUUGUUAUGUAUCAAAUUAAUUAUGUUAUUAUUAGAAUGAAUAUGAUUACCUUGCAUACAUUGAUAGGUAUUGAAUUAGCCAUGAUAACUUUGGAAUAGAUGUUAUUAUCUUACAUACUUCAGUAUGGAAUAUGUAUACACAAUGACUAGGAGAUUGGAGGAGAAAUGAUAGAUAAUUGGUCAUUGUAGUGUCGGUGGCUAAUGAUACGUUAUGAUGCUACUUAGCACCAUGAUGAGGGUGGUUAAGGGCAUAAAUUGAUGCUUGGCACUGUGAUGAGGGUGACCAAGGUUAUGUGAAUGAUGCUUAAUGAUCGUAGUGUUUGUUACAAUGUAUAUGAUGUUAAUAAGAAGAAUAAAAGGGAAUCGGUACAAAUAGAAGGUUGAGAAGACAUUGAUUAGCUAUCUAGGUUUGGAUAGCUAAUGGUAUCGAUGAGGUUCCAUUGGUACCGACAUUUUAGAUGACAUUAAUUAGCUAUCCAGGUUUGGAUAGCUAAUUGUAUUGAUGAGGUUCCAUUGGUACCGACAUUUCAGAUGACAUUGAUUAACUAUCCGGGUUUGGAUAGCUAAUGGUAUCGAUGGGGUUCCAUUGGUGUCAGCGUUCCUUAAAUUGAUUAGUCAAUCCCGAGUAAUUAGGUGACUAAUGAUGUUAGUAAAGAUUUAUAACAUCGGCAUGGUUACUCCUGGUUAAGGGAAAAAAAUAAGUUGAUUAAUUAUUCUAGGUCGUGAAUAGUUAAUUAUAUCAAUCGGUCCUAUUGGUAUCGACAACCAUUUCUGGUGUAAUUAGCUACUCCAGGUAAGGAGGCUAAUGAUGGCAAGGGUUCUUGACAUUGACAACUUUGAUGGUAAACCAGAUAUGAAUAAGAAUUGAUUAACUAUUUUAGGGUAGAAAUAAUUAAUGAUAUCAAUUAGUUGUAUUGAUAUCGACACUUAAAUGGAAUUGAUUUGUCUAACCCGAUAUUGGGAGACUAAUGAUACUAAUGAGAUUCAAUAGUAUCGGCAAUUACCUUCCGAAAAAUGAAAGAGAAAAUAUUGAUUAGUUAUUCCAAAAGAAUGAGAUAAGCUAAUGAUACCAAGAGAGGAAUAUCUUGAUAUCAAGUGAGAAUUGAUUCAUAAGGAGAUGGUGUUCGAAACUAUUGAGUUGUAUUGAGAUUUCCAAGAUGAAAUUAUUUUCGGCAAAUGGGAUAGGAUAUUAGAUGGAUAUUGGUAAUAGAUGGAAAAUAUAUGUUGUAAAAGUGGUCUAUGCCUAAUUUUAUGUAUCAAAAGAAAUUCUAUAUAAAUGAUUACAUGUCAUUGUUAUUGUUUGUUACUACCUUUUUAUAUUUAUAUGUACAUGUUAAUUUUUAUUUCCAGGUUCAUUAGGGUCGCGUCAAGAGUUAUCUUAGUUUAGUUACCUUUUGCUUUCGGCCAUGUAAUGAUUUGUAAAUUAAGAGACUUCUCUCCUAAAACUUGAAAUGUAAUAUUAACCCGUACAUUUGGAUGUAUGACUUUAAUCUAAUGUUUGUAAUUCUAAGUACCUAUUUAACCAUGCAUGUUUAUAGUUGUAAUCGAAUCCUUCACUUGAAUAACAUUUUAUGAUGUUAUUAUGCAAGAUAUAGUUUAUAUGAUGUAACAAUUGAAUUAUGCAUUGUUAUUUUGUGAACUUGAAUUGUAUAAUGUUAUUGAAUAAGAUGUGUUGUGUUGGUGAUGAUGAGUUGAGUUAAGAUCCAGGAUGAUUGGAUCAGAUUGUGAAAUGAAAUUGGAAGUGUAAUAUGAAUUUGUCGAUAACUUGGGACCUCCCUGUAUAGAGGAGACUCUGCUAAAAUUUUGGUAGAAAUUUUGAUGGAACUUGUAUAUAAAAAUAACAAUGAUGAAAAAAAAUCAGGGUUGUUACACCUUCUCUUCACGCAACCAGUCCCCAUGUCAGAUCUCUGAGACCAGUUAGGGUUCCUAGUGAUCAAAAUACUAUGUGGCAACUCUCAUUCCCUCUUUCCACUAAUAAAGGACAAGAAUUCCUUGUCUUUCCCAUUUCCCAACCCGAGAGGAUGUUAGCCGUGAUGUCACACACGUGCGACAACCAUCAACAACUCUUGUGAGCCACCAAGAAUCUCCAUUGUGUAUAUAACAACCAACCACAUAACUCAGGAAGCUCUGACUAGUACUAGCAACUUCAAACUAACCACUUACCCUCUCCCAUGGUGACUGUAGCACCUAUAAGCAGUAGAGAGAAGAAUUAAAGAGAAAGAGGAAUUACAAUAGAAAUAGAACAAAGUAGAAAUUUCAACUCAGCCGAUCUUCUUUCUCUGGUUGUUGUGAGCCUCACCAUUGGGGUUAGCAGGAAGAGGAAGGACUGAUCUACCAUACUGAGGUCCUCACACGAUUUGAGGUCUCGUCAGCAUGACGCGCCAACAUUGGCAGUUCUCUUCUAGGGCGUGCAACAGACACAAUGCCAUUGAUCAACCUACUUCCAAUAGAUUCCAAACAUCUUUAGGCAUUCUCAAAGGUGAAAUAUUAAUGUUAAGAUUGAAAUUUGUUAAUGUUGUUUGGUUUUAUGAACAUAAUUUUGAGGUGAUGAGAAAGUUGUUUGAUUUGGAGUUUUGUUAUAAAUAUAAUAUGAUAUAAGUAUCAUGUGAAAAUAAUAAAUGAGCAUUAUUGAUUUCGAUUGUUUGAUUAAAAAAUAAUUGAAAAGUAUGAAUUGUGAUUUUGAAGAUAUGAUAGACAACAUGUACAUUUUUUUAUAAAAGAAAUGUUGAUUAGAAAUUGUUUGUUAAUUGGCUAUGUCCAUAUAAAAAAUAAAAAACAUGCAAAAUGUGUGAGAUAUUUGUUUUUGGAAGUUAGUUGGAUGAAUAUUAUAAGAUGGUUGAAUAUAACCAUAAAAUUUAAAAUUUGAGAAUUUUUAGAUCAUUGUGAAAAUUCUUGCAAUGAAUAUAUAUGGACCGAUUAUUUUUAUAAAAAUAACGAUUGAUUAAUUAACCCAAGAUUGUAUGGUCUAACCUUAGGCUUUAUCUUUCAGGUGUUGAUUAAUAAAGAAAAAGGAAAAGAAAAAGAAAAAGAAAAAGAAAAUUGUCCUUGUAUUGAUUGUUCUUAUUAAUUGAUUAAUUAAUCCAAGAUGGAAUGGUCUUCUACUAGGUCCUCUCUUUCAGAUGUCGGUUAUCGAGUAACAAGAUCAAUUAAUAUUUGAUCGAUGAAUUAACUGUUUCUAUUAAUUACUAAUUGACCCAUGAUGAUAUGAUCUAAUAUUGGGUUAUGUUCUUCUAGUGUCGAUAAGUGAAUAAUAGCACCAAUUAAUACAUGAUCUCUAGGAUAUUAACCAAUAAAAUUAAGUAGCCCAAGAUGGAAUGGUCUAAUAGCGGGCCCUGUUCUUUGAUUGCUACAUAAUGAAUAAUAUGAAUUUUUCAACCCGCAAUAAGCCUCAUAUAUAGGUGUGCUCAUCAUUUGCAAAUAACUGAGGAUAGAAAGGUCCAAUAGUAGAACUUGUCCUUUAAAUGUUUUCUAAUAGAUAAUAAGAACUAUACAUCGAAUAACAUACAUACUAGUUUAGGUGAACCAAAAACAAAACACAUUUAUCAUUAAAAACAAACAACAAUGCAGCUUACCUUGAGUAGGAUGUAUAGGGUUAUGUCUAUAUUACCUAAUACAUAACCAACCCCUUACCUAGAACUUCUAAAGAUCAGUUAGGAUUUCUAGUUACUAUAAAUCUAGGUGACGACUUUUUUUCACAUAGCUCGCCUCGAUGUUCACAUGCAACACAAGUUUGAGCAAGUGAACCGAGUUACAUGUUGACCCUUUAAGUCACUCGAGUUUGACUGGAUCAUUGUCCACUUCUGUUCAGAAGAAAAUCAAAACAAAACAAGGUUUUGGGUCAACGAAUCAGGAAUGCAUCCUGUUGGACUAGACCAAGUUUAAUGACUAUGACUUACAUAACUUCUCGUAGAAAUUGCACUUGGAUCUAAGUUUUUUGAGGUAAAAAAAUAUUAUAAAAAUAGCACAAUUAAUUAGUUGCAUUGUUAGGAACGAUUCAACCAUAUAAAUUACGUUGUUCUCAACCAUACAAUUCAAUAUGCUACACUAUUAAGAAUAUCGUAAACCUUGUCAUAAUCCAUUUUUUGGUUAUUCCCAAAAUUCACUUUUUCUCUUCCAAAAAAUGAAACAAAAUAUUAAAAAAAAAAUCUAAAAAAUAAUAACAGUGAGAAGAGGCUGUCAGAGCGCCCUGAAAAUAGCUAAAAAUUGGUUGAGGAGGCUCAAAAAUUCAAAGAUUAAAAUUUGACAGUAUAUUUUACAGAUGAAGAGCCCUGUUGACAAAGAAAAAUUCAAUUUGAGGAAAAAGUCCAAAAUCAGAUGUUUAUGGACUCAAUUAAAUUUUAUUGGAGGUUUAAUUGAAUUUAUAUAGGGUUUGAUUACAAGAAAAAAUUAUUUAAAGUCAAUUUAGGCUUUAAUUGGAGGAAAUUAAGGUUCUGGGUCAAAAUACAAUUUUUUAGAGUUGAUUUGGUCAAAUCAGGGGCUUAAUUGAAUAGAUAUUGAAGUUUGAUGGCCAAUUAGGGACUUGAUUGAAGAAAUCCAAAACCAAGGACCAAAUUGAAAAAGGCGCGUAAAUAAAGGGACUGGAAUUGACCAAAGCAGGGGUCAAAUUGAAGAAAUUGGAAGUUUAUUGAUCAAUUAAGGGUCAAAUUGCAUAAAUCCAAAACCAAGGACCAAAGGGAAAAAUGCGCUGAAAUCUGGGGUUUAAAUUGAAGUUCUUCAUGGGUAAAAUUGAACAAAAUUAAAAGUUUAAAGCCAAUCAGGGGUGUUGAUAGAAAUUAAUCACAAAUUGAAGGACUAAAUCGUAAGAUACUAUUCAUCUUCUUCUCCAGCUAGGCUGGUUGGGUGGCCACCUUCCCAAGGCAUUUGGCGCCUCGUUUCUUCACCAAAUUGGAUGAAACGUACAAGAAAACAAUCCUGUGAUACCUGACUACACGCUAGUGUAAGACGUUCGGGUUGAUCGAGGCUGUAGAGGCGGUGGCACCGCCCCAAAGUGGCCAACCCGACCAGCCAUUUUUCCUGCAAACUGACAGUUCAUCAUUGCUACUUUGAGCUAAUGGUUGGGAUGCUUUCGGGUUGAGCCAAUGGUUGGGAUGCUUUCGGGUCGAACCAAGAGCUGAGAUUUUGCACCAGAAGAGACAAAGUGUCCCUCUUCCGCCACCUAUAAAUAGAUUUUAUCUUCAUGCUCAGGGGGUGGAGAAAUAUGGGUCCAAAGACAGCAAAAAAACCAGCCUUCCUCCCAAGAAUUUUUUCUUUUCUGCCGUCUGCCUCUUCACACUCUCUCUCUCUACGCCGUCCAGGCCACCACUGUCAUCACCGUCAGCUUUUAAGCCACCAUCUCCACCACAGGAAGCCAACACAGCCACCACCGCUUGCACCACGCUGUCCUCCGCCACUGUCAGAACCACCGCAGGUCAGCCUUCCCCCCCUUCUUCUUCUUCUUCUUCUUCAUCCCAGCUGUUCACUGCGUGAACAGUAGACGUGAAUUAAUUCAAUAGGCGUGAACAGUAGGCGGCCCAAUCACAAAAAUUUUCAAAAAAAUAUUUUAAAUUUUUAUACCGUAAAGAUACAAAUGCGAUAUUAAAAUACCCGGUUUUCGUCAUAACAUUGCAAAAAAAUUUAUAAAACAAAAAAAUAUUUUGUUUUCAUGCAUACAGCCAAGUCUCUCCAAGAUAAAAAAAAAAUUAUAUCAUUUUUUCUUAUACAAAAAAAAAAUAUAAAAAUAUAAAAUAUGUUUUAGCAUGCAUUUUGGCUUUAAUAACAAGUUUAUUAGAGCUAUGAGAACUAGGCCAAUAUUUAAAAAAAACCCAAAAAAAAUAUUUUGUUUUCUUUUAAUAUCCGGGAUUAUGAAUUUAUACGUAAAGCAUACUUCUGAUAUUAAAAAGGUAGUUUUUUUAUUUGACGUUAGCACAGUUAGGUUUUUACCCGAUAAGAUAAAGACCUCCUUACCGAGGAGGACUUUUCUUGAGCCAUAGAUAGACCAAAAAUUAGAGAACACAAUAAGACCUUAGUUUUUAUCAGACAAUAAAACAAUGCAACUUACCUUAGGUAGGACGUAUUUGGGUACUAAUACCUUCCCUUUACGCAUCCAGUCCCCGUACUCGAUCUCUGAGACCAAUUAGAGUUCCUAGUGACCAAAAUACUAGGUGGCGACUCCCAUUCAAUUUUUUCCAUUGAUAAAAGACAAGAAUUCCUUGUCUUUCCAUGUUAGUUGUAGUGAAAUUAAAGUUCAAUAAAAUUCUUUAACUUUAUAGGUUAAUUAAUAAUUAUCAAUGAAAAUAAUUAGUUGUAGUCGAUAUAAAUUUUCUUAACUUGGUUAAUUAAUAAUUAUCAUAAUUAUCACACCAUGACAAAUGCGAGACUCUUCAAAAUUGAAGGAAAAAAAAAUAAUGAAGUCACCACCUAGUAAUAAAAAAAAAACUAGAAAUCCUAAAAUAGACACCGGUCAGUAGGUAUUGAGUUAGUUAUACCUAUGUCACCCUUACCGCAUCCUUUCAAACGAAAGGUUACCUCCACAAUGUUUUGUUCUAAAUUUAUUCUAUGCAUCCUUUCAAACGAAAGCUUACCUCCACAAUGUUUUGUUCUAAAUUUAUUCUAUGCAUACUAUUAAUGCAUACGAAAAGAAGACUCGACGAUAAAAGAAAAUCUUGACGUUAAUCCCUAAAAAUAGAUAAUUUCAUCGAUUUAGAAAAAAAUAUUAAUGUUAAUCUCUACUGUAUGUUUUUUAAAACACCUCCACACACAAAACCCUUCAUACUGAAAAACUAAACAUAUAAGAAAAAUCAAACAUCCACAUUAAAAUUUCAUAAUUGAGGGCAUCAUACCCCAUAAGUUGCCACACCAUAGUGUAAAUCCCAACGCUUUAAAUAUCGCAAACAUUCACAUUAAUACAUGAUUAGUCUCAAUCAAUAAGCAUUUCAUCAUAAUGUCUAACAACAUAAUAAAAAAUUAUUCAAAAAAUUAAUUUAGGCCUCAACAACCUUUUAGAGUGGCUAAAGUUAAUCAAAACAAUUGGAAUUGGGUGAAGAAACUAUUAGAUUAUUGAGGGCAAUAUUGGCAUAUGACAACCACGUGCUAGUGUGUGAUAACAAUUAUUGGUGGUAUCUGGUCCCAUGCGCCAAUGAUGGUCACAGAGGUGGUUAGCUAGAUCGGGUGUGCCACUAUAUUCUUUUCUCUUCCACAUUGGUGGUGUAGUCCACCACUCUUUGACGAGGGAGAUUGAGCCACUUGAACAUUUAAUUUCUCUCUCUUGUUUUCCUUCUCUCCCCACCUCUACUUCCACUGUUACUACCUUGCUACUACUGGUUAAGAAGCUAUUGUGAUGAUGUUGGAAAGAGAUUACAACAUUGAUAGUGGUGUUUUGUUUUGGUAAGUGAGAUUGAUGUUUUUCUCUAUUUUUGGGUCCCUGGAUAAAAAGGAGAAAAAAGAAAAAAAUCAAGAAAAAAAUUGUUGCAAGAAAACCAAAAAAAAUAUAUAGCAGUAAGAAGAAGACAUGGGGGCGCCCAAAAAUGGCCAAAGAUUGGUUAAGGAAGUUCAAAAAUACAAAGAUUGAAAUUUGACAGUAUAUUAUUGAUUGAUGAAGGCCAUAUUAACAAAGAAAAUUGAAUUUGAGGAAGAAAAGUCUAAAAUCAGAUGUUUAAGGGCUCAAUUAGAUUUUGUUGAAAGAUUAAUUGAGUUUACGAAGGUGAUUGCAAGAAAAAUUAAUUUUUAAGUUAAUUUUGGUUUUAAUUGGAAGAAAUUAAAGUUUGAGAGUCGAAUUAUAAUUUUUAGGUGUUAAUUUGAUCAAAUCAGGGGUUUAAUUGCAUAAAUAUUGAAGUUUGAUGGGCAAUUAGAGACUUGAUUGAAGAAAUCCAAAACCAAGAACCAAACUGGAAAAGGUGCAUGAAUAUAAGGGCUGAAAUUGACCAAAUCAGGGGUUAAAUUGAAGAAAUUUAAAGGUUUUUGAUCAAUUGAUGGUCAAAAUGCACAAAUUCAAUACUAAGGACUAAAGAGAAAAAGAUGGCCAACAUCAGAGGUGACCUUUGAAUUUGGCAAGGAUGCAAUUGAAUUAAUUCUUAAAAUCAAAAUUCCAAUUGAGAACUUGAUGAAUAAAUAAAAAGCUAAGGACUGAUUUGGAAAUUGAUACAUUUUGGUGCCAUUUUCAUUUAAAUGAAACGACGCAUUUUGUACAAAAUAACGUUGUUUCAUUCACUGUUCAUAUAUAAAAAAAGAAGCUUGUUUUGAACUGCAUUGUGCAUCUUCUUCUUCCCUUGACGCGCAAAGGCAGGGGAAGAAAGUUUUUCUUCCCCUUACUUUCUUCCCCUUCUUUGCAGUGUCUCCCCUCCCUCUUGCCCAAAAACCCUGACAUAACCCACACCCCCUCAUGACCUACCACCAUGAUGAAAGGGGCAGGGAAGACAAGCCCUGCAGGUGACUCUAGGGUGAUUGCACAGAGGCCGCCCCAGCCACCCUACCCCGUCACCAUGACUAGACAGGGGUAGGGUCGCUCUCACUCCCCUACCCCUUAUAAAUACCCCCUCACCACGAGGUGAGGAGGGAGAAAAAAAAGGGGGAUGAUGAGAACAAAAGAAGAAGAAGGAAUGGAAAAAAAUAAAAAGUAGGAGAGGGAAGGAAAAAAACGAAAUAGAAAAAAAUAGAGAAUAGAGUUUGUUGGGCCGAAAUCGGCCCAAGUUUGUUGGGCCAACCUCGGACCAGUUUGUUUGAGCCAAAUCUCGGCCCAACCAGGGUGGGUUCAGCCCACAUUAUUGGGCUGGGCCCAACACAAUAUAUUUUUAUAAUAUAAUAUUAAUAUUAUAUAUUAUUCAAAAAAACAAAAUGUUCCAAGAAUUUUCAAAAAAACUUUUCAAAACAUUUGUGAUUUUCUCGUGUAUUUUUCUAUCAAUUUUAAUUAAUAUUGGUUGAUAUUUUUAUAUUGUAAAAAUACAAAUCUGGUAUUAAAAUACACAGUUUUCUCCGUAAAUGUUGUGUGUGUGUGUAUUUGAAAAACAAAACAAAUGCUUUGUUUUCAUGCAUAUGACCAAGUCUCUCAAAAUAUAAAAAAAUAUUUCAUAUCAUAUUUUCAUGCAAAUAAUUUUUUUAAAAAAAUACGUGUGAGCAUGCAUUUUGAGCUUUAAUAACUAGUUUAUUAAAGCCAUGAGAACUAAGCUCAUAUUUCAAAAAUAUCAAAAAAAAAUAUUUUGUGUUUCUUUUAGUUUCUGAGAUUACAAACUUUUAUAUAUAGACAUUAGAACAAUUAGGUUUUUACCAAUAUUAAAAAUAUAGUUCUUUUAUAUAUAGAUUUUAGAAUGGUUAGGUUUUUACCCGAUAAGAUUAGGAUCUCCUUACCGAGGAGAUCUUUUCUUAAACCUUAGACAAACCAACAAUUAGAAAACACAACAAUACUCUAGUUAUAUCAGACAAUCAAAUAAUGCAUCUUACCUUAGGUAAGGAGUAUAAGAGGUGUUAAUACUUUCCGUUUACGCAACCAGUCUUCGUGCCCAAUCUCUGAGACCAGUUAGGGUUUAUAGUGAUCAAAAUACUAGAUGACGACUCUCAUUUCCUCUUUCCACUAAUAAAGGACAAAAAUUCCUUAUCCUAUCCAUUUCCCCACACCACAUGCCAAUAUGGAAUUUCAGGAGGAUGUUCGCGCGAUGUUGCAUCAUGUACGACAAUUGAGAAAAGUGAUGGUUGGAUUUUGGUCUCGACUUGAGUUGUUUUGGUUGUGAUAUUGGUGAUCGAUGUUGCUAUUAUCAUUAUUAGUGUAUGUCAUUGGAAGCUGCUAUCAGUGGUCGGUGAAUUAAGUGUUCCACUAUUAAUAACAAAUGUUGAAAUUAAUUCAAUUAAACAUAAUUAACGAAUAAUAUAAUUAAAUUGCAUAAAGUAAAGUGUAAAAGGAUAGGAAUUGUAAACUCAGUUUUUAACAUGGUUUUGGCAAGUCUAUACCCACACCUCAAGCACCUAAAUUGGUCUUGUGUAUUUUGUUCUUUCACUAGUCCAAGUUGAAGAUUACAAUUGUCACUUGAUGAAUCCACACCAAGAUUUUACACCACUUGAAGAUAUUCUUUUUAUGACAGUUUGAACCUGCUGAAUCUUGAACCGAUACUAAUCCUAUAUAUAUACAAAGAAGUGUUUGAGUUCAUUUUAAUUAUGGCAUUAAAAUAAAAUAUAAAUAUUUAUAUAAUUACUGCAAUGAACAAUUAAUUCUUAAAUUCUCAUUUCAUCUUCAUUUUCUUUGGUGGCUAGGUUUUAGAGAAGAAGAAGACUCUUUUUUUCUACACUUUCACUCCAUUUUGUUUCUUUCUCUAUCUUAAAUUUUUCUUCAAGGUUUGCUAGGGUUUCUUACCCACUUUUUGUUUUCCCUCUAAUUUUUAUGUAGAGGCUAGAGUUUUUUUUUACACCUCCUCCUUUUUCUUACCUUGCCUUUCUAUUUAUAGGCUAUGGGGUAGGUUCUAGAAUCUUUAUAGGUAGAACAAUCAUAUUCUUUGAUUUUUUUCGGUACAUUUGACCCUUCAUCAUUGUUGUAUAUUUGGCAGAACAUGCUCGUGUUCUAUAAAGCUCACACCAAAUCUUAAUCAUAAAGAGUGGGAAUGAGAGAGAGAAAAAAGAAGAAGAAGAAGAAGAAAAUGGGGCUGAAAAACUUCACUGCCAUUUUUCAAAAUCAGACGACCCGUUUCCUUUCAAAGGGUAGCCAAAAAGUUCCCAUACACACCCAUUAGCGAGCUUCUUCUUUACGAAAAAAAAAACUAAAAAAAUUAGAUCAUCAUUUUCAAACCACCUUCUAGCUAGAACUGGAAACAAAAAAACAGUACAGACUCUCUCAUCAGCGCUGUCUCUUUACGCCACCCUCGAGUUACUACUAUCUUGCCCCACGUUGACUCAAGGAACCAUAGCCGCUGCUUCCACAGUACCGUUAACCUGAGGUGUUCAUUACCGGAAUCAUAACACAAGGCAGGCCAGGAGCCCACUCACGUCGUCCAUGUGCAUCUUCAGCGUGCUCGUUUUACAUUCUUGCCUCUGACCUCUCUGGACUUAGCUUUAUUCAAGCACUAGCCACUCAAAAAAAGAGUGAAGAUGAGGUACGGGAUAUCCAGUGGAGCUGUCUCCAUCAUAAUCACUCAAGGUAUAAAGCUUCCACCUAUUCUCAUGUAGUUGUAAUCUUUUUGCAUGUGCAUGCUACUGCAAAGGCAAGCUCCCGUUUUUCCUUUAUGUGCUAUGAAGUUAACAUAUAGUGUUGUAAGGUGUGUGGAUCUUUUAAGUCCUAACCUGGUCACGGGUGUUCUUUCACUUGCUACGGGUACUGAAGGGGAUGGGGUGUGAUUUUUCCUUCAAACGCAUAUGGUCUUGAAAACUUGAUUGCAUGUCCUAAGGUCAUGUUAAGACCUUGCCUAGUUAAUUAAGAAUGCUCUUACCCAAGGUUAAAGUUCAAGAACGGUAUGAGAAGGUGGAAAAAGAUGUUGACAACUAUUGGGGUCAUAGGUUUUCCUUUUUUUUUUUUUGUCUUCAGAAAAUAAAAAUGCAUAGGACUGUCAGGGAGUUUUUCCAUACCAUGCUUGGGCUUCGGAUGUAUGUUUCCUUUACGUACAUGAGAUGAUGGUUACCUUGCUUUACGUACAGAAAUCUCCAAUGACUAAAUAAAAUGAUUUUUGGUUGAAGAAGAAUCGGUAUGUGCAAGGGUUUCUGGUUCAUUUCUUUUUACUGUCCCAUGGCUUUUCGUUAAUGCUAGUACAGCUAUAUUUCUCUUUUCUAAAGUUAAGUAGGUUGAUAUAUAUAGAAAUCGGUUUAUCACGGGUUUAAGAAUAUUAAAGAAAAAAAAAAAAAAAAAGCUUUCAUGGGUCUUCAAGGCACAAACACUCAUAUGACAAAUUUUAAGUUUUCUUUUUCACUAAGGACAUGUGUGGUAAAUAUGACCAAACAUAUUUUUCAUGGCCUUUAUUUUCUUUUCUUAAUUUUUUUUUGUUUUGUCUAACAUAUCUUAGUCUAAUUUUAAUUAUUUUUCAAGUUUUGAAGAGCCAUUUUGCAACUAUAUUUUUGGUUUUCCACGUCAUUUUUUACCUUUUCAUAUUUAAAAACAAGUUUAUUAAAUCCACAGGGAUUUGGCCUAAGUUUUAAAAAUACUAAAAAAAUUAAUUUGUUUAUUUUAAUACAAUGAAUUAUGAGCUUAUAUCUAAAAUGUAUUCUCGAUAUUAAAAGGAACAAAUGCAAAAAUAUGUUUUGGCUCUAGAAUGGCUAGACUUGACCCAUAAAGCCAUGGUUCUCUGUACUAGGGUAGACCUUCUUUAACUAAUAGACAAAUCAAUGAUUAGAUAAAGAAAACAGUGCCUUAGUAAUAAUCAGAAAAAUAAACAAUAAAGCUUAUCUUAGGUAUGAUUACUAAGGGUGAUAAUGUCCAUCCUAUAUACAACUUGUCCCCUUGUCUAGACUCUGAAGACUAGUUAGAGUUUUCAGUGAUCAAAAUACAAGAUAGCAACUCCAAGCAUUUUUUAUUUAUAAAGGACAAGAAGUCCAUGUUCUUUCCACACCACACCAAAGUCCUGAUCUAGGAGGAUGAUCGCAAUGAUACCACAUCCGUGCCACAUUCAACAUUGUAUUUUCCAUGAGUUAUCCUUUCUAUUUUUCAAUUACUUUGAUCCAAAUAAUGUGUUACCCUCUCAACAUUCUUCAAAGUCAACAUGUACUUCUACUAAUUGAUCUAAAUAUGAAUGUGAUGCGAUGUAAAUGAGUAUACAAGAUUAAACAUAUGGAAGAUGGGACUUUUUAGCACUACAAAACAUGUUUGGUGGCCAAAUGCUAUUAUCGACAAAAAAGGGUUUGAUUUUCAAGAGAUAUUUAGUGUAGUGAGGAAGCCUUGCACUAUUUAGACAAUGCUCGAUAUUGGUGAUACUUGAGGUUGGUCGGCUUAUUAGAGGGAUUUCUUCAUUUAGAUGUGUUUAUAACCCAAGCCAGGUUGUUAAAAUCGCGAGUUAUGAGUCAACAUGUAUCUAACGUGCUAAAUCGGACUAAAAACUCAAAAAUAGUAAAAUCAGACUUGUGCAAAAUCAGUAAAAUCGGUAAACUCAGUCCGAUUUUAUGAGUUUACUAAAUUUGUGAUAUGAAUCAAGUCAGGUUCAAAUUUGGCCUUAAAAUAUCUGCUGACUAGUUUUGCGAGAUUGAGCAUAUAUUUCAAACUGUAUAUUGGAUAAAACUGAUAUUUUACAGGAAAAUAUUAGAUACAUAAACAUAUAUUGUGGUAAAUUGUUAGGUCAAAUAGAGUUAGGAAACAUAAUUUUAGAGGGUCAAAGUUAGUAAACUAAUAUUGUCAAAUAUGUCAAACAAGUCCUUCGUGUACUGUUUGGAACAUAUCCAGAGCUACCGGUGGAAUUUUGCUUCAAUUAAAGUUGGGAUAGAAACUAGACAUCUGAAACUUUCCAACUAUAUACGUAGGCCCAAGAAUUCAUCCAAACAAGAGAGAAUGACAUGUUUGAAAUCAGGACUCAAAUCUACCAAGAAUAUGCAAAAAAUAGAAGAUUCAGGUUACAUGGAUGAAUUUUAACAUGAAGACUUUUUUAUUAUUCUAUUUUAUUUAUUUAAUUUUAAAUAAUUAUUUUUAAUUUGAAUUUUUUCUAGCGCAUUAGACAUUGUUUAGGAAUUUGUUUUAUUAUUGAAUUUAUGUUAGUUAAUUACUAAUUUAAACUUAUUAGCUUGCAACCCAAAAGGGGUCUAUCAAGACUUAUUGUGAUAGGAACAACCAGGUUGUCACUAGGUUUAUGUGUGCUUCCUACCUUUCAGUGAUUCCCUUGUAUUGAAAAAUUUUGUUCUGUGACUUUUUAUUUCUCCAUGUCAUUAAUUUAUUGAUUCAUACUAUCUAUCUCUCUCAUUUUAUUUAGAUCGCUCAUUGAUUAUAAUAUUGUUGACUCAUUUUAUUAGAUUUUAAUGUAAUUUAAUUUCUUGACUAAAAUUAUCAAUAUAUAAUUAGUUAAAAAAUUAUUUAUGAUUUUACGAUUUUACGAUCUGAGUUUAUUUUAUAUUUUUCGUGUCGUGUCAAAAAAUAUUUUUGACAACCUUGAACCCAGGCUCUUGACUUUAUUGAUCCACAAUCCCCAAACCAUAUUCGCAAACUAAAACUUUUUUUUUAUAGUUUAAAACAAGCACCUCGUGCAUGUAUUGAUUGCUUAGUGAAUUCUUAGUUUCUCAAUGGAUUUUAUAUUCGUAAAUUUUUAAGUGAACCCAGGUUAUAUUAUCAUGAUAACUAAAAUAAAAUGAGCUAAAUUUAUUUAUAAAAUGAGCACCACACGCUUAGAUUUAAAUUCCAUAGAAAGAUUAGCACCUGAUGACAAGUUAACUCGGGAAACAAAGGUAAUAACAAAGUUUUGAGAUUGAAUUCGACACUAGGUCUACUUAGUAGUUAGUACAUAUAAGUUGAAGGAUUGCUACCUUGACCAAUGAACUGAAAAUAUCUUUAAUUUAUAAUGAAUGGCAUACACCAUACAGUUUUACCAUAUCAACAGCAUGAAAAUUGAUAAUCGAUCCUUUAGGGAUAUUAUUCCAUUUCUUUAUUAAUUAUCAUAAAAACAUUUAUUAAAUGUGUUGUCCUCCAACUCUUUCCAUAAAAAGAAAGAGUUGUGAACCACAACAUACAUUUGAUCAUGGACAAAAGGUAAUCAAAUAGUUGCCUCCACUAGGACAAGUAAACGUGCUCGAUUUAUCAUCAAAAGCAUAACUAUAAGCUUGAGGACACUGCUGCUUGAAAGUCAUCGAAUAUUGGGUAGGAGGACAUGUUUCAGCUGUAUUAUACUCUCCUGUGCAGCAGUACUGCGGCUGGUUAAAUGCCAAACACGCACUCUUGCAGGCAAUCACAGUCCCAUCUGAACCUUUCACUGCUAAACUAGGAUCACAAACAGCAUUCACGUUAGCUGCACAGCUUGUAGAAGGGCAGCCAGUAGAACCUCCUUGCGGGGUUACCGAAAUUGGGAGGUUAAAGCCAUCAACAAGGCUUAUAUCGUAAUAAUCUUUCCCACCAUCACCGCUUAGAGUAAAUUCUGCCAAGGAUGCUGGUGGGAUCGCACCGGCUCCAUUGCAUUCUAUGACACCAGAGCCACAGUCAGCAGUAGCACAAACAAACUUUCCCGAGGCAUCUGUAGAGCAUUGCGUUCUGGCCCACAAGCGGCCAGACCAAUUGACAGGGACACUCAGCGAAGAUGAAGCACCCGUUGCCAAUGUGAAGCCAGUUGAAGAUAAAGACGGACCGCCAGCAGCCGUUAGAGUUCCUGGCCAGACUGUGUAUGGACAGUUGUUUGUGAAGUCGAAAGUCACAGAUUGAGCUCCUGCAUGCGUGCAAGAUUUAUUUUUGUUGAUAUCAAUAAUUAAAUCUUGGUCGAUUCAAAGAUAACAUAAUUCAAUAUUUAAAAUCUUGUAUUAAUUCAGUUAUUUUUCUUUUAAAAAUAUAACAUAACCCAUGUUUUUUUUUAAUAUAUUUUUUUCUUUUUUCUUUUUUAUCUGGAAACUCCCUCCUGGAUAAAUUUAUUGGAUUCACGAAAUCCAUUGAAUAAUGAAAACUAGUUAAUAUUGCAUACGCAAACAGAAAAUAUAUAUGUAGAAUAAUCAAAGUGAAUAAUAUGCAUAAUAGAGUUUUCCAUGCAAGAAUCUAGUAUAUGUAAUAUUGUAAAACUACUUGCCAUAGAGGAAGAUGACGAGGGUGAAGGUAAUUAUAGCAAUAUUGGGCAUACGACUCUCCAUUGCCGAGAUGCGUCGAAUUAAGACCUUUUCAGUAUCUUUCAAGAGAUUUGAGGUAACCAAGAAACACUCUAUAUUUUAAAAAUAUUAUGAAAUGAGCAGACUUAAUAAAUAGUGUAAAAUUUGCAGACUAGUAAACAGAGGAACGUCCUGCUUCUCACGUCAAAUGAAAGCAACACCCAAUUGAAUAUUGAAUGCAACUCUGGUCCAGCAGACGAGCCGUGAUGAAUGUGAGAGUCUUCAAAAUUAAAGAAAAAAAAUUCACCACCUAUUAAUUAAAAACUUUAGAAUUUAAAAAUAGACAUUGGUUAGAGAUUUAGACAUUGAGCUAGUUAAGUCUAAGAAAGAUCAAUAUCACCCUUAUCAUAUCCUUUAAAAUGAAAAGUUACCUCCACAAUGCAUUUAAGAAAAAUUAUUCCAUGCAUAAUAUUAAUUAUCUAAAUUUAUUUCUAAUCUUUUCGUGAUUUAUUUUAAUAAAAAAUUGGCAAUUCAAAAUUUAUUUCUCAUACAGACUAAACUAGAACUAUUUAUCAAGAAUUAUUUGUGCUAAUAAAUAUUAAAGAAACUCGUUAAUGAUAAGUAAAGACUAAACUAGGAUCAAAUUGAUGCUUAAAAUCAUAAUUCUCCAUUAAGUUAUCAAACAAUUCUGAAAAUUUGUGUGGACCCUUCUAAUAUGAUACUUUAACUUGAGUUAAAAUUUCAGAGUUUUUGAAGAAAGUCAGAAAUUUGAUGAAAAAUCACAAUUUUACCAGUUUUACGUUAUUGGGCGUAAUUUUCAAUCCGACCAUCCAAUUGAGCUGAAAUUUUACAAGGAAUCUUCAAAUAUAUUGAAUAAAAUCUGAUUAAAAUCUGAUUAAAUGAACGGAGCUUGGUAGUGCUAACAAAAAAAAGGACCGUCAAAUAAAAGCAAAACAACUCAUUAAGGGCAAAAUAGUUAUUUGCCAUUAAAAAUAAAACAAAUUAUCUCUUCCUUCUUUUUAUAUGUUGCCGACUGAGCAGAAGCAAAAUAGAAAAAGAAAGAAAAGAAAAGACGAGAGAGAAAGAGAGAAACGUAAGGGAAAACAUAAAAAGAAAAAUCAAAGGAAAAAAAAUAAGUGAGAGAAUAACCUUGUACACUUAUAAAGUCCGACUUAUAAAACACUAAUCUUAGAAAGAAUCAAGUGAAGGAAUGAGGAAUUGAGAAAGGGAAAAAAAUUUAAUUAUUUUUUUUCCAGUUGAUAUGAGAUUGUUAUUUUAUCCUGGUUAAGGGGUUGUUACAAUAUCGAUUCAGAUUCGAUUAUAAAUGAAUUAUAUUCCACAAAACAUCGAAGGAUAUAACUUCAAUAGUAGGUUUAUUUUUACUUUCACUUCAAUUUUAUGUACUUUUAAAUUUAUUUUUUAAUAUUUUGGAUAAUGUAUUUCAAUUAAAAUUUUACUGUUAACUUAAAAAAUUCAUAUACAUAAGUUAAUAAUUGAUCUUAAAAAAAUUUAUAUAUUUAUUUAAUAACCCAGGACGGGAAAAAUUCUUGACUCUGCUGGUAACAACCAUCUUCCACACGCACCGUCUCAUCCACGAUGACAUUUGACAAUGAAUGUCAAAUUAUAAAAUUAUAAUUUAUUUAUAUUUAUAAAAAAUUAAAUUAUAAAAUUGGGUCUAUCACCUAAAGUGCGCAGAGACCGUCCAUGCACUGACCUGCACUCAUCCAAAAAUUGAAUAUUGAAUGUAACUCUGGUCCAGCAGACGAGCCGUGAUGAAUGUGACCCUCUUCAAAAUUAUCACACCGUGAUGAAUGCGAGAUUCUUCAAAAUUAAAGGAAAAAAAAGUCACCACCUAUUAAUUAAAAAAUUUAGAAUUUAAAAAUAGACAUUGGUUAGAGAUUUAGACAUUGGUUAGAGAUUUAGACAUUGUGCUAGUUAAGUAUAAGAAAGAUCAAUAUCACCCUUAUCAUAUCCUUUAAAAUAAAAAGUUACCUCCACAAUGCAUUUAAGAAAAAUUAUUCGGUGCAUAAUAUUAAUUAUCUAAAUUUAUUUCUAAUGUUUUUCGUGAUUUAUUUUAAUAAAAAAUUGGCAAUUCAAAAUUUAUUUCGCAUACAUAUUAUUAAAUAAAUCAAGAAUUAUCUAUGCUAAUAAAUAUAAAAGAAACCCGUUAAUGAUAAAUAAAGACUAAACUAGGAAAAUUAAGAGAUAAAUAUAAACCAAAAUAUUUGAUAUCGCAACACGAAGCAUGUACCUAGUUGUGUUUAAUAAUUUAUUUAUUUGAAUAAAUUUUGUAUUUAAUAAAAUGAUUAUCCGUGCCAAUAAAAUGAUGUCUACCCAAUACAUUUUUUUUUGUAUUUCAAAAUAUUAUGAAAUGAGCAUCACAUGCUUAUAUUUAUUAAAUUAUAUUAUAUUAUAUUAAAUGAAAAAAAUAUUUAUAAAAAAAAUAAAUUAAAAAACAAAUAAAAAUACUCGAGAUAUCCCAAGUCCUUUUCAAAAUAAGUGAAAAAUCCUAUAGAAAAAACAAAAAAAAAACCUUCUAGAGGAUGAUAUUUUAAAAAAAAAUUCAAAUUAAAAAAUGAUCUCAAAUAAAAAAAUAAGAAUUAAAAGAACAGGGACAAAAUUUGGAAGAUGAAAAAACCAAAGGGAAUGAAAUUGUCAAAGAAUUUCAAUUUUAUAAAUUAUUCCAAACAAAACAAGUAAUAAUCAAAAGAACAGGGACCAAUUAAUAUGAAGGAAUAACAAAUUGAAGGCGUGCUUUGAAAUUUUGAAGGGGCACACACGAAAAUCAAGGGGAGAGUGCGAAGAAAAAGAAAAAGAAAAGCUUGUCGGCACCAAACCGAACAACUAUUUGCCACACACGUUGCCUCAUCCACAACGGCCUUUGUUCAACGAAUGACCCUACACCCGCCACCUGAAGUGCGCGGAGACCGCCCAUACACUCACCUGCACUCAUCAACUAUUUUUUUAAUAUUAUUUAUAUUUAUUAAAUUAUAAAUUUGGAAAUAAAACACCCUGAUAAAAAAAACCCAAUGAAAUAUACAAAUGCCCUUGGUUUGAACCACAAGUGACUAACUUAGAUAUCUCAAUUUAUGAGAAAGCAGAAUAGUAAACAGGCAAUUAGAGGAACGCCUUGCUUCUCACGUCAAAUGAAAGCAACACCCAAUUGACUAACGAAAGCACUAAAUAUCCCAAUUAAUGAGAAAGCAGACUAGUAAACAGCCUAUUAGAGGAAUUGAAACUAUAUAUCCCAUAUCCCAGUUAAUGAGAAAGCAGACUAAUAAACAGCCUAUUAGAGGAAUUGAAUGAAAGCAAUUGAAUGCAGGAAGAGGGCCAGACUAGUAAACAGCCAACAGUGGGAGUUCUCCUCUAGCACAUAGUUAUUAAACCCGGCCCAGGGGUUGACCCGGCCAAGGGGCCGGGUCCCAGGUUUCAUGGGUCGACCCAGGUCGACCGGGGUCAACCCGGAAAAAUUUAAAAAAAUUAAAGUUUUAAUAUUUUAUAUGAAAAAAUUAAGAAAAAAUCCAUGUAAAUAUAUGUUAUACAUAUUGUAAAUAAUGAAGUUUAAAAGAAUAUUUUAAAAAAAAUUUAUUCUGCAUUAAAAAUAUAUUAUGUUAAGUUUUUAAAUUGAAGUAUUUAAACCAAAAAAUUUUCUUAUCCCACAUUGAAAAAACAUAGUUUUUUUCUUAUGAACAUAGAGUAUAUAUACUAAUGAGUUUCAAAUCCCACAUUGAAAAAAGAUAACUUUUUUCUUGGGAACAUAGAGUAUAUAUACUAAUGUGUUUCAAAUGUCACAUUGAAAAAAGAUAAUUUUUUUCUUGGGAACAUAGAAUAUAUAUAUUAAUGGGUUUCAAAUCCCACAUUGAAAAAACAUAGUUUUUUUCUUGUGAAUAUUGAGUAUAUAUACUAAUGGGUUUCAAAUGCCACAUUGAAAAAAGAUAACUUUUUUCUUGGGAACAUAGAAUAUAUAUACUAAUGGGUUUCAAAUCCCACAUUGAAAAAACAUAGUUUUUUUCUUGUGAAUAUUGAGUAUAUAUACUAAUGGGUUUCAAAUCUCACAUUAAAAAGAUACUAUGUUAUCAUUUUAAGUUUUUUAUCCCACAUUGAAAAAACAUAAUUGUUUUCUUGGAAACACAAAGUAUAUAUACCAAUGGGUUUCAAAUCUCACAUUUGAAAAAAAAAACACUGGUUCUCACCCGGGUCGCCCAGGUCACGGGUUGACCCACUAGGUUUGAACGGGUCGUUGCACUGACCGGUCUUUUGACAAACUUGGACCGGUCCAACUCCCGGGUCGGCCGGGUCCCGGGUCAACCGGCAAGGUCAGGCCGGGUUUAAUAACACUGCUCCAGCAUGUGAAACCGAGGAGCCGUGAGGAAUGCGACACUCUUCCAAAUUAUCCCUUAAAAAUUUGGCAUUAAUCUUUAAAAAUAUAUGAUUUCAUCGAUUCAGGAAAAAUUGGACAUUAGUCCCUAAAAUAAAUAAUUUCAUCAAUUUUUGAAAAAUAUGAUAUUAAUUCUUAAAAAUAGGAGAUUUCAUUGAUUUAGAAAAAACAAUUAACAUUAAUCCCUAAAACUAGGUGAUUUUCUCGAGAUAUAUGUGUUUGUGUGUGUGUGUGUGUGUAUAGAACAUUUAUAUAUAUUUUAAUCCAAUAUAAUAUAUACAUAUCUCAAUAUUGAUAUAACACACACACACACACACACACAUACAUGUAUAAUAUUAUUCAUUUUAUCAUUUAUUACAUGUAUACAUAUUUCAAAUAUAUCUAUUACUAUUUUAUUUUUUGUUGAAUAUUAAAUAACAGUAGAACAAUGGUUACCAAUAUAGAUAUACUCGAAAUCUAAUGAAUAAAGUAUGAAUAUCUGAAUUUUUUACUUGAUGAAUAAUAGGUAGGGUAUAUAUAUAAAAAAACUUAACAUGUAGAUAUCCAUUGGGAUUAUACAUAAUUUCAAUAUAUAAAAUCAAUGCAUUAAUUCAUUUAUUUUUCUUUUACAAAGAUAAAAUGAUGAUAAAUGCAAAAUAUAUAUAUGUUUUUAAUUCUUUUACAUUAUGCUUUUAAUGUGUUUUAAUCUUAUUUGAGCUGAUUGAAAGUAAUUUUAUGAGUUUGGCAUGCCUAAAAGACUUGGUGAAUUAAUUGCUAAAAGAUAAAAAAAUUCUGCAUUUUAUGUUUCGAACCUUGGUAUUUCUGACAUCUUUUUCACCAUGUUGGAGUUACAGAAUAGGAACGUGGCUUAAUCAAAGUUGAACUACACAUAUCCAGCUUUCCAGGAAGGUAUUAUGGGAAGAAAUCUGAUCUUAUUUGAACAUCUAAUCAGACCUGCAAAAUCGAGCCAGAAUUCUAUUUGUAGCAGAAUUCUCUGUUUUCACAUUAGAUAUUCAAAUAGAUAUAUCUUGAGUUUCAGAUAUCGCAAUCAGACUAUUCAAAAGCCCAAAUUCAUCUACACAUCCAGGGAUACAACUUUUAUGAAGGACUCCAGAUCUGAUAAAAUUAUUUUCAAGAUGAAAAUCCUGAUGCAAGCUAGAUGACAAGUUUUGUCUCUUGAUCUGAUGAGAAACUAACAAGAUGAGAGUCCUAUCUUUUAAAGAAAAUCUGAUGGGAUCAGAUAGAUAUUCUUUAUAGCUUCUUACCUCCUAGUCUUUAGCCUUGAUAUUUUAUCAUGAAGGCUGCCUCUUAGGAUCAACGUGACAAAGCAACGAGGAAAAAAGCGUUCUUUGCCAAAAAAAAAUUUAAAGAGUUCAUCUUCGCUGCUGGAAUUUUCAAAGACCAUGAGCAACUAAUUCUCAAUUUCGGUUCAAGGGGAAUAGACACCUUCUCCAUUAUCAAGUUGUGAGAAAUAACAUUAUCAUUGUAAUUAUUUCAGACUCAAGUACUUAUUUUUUUUUUUAAGAAUUAUGUUAUUGAUUUAUGUUCAAGAUAAUUGAAUUGUUUUGAGAUGACAUGUAUGAUUUCUAGUUUCUUUCAAUUCAUAAUUGUUGUUGGGGACUAAAGUUAGAAGCAAAAGAAUUAAUUUGAUUGUUGCAACUCUCAUCUUAAAUUAUUUGGAAAGAAUAAGUUAAGUUAAAUUGUCAAGCUUUUGAAGGAUUGUUUAGUAUAAAUCUGACAGCCUUUUCUCUUAAGGCUAUUGUCAAAUGAAUGAGAAUUGCUUUUCAAUAUUACAUUUGUUUGAUAGUAAGAAAUUGAUUAAAAAGCUUUGUCUAAUUAAUUUACUGAUAGUCUCAUCGAUUCCUCGUAGUUUUAAGGAAUAUCGAAUUUAUUUGCUUGAUUUGAAAGAACAUUUAUUUUUACUUUGAUGAUUAAUAAAUUUAUAGGAAUGGAUGUAUGGACCCUUUGAACUGAGUUAAUAACAUAUCAAUUUAUCAAUUUUAUUUUUAGAAUUUUGUUUCUUUAAUUAUUCAAAUCCUCCACGUUUUAUUUAUUUUAGUUUCUUGUAGGAAGAUUAAAUAAAAUUUUCUUUAAAGAUGAAAACAGAAGAUUGGUCAAAAGGAAGGUAUGUUUUUUCAAAGAAGAACAAGGAAAUAAAAUAUUCUCAUUUGACUGUAAUUUUAUUUCAUAUUUUUUUCCUAAAUUGCUAGAUAUACUUAAAAUUUCCGAAUGAGGCUUCUGCGGAUUUUACAUGAACUGGCUAACUACUCCAACUUCAUAUGUAAUAUCUGAUCGUGUCAAGAUUAAGUAGAUAAGACUACCUAGUAUUCGUCAAUACAUAAUUGUAUUGCUUCAAACCUUUUAGCCUAUAUAAAGAUCAUUAUAUGUUUGUAGUAAGUUAUUUGAAUAAAAUUAAAUUAUACAUGUUUUUUUUUACAACUCAUAUACAAUAAAUUAAAACAAAUAUUAUAUAUUGUUAUAUUAAUUUUGGCCCCCCCUAACAAAUAAUCCUAGCUCCGCCCCUGCUUAGUUGUGCAUAAUUUUCCUUGAACCUUUAUCAGGGUAGAGACAGACUUGCGAUUGAGGAUUCCAUAUCUUUAUAGUAAAUCUUUUUGUAUACUGAUGUUGGCUAGAAAUAAAUGACUUUGUUCACUCAACUUCAAGUCCAAGGAAAUGUUUAAGCUCUCCAAGCUCCUUCAUUUGAAAACGGGCUGCUGAAUUUUCUCUUAUUUGACCGAUUUCCUUGGUAUCGUCUCUAGUAACAAUGAGAUCAUCUAUAUAGACCAUUAUUACUGCUAUUUCUCCUCGAUUUUUAACAGACAAGUUUGAAUCUGAUGAAGCCAUUGAGUAGCCAUUUUGUAUUAGAAACUCUUACCAUACCACGUCAUUUUAGCUUGUUUUAACCCACACAGGGCUUUCUUUAGCUUGCAUACUUGUUCAGGAUAAAUUUUCCUUUGAAACCCUUGCGGCUGCUCUAUAUAUAUAUAUAUAUAUAUAUAUAAUAGAGAUAUUAUUGAUGGAAUCAAUUUACCGUUAAGGCUAUCGUAAACUAGAAUUCAAAAUAUUAAGAGAUGUACAAAAAGAAGUAUUGACAAGCUCCUAAACCAAUAACACUUUACUUAUUAGUUCAUGAUAAAAUGUUGUCAGCGCCUCUAAUUAAAUCAUUUUUUGUGUAUGUAAAGUUAAUGUUGCAAGCCUUUAACCAAAGUGUAAGAUGGUGGAGAAUGAGUUGAAACUGUGCAUUCUAAUCUGGCAUCUUAUCCUUAAAUAUGAGCUUGUUCCUUGCAAUCCAAAUACCCCAUAAAAUGCCAUACGAUAGCAUCAUUAAGGCACUUCGCUGAAACUUGCCUUUUGCCAUGUCUCGCCAUUGGCUGAUGAUUUGAUCUAUUCUAUUCAGCAUGCACCUAGAAAUGCCAAACCAAUUAUGAAAUUGUUGCCACAGUCUCCACGUGUGGUAGCAAUGGAGGAAAAGAUGAUUAUCAUGUGUUGGGAAAACUAGGGACAACUAACCGGAUCAAUUCAGCGGAAUACAAUUCACAAUUUACAAGUCCCAAUCCUUUUUCCCUCUCUGUGCAGUAAAAACAGAAUCAAACAAUGAAUAAAUAUAAUGCAACAAUCACACAAAUCAACACCAAGAUUUUUACGUGGAAAACCCGAUACGGGAAAAACCACGGGACCGGAGUCCACCUAAAAACUUCCACUAUCACAAAUAAUGGGUUCACAAUUGUUCUUCCUCAGAUUCAACUAAGGGCUACAACAAAUAUAUCAUCAAGAACAACUUAUUCUCGGAUUACAACAAGAUUAAAGAGAGUAAUGUUAGAGAAAAGCUCACAACACUGACAGCCCCGUUUUCUGUCAAAACGAUCAGCUUUCACACCACCAAUAUUCAAUCCAACCGUUCAGAAUGAAGAGUAACGUGUCUAGAAGCUGCUGUCCAAAUCUCAGCCCGAUCCAACGGUGAACGAACUGGAAAUAAAAGAAAGAAGACAGACUGCUCUGCUGCCUCCUCUUCUUUCUUUCUCUCGGUUUUUCUCUGCUCUCUUGUUCAAAUUUUGCUACUACCUCUACAGUGGUAGUUUCAUUUUAAUUUAAACCAAAGAGGCAGCCAGCUGCCUCCUUAAUUAAUGUGGUGGUCCCCCCAUCACAUGGUGCGGGACCACACAACAAAUCUCCCCCUCACGCACCAUGUGAGGAAUUCGCCAUACUGGCGAUCAACAUGUAAGCUUCAAUUUAGGAGGCUCUGACAAGCCUGCCUCCCUUCUGCAAAACUCAAACUUCUCUCUCGGUAGAGGUUUGGUCAUCAUGUCUGACACGUUGUUAUCAGUAUGGAUCUUCUCAACAACAAAUGACUUCAUCUCCAUAGCAUCUCGAAUCCAUUGAUAUCUAACCUCAAUGUGCUUUGAUCGAGAGUGAAAAGUAGGAUGCUUACUGAGAUGGAUUGCACUUUGACUAUCACAGUGCAACACAAAGUUCUCUUGAACUAGGCCAAGUUCAUGUAGGAACUUCUUCAUCCAUAACAACUCUUUGCCCCCUUCAGUAAAAGCAAUAUAUUCAGCCUCUGUAGUGGAUAAUGCCACACAUUUUUGCAACCUUGAUUGCCAUGAGACUGCUCCCCCUGCAAACUUCAUCAAGUAUCCUGAUGUGGACUUUCUAGAAUCAACAUCACCAGCCAUAUCUGCAUCUGUGUAUCCAUCCAACACAGGUUUAUCAUUACCAAAACAUAAGCUGAAACUAGAAGUACCUUUGAGAUACCUGAGUAUCCAUUUCACUGCUGACCAGUGUUCUUUACCAGGAUUGGAGAGGAACCGACUGACCACACCAACUGCAUGAGCUAUAUCCGGCCUUGUGCAAACCAUGACAUACAUCAAGCUACCAACUACAGAUGCAUAAGGAACCUUUUUCAUCUCAUCUCUUUCUUCAUCACUUGAAGGACACUGCUUAGAACUUAGUUUAAAGUGGCUUGCAAGUGGAGAACAAACCGGUUUGGAUUGCUCAUGUUGAAUCUCUCAAGUACCUUUGGAACAUAUCUCUCCUGAGAUAGCCAAAGUUUCUCCUUCUUCCUGUCACGUGUGAUCUUCAUGCCAAGAAUCUGUUUUGUCGGUCCUAAGUCUUUCAUUGCAAAAGACUUGCUUAACUCUUCCUUCAAAAUCUGAAUCUUCUUAGCAUCAUGGCCAACAAUCAACAUAUCAUCCACAUACAAUAGGAGAAUAAUAAAGUUUCCAUCUGGAAACCUUUUCAUAAAUACACAAUGAUCAGAAGUGGUCCUGUCAUAACCAUGAUCCACCAUAAAAGAAUCAAACUUCUUAUACCACUACCUUGGAGCUUGCUUUAACCCAUAUAGGCUCUUUUUCAACUUGCAAACUAGCUGCUAUUUACCUUUUGCUUCAAACCCUUCAGGCUGUUCCAUGUAGAUCUCUUCAUCUAAAUCACCAUGGAGAAAGGCAGUUUUCACAUCAAGUUGCUCAACUUCAAGAUUCAAACUAGCAGCUAAGCCAAGCACAACUCGGAUUGAAGACAUCUUGACCACUGGUGAAAAGAUUUCUUCAAAAUCAAUACCCUUCUUCUGACCGAAGCCUUUCACAACCAAUCUUGCCUUGUACCUUGGUUGUGAGCAAUGUUUAUCAAUUUUCAACCUGAACACCCAUUUGUUCUUGAGUGCUCUCUUACCUUUAGGAAGCUUCACUAACUCAAAAGUAUGGUUUUCAUGCAAGGAUUUCAUCUCUUCUUGCAUUGCUUGCAACCACUCACUUUUCUUCUCAUGUGACAUGGCUUCAUCAAAGCAUUCUGGCUCUCCCCCAUCAGUAACUUGCACAUACUCAUGAGGAGAAUAUUUGGUGGAAGGUUGGCGAGGUCUGGUUGACCUCCUUAAUUGUGGCUCAUCUGGAGCUUCCUGUAUAACCUGCUCAGGAAUAACAUCAAUAUCAUCAUUAGUUGAUUCAUGAUCACCAACUAAUGGCUCAAUAAGAAAACCACCAUUAUCAUCAUUUUGCAAAUCUCCCCCAUGAUUAGCAAGCAUCAAAGGUAACUGUGGAGUAGGUCUUGGAUUUGAAUUAGAUGGAAUAAAAGUAGUAGACUCUGUUUUCUCCUUCAGUUCAAAGUCUUCAAUGGUUUGAUCUUCAAAGAAGAUAACAUCUCUGCUUCUCACAAUUUUCUUCUCCUUUGGAUCCCACAACCUAUAGCCAAACUCAUCAUCUUCAGAUCCCAAGAAAAUACACUGCUUUGUCUUGCUGUCAAGCUUGGACCUUUCAUCCCUUGGAACAUGUACAAAUGCUCUGCAUCCAAACACUCUCAAGUGUGCAUAGGAAACAUCCUUUCCUUUCCAAACUCUAUCUGGAACAUUAAACUCAAGAGGAACUGAUGGAGAAAGGUUGAUCAUGGCAACUGCAGUCUUCAUUGCCUCACCCCAAAAGGACUUAGGCAGCUUUGCAUGAGAGAGUAUACAUCUAAUUCUUUCAACAAUGGUUCUGUUCAUUCUCUCAGCCACUCCAUUCUGCUGUGGAGUCUUAGGAACUGUCUUCUCCAACUUGAUACCCUGUUCCCUGCAGUACUUAUCAAAAGGACCUCUGUAUUCACCACCAUUGUCUGCUCGAACACAUUUAAGCUUUCUACCAGUUUCUCUUUCAACUCUGGCAUGGAAAUCCUUAAAGACAUCAAGCACCUGAUCUUUGGAUUUCAAACAAGUGGCCCAAAUCUUCCUGGAGUGAUCAUCAAUAAAACUAACAAAGUACAAUGCACCUCCAAGAGACUUAUCAAUCAUAGAGCAAACAUCAGUAUGAACUAAAUCAAGAACAUGUGACCUUCUAUGUGAAGGUGAUCUUUGAAAUGCAACUCUAUGUUGUUUACCAACUAAACAAUGAGUACAUGUGUUCAAGUUCAUACCUUUCAAUGGAAGGUAGUUCUUCUUGGCAAGGAUGCCAAGGCCUUUCUCACUCAAAUGUCCAAGCCGCUUAUGCCAUAGAUCAGUAGAGCAAUCUUCAAUUGCAUUCACCUCCCCUUUGAUCACCUUGGCUUGUGACAUGUAGAGACCCAUCUUCUUCCCUUUAGCAACAAUUAGGGAAUUUCUGGAGAGCUUCCAUUUACCAUCUCCAAAGUAACUAUGAUAGCCUUCUUCAUCAAGAGUACCUGUAGAGAUUAAAUGUAGGCGCAUAUCAGGCACAUGCCUAACAUCUUUGAGUAGCAACUUGCACCCAGUAUUGGUUUCCAACCAAAUAUCUCCAAUGCCCACAACACUAGCCAUCCCUUGAUUUCCCAUCCUAACUUGACCAAAGUCACCAGCAGUGUAGGAUGUGUAAAAAUCACGUCGGGGUGUAACAUGGUAAGAAGUUGCUGAAUCUGCAACCCAGGUGGUAUCUUGACAUGCAAGAUUAACACAGCCAUCAUCACACACAAUGGCAACAUCACCAUCAGAUACAACUGCAGCUGUACCAUUGUCUUCAUUCUUGUCUUCAUCUCUACCCUUUUUAUCUCUUUUAUACUUUCUGCAAUCUUUUUGCAUAUGUCCAGGCUUGUCACAAUAAUAACACUUGAAACCCUUUCUUGACUGAGAUCUUCCUCUUGGCUUCCAUUUGCCUUUUCUAUUGCUGAAUUCUCUAUCUUGCUUGUCAUGAGAGAACCUGCUUUGACUUCUCCCUCGACUUUCUGUAACAAGUGCAUGAGACUCGGAAAUGCUUGUCCCUUUCCUCCUCUUCUCUUCAUUGAGGAUACAAUCCUUCACUGUUUUCAAAGUGUGACCUCCACUACCACUGAGCUGAGAUGUACUCCCUCAUAUCCAGCAAGCAUGAUGAAGAUGUUGUGGACAAGGAAAAUAGGCAUGGAUAAAGAUCUUUUAACAUCCCACCACAUAACCAUUUGUCUGUCUAGAAAUGGAUGUGUCUGCCAUUACCAACCCGAUACCAACAAUUGUUCUUCAAAGCCUCUCCAUGUACAGAGUUUGUGCUGUUGAGAGAAUUUAUGGAUUGCCAUGUUUCUGAAAGAGGUGGAUGAAGAGUUGAUAGGCCAUUAGUGAAGGAAGCUUGAUACUUUUUACUGAUAAGCUCUUGCCAGCCUCCUAGAUUAUUAUCUCGUAGCCUUCAUAGCCAUUUAAAUAGCAACGCCUUGUUCUUGCCUUCUAGUGAACCAAUGUCUAAACCUUCUCUAUUCUUUCCCCUGACCACUAUCUGCCAUGCAACUUUAUAAAUUUUCUGAUCUUUUGAAUCCCCACACCAUAAGAAUCUCCUCUUAAUUGAAGUAAUGACCUUAGCAACUCUCUUUGGCAUAAGAAACAAAGACAUGUGAUAUAAGGGGAGGGUGGAUAACACUAUUUUAAUAAGACACAUUCUUCUUGCCAUACUUAAUAAGCAUCCUUUCAACAGGCAUAGUCUUGUAUGAAUGCUAUUUAUUAUAGGUUUCUAAGUGGAGAGUUAUUUCGGAUUUGCUCCCAAGUAAAGUCCCAUUUGCAAUAUAUUGCAUUUUUCAUUCCUGUCGUAUAUUCAUCAUCUAAAUUGAUUCCAACCAGUGAAUUUUUAUGGAAGUUGACUUUCAGACCUGAAGCCAACUCAAACCACCUCAAAUUCCUUUUAGCGGUUGAUAUCGAAUGGAAGUCGUUAGGACUAAACACUAAGGUAUCAUCUACAUAUUGCAAAUGACUCAAAUGCAUGCCAUUUCCACAAUUAAUUCUUUUACACAAGCCAUAAUUUGAAGCUCUCUUGAACAGAACUGAUAACCCUUCCACAGCUAUGUCAAAAAGAAAAGGCGAUAGUGGGUUGCCUUGACAUAGACCACGGUGGACUCCAAACUCCAUGCUUGGUGAACCAUUAAUAAGAAUUGAUAACUUAAAUCCCAUAAUGCAUUCAUGGAUUAGAGAAAUCAACCUCUGCUCAAAGCCCAUAUACGACAUCAUUUCCUCUAGAUACUCCAUAUUAUAGAAUGUGUGUGUGUGUGUGUGUGUGUAUAUAUAAGAAAUAUUAUGGGCACUAUUCUAGUGUUGUAAUCUCUACCUUUACUAUUAUAAAUUGCCCUACACAUAUAAAUAGAAAAUGAUUGGAUAACUAAUAGGUUAAGCCUCCUACUUCUUCUCAACUCUCCCAAACAACUUAUUCAAAAGCCUUAAGAAAGUCCACUUUCAUAACAAAACCAUGCUGCCCACUUUUCUUAACACUGAGUACAACUCCAUUUUCCAUCAUGAAACCAUCUAAAACCUACCAGAGAUGAAAGUUGUCUGGUUAGCACUAAUAAUGCUAGGCAUAACCUGUCUCAAUCUGUUGGAUAACAAUUUUUCAAUAAUUUUGUACAAGUCAUGCACUAAACUUAUCGGCCUAUACUCUGAAAACUUAGUAGGCAGUUUAGUCUUUGGGACCAAAGCUACAUGAGAGACAUUAACCCCCUUUAGAAAUUUUCCAAGCCUGAAAAAUUCAUGUACAAUGUAAAAAAUAUCAUCCCUAUCAGAUGCCAUGCUAUCUUGUAGAAGGUGAACGUAAACCCGUCAGGUCCUAAAGCUUUGGUCCCAUCACAACUCCAAAUUGCUUGCUUGACCUCUUCGAUAGUUACCUCUUAUUCUAGUUGUUGAACUUGUUAUGUGAAGAGUUUAGUGAACCCAAGUGGUCUCAUUGUAGCUCUAUCAGUAGUGUCAUUAGUGAACAGACUUGAGAAGGAUGACGUUGUCGCCUCCUUAAUGUCUGCUGGAGAGGUAUGUAGUUUAUCAUUAUAUCUGAUUUGAUUAAUAAAGUUUCUGCCUUUUCGAGUCUUAGCUGUCAAGUGGAAGAAUUUUGUGUUUUUACCCCUAAGCUUGCACACCAGGUCUAUCGUGAUUUUUUAUGCCAGAUUGAUUCCACACACUUGCAUCCCACUGCUUGGAUCGUAAUGUUUGUAGCUCAGAAAUUUCAUCAUUGUUAAGUUGUAUAUCCUCUGUUAUGUUCUCAAUGGUCUGGAUUUCAUGCUGAAGAUGUAGCAGUUUUAAGUCUUGAUUGUCGAACUCUUGGUUGUUCUAAAUUCUGAGUUUUGUAGCCAUAAAUGCCAUCUUUUUAACUAAUUGAACUCUCCCAUCAAACUUAAUGUCAUACCUGAACAUCACGGUGAUCGAUCAAAAAUAUUUUCUAAUGAAAAAAAAAAGAACAGAUAUCUAACAUCUUGUUCUUUUGGGGAAAAUGGUCUAGUUUAAGAAGUCGUCACCUAAUAUUAUGAUCACUAUGAACUUUAAUUAGUCAACAAAGAUUUUUUGGUACGGGACUAGUUACGCGAAAGGAAAUAUAUUAUUACGUCUUAAGCGUUCUACUUAAGGUAAGCCGCAUUACUGGUUUUGUUUUAAAUUGCUAAAGGUUUGUUUUUGUUCUGUUCUUAUGGUCUUCCUAUGAUAUUCCUGACUCUGACGUCAAUGAAUAUUCGCCUAUGAAUAUUUUCAACUUUGGUGUUGGUAAAUAUUGCGUAACCCAAAAAAUACGGUAUUCUUGACUCUAACACCAGUAAAUAAAUUCACAAAAUUCUGCAUUAAAAGAAACAGAAAUUAUUUUUUUUCUUUUUUAUCAUUUUUUUUGUUAUUUAUGUAGCCUGGUCUCAAAACUUAAAAAGGGGUCGGGUCACUGGUCCAAACCAGUGACCCGGCUGGCCACUGUUGCAUGCAUGUGUGAAUGGUUCACGCAUGCAUGCAACAGUAACCAGUUAAUUAUUUUAGCAAGCAAGGAAGGAAACUUACUUGGGCGUGCUGCUGCUGGAGCCGAAGUCAAGGGAGACGGUUGGGCGCUGCUCACGAUUGUCAAUCCAACAUGCUGCUCAUGAUGAAGUUGGGGUGUUGUCACGGAGGAGAUCUUCCAAACUGUUGCGGCACUUGAAGAUGAAGAUGACGAUGAUGGAGGGCUGGCCUACUGAAACCAUCUUCUUCUCCUCUGUUUUCCUUUCGUUCUUCCCUUGGUCUUCUUUCUGUGCUCUCCUUGUCUGUACUGUGCUCGUCCGUUUUCCUUCUCUCUCACUGGUUCUUUUUAUGCUUGUGCUGAGGACGUACGGAUGUCUACAACCGUGGCUGAAGAGAAACAACUGUUGUUGCUCACGGUGGUUGCUGCUCAAGUCACUGAAAUUCGUGUUGCCACUACUGAGAAGAGAAGGCUGCUGCUGGAAAUGCAAGGGUGUAGCUGAUGCUGAUGGCUGUUGUUUUAGGCGAGGAGGAAAGGAAAGACAGUAACUACUAGAAAAUUGAUAAAUACAAACAAAAAUUUUGAGGGAAUAACAGUGGGGAAAAAAAUUAAAACAAAGAAAAAAAAAUGAUGACGUGUUAUUUUUACUAACGGAAUUACCAAUGGAAUAAAUCUCGUCGGUAAAUUUUGUUGGUAAAAUCGUUGGUAAACUGUAAACACUAUUCAUCAUGUCAAUUACAAAGGGAAUCAUCGACGGAAACUUCCAUCGGUGGUAUUUUACAGGAGAGCUCUAGAACUAUUCACUUCCCAAUUGCACUGUUAAAUAUUAUUCUUUACAGACAAAAUCACCGACGGAUUGAAAAGUUAUCGGUGUUAUAUGACGGUUUUCUAAAAAAUCUAGCUUAAAUUAAAUAUUACCAGACGGAUUUUUUUUUAAUUGGUAUACUUUAUGAAUUUUGUUUCUCUCUUAUUAUCUUCACUUGCAACUACAUUAAGGUAAAAAACAAUUUCUUCUUUUUUCGUGUUUUUUUCACAAUAUUUGUUUUUUAUUUUAUUUUAAUUGUUUUUGUUCGUAAUAAUUGUUUGAAUAUUAUUGUAGGAUUUCUUUUUUCAUAUGAGAUCAAUUUUCAGUUGAUUUAUUUAUAGGAUUUUUAAAAAAAAAUUCAUAUGAAUUUUUUUAGUUGAAUUUAUUUGUUUGUGUUGUUUAUUUGUUGCAAAUUUGUUUGAGUUGAUUUUCUUCUUUUUUUCCAAGCAUUUUGAGUAUUAUAGAGUUUUGAUUAAUAUUAAUUUAAUUAUUUUAUAGUUUUGUAAAAUAAAUUUUUAAAAAAUAUUUUUAAAUAAUUACCGACGGAAUUAUAUACAGUAUUUUUCCGAGGGAAUUACCGACGGAAUGAAGUGGGUAAAAAUUUUUUUGCUUGUUUUUUCCAUCAGUAAAUCCAUCGGUAAUAAUAUUUUUUUAUUACCAACGGACUUACCGACAAACAAAAAAUUACUGACGGAGCAUUUCCGUCGGUGAUUUUGUUGGUAAAUUAAUUACCAACGGAAUAGUAGUGCAAAUACCGACGGAAAAUUUCAUCAAUAAAUUUAAAGAUUGUUUUAGUGGGUCCCCUCUGAUGUUGCUAUUGGCUUGCAUUUAAUUUAUCCCGGUUGCUGGAGUUGUUGAUGACGUUGUUGCUAAUCUUGACUGCAACCAACAUUGGGGAUGGAGCUCACAGUUGGAGGCAACGCUAUUGAUGGCUGAGGAUGGAGUCCUGCUGUUGUCAACAUGAACUAGCUUUACUGCCGUAUUUCUCAUAAAGGGGAGCCAACCUUGAGGGAUAGGGAUGAUGCUGUUGCUGUGGCGCAGAGAAGAAGUUCCUGCUGGACUGGAGGGAAAGAGGAGACGAAGGCCUCUCCUGCAACACCGGAUGAAAGCCUAUAUGGUGGCUAGUAUAGGGUUCGCCGCUACCUCUUCUCUUUCUUUUUUAUGUUUCUCUCUUUAAGGGUUUCUGAUAAUAGCCUCUCAUUAAGUUUGAAUUUGAUUAACAAUCAAAUUUGAAAACGAAUAAUUAACUUUAUCUUGAAGAUAAGAAUAAAAUAACAAAAACAUAUUGUAGUAUCUAAUUUUCAUAUAAAAGUUGAUAAAAAUUUUUUAUUAAAAUAUCUUUGAUAUUUUAAUUUUACCUUUUAAACCCUAUAAAAUUAAAUAAAAAACCAACAUGUCAAAGUUUCUCCAUGAAUAGAGGUUGGGAUACCCAGCAACUUAGAAAACGAAAUGGCUCCCAUCCCCACGUUUGGCAUUGCUGUCCUAAAAUAAUUGGACAGUGGUCAGACAACCCUCGUGGCAAACGACUCAUGAGAAGAAGGCCUGAGAAUUUUAAAUGGCAGUCUGGAGUGGCAAAGGCUCUAUCAAUUCUACUCAUUGAGGUGGCAUGAAAUCGUGUGUAUCGGUGGCCACUGAGGGAAUACUCCAAAAGGUUAGAGCUUGAGAUGAAACGUUUGAAAUCUGCAGACCCAAUUGCAUUCGAAAACCCACUAUUCCUUUCAUAUUGAUGCAAAGUUUCAUUGAAGUCCCCAACAAUGAACAUAGGUGUGCAAAUGCAGCUUGUAAGAUAAGAAGAUAAUCCCACAGUUCACGCCUCUCAUGUACUGUGGUUCCGGCGUAGACUCCUAUUAUUGCACAAUUAAAUUGCUUCUCCACGUGUUAGACCAAGAAGCGCUACCCAUUGCCCACCAUAUUCGAUUGACUAUCUAGAGCCUUCCGUGAAAUUGCAGGAAUGCAUUAUUUACAUCCAUUUACCAUAGCUUCUACGGAUUUUUAGCUGUUAAUGCAAUUAAUAUUCUCACAAUAGUUAUUUUUGCUACUAAACUGAAUAUUUCAUCAUAAUCUAAUCCAUACUGCAAGAACCCUCGAGCUACCGAACUUGCCUUAUAUAUUUUGAUCGAUCCAUCUGGACAUGUCUUCACCUUGUAACCCAUUUAUAAGAUAUGUGCUUCACGUCUAUAUAGGCUUCGACACUAAGUCUCAUGUCCGAUUUUCCAUUAGAGCAUGGAUCUCCUCAUCCAUUUCUUUCUUUCAUUCACUACUCUGUGAUACUUCUUCUUAAGUCAUAGGCUCUAUAACCUAAGCUUUCAAAGCUAAUGUUAUGUUAGCAUAUUUUGGAUUUAGUUUCCGUUGUCUCCUUGACCUUUUCACUUAUGACUGAUGUGUACCUUGUUCUUAAACUUUUGCUAUCUUGGUUACUCUUCUUUCGAAGAUAUUUGAUGAACACUAGUUUUCCAGGGGCUUGCUCGCAUUAUAGGAUUUUCUUGAUCAUCAAAUGUUGUAGACUCCUCCAUUUUUCAAGGUAUUUGUUACAUAUUUUAAGAUAUGAUUUAUAUUAUUUUCUAACACACCCCUUCAAGUGAAAGCCAUUUGAGCUUGAAACUUGCACAUGUUCACACCACAUUAUGCUUGAUUUUUAUCAAAUAAAUGGAGAUGAUGAGAUUUGAACUCGUGAUCACUUGGUCAUCAAGGCUCUGAUACCAUAUCAAAAAACCAAUUCAACCCAAUAGCUUAAACUGUUAGGUAAAGUUUCAAAUAUGAUUUAUAUUAUUCUCUAACACACCUUCACCUUUUCUAUUGGCCACUAGGAAGUUGCUUCAUCAAACAUGACCUUCCUCGCAGUGGUGGAGCCAAGAUUUUUUAAAUAAGAGAGCAAAUUACUAGCAAAUAUUUGAUAUUAUAUGCUAUACAAACAUGUGUUAUAUAAAGAAAUUAAUUUGAAAUAUAUGUACCAACUCAAGUCAAGUAAAAUUAAUUUAAGAAUACUUUUAAAAUAAAAAAACUUUAUAAUUGUUCUCUUCGAGAUUUUAUAUUUUAAACUGCUUUAUAAUGAUUUUAUUUUUAAUUUUUAUUUUUAAUCUCAUUAAAAAUAUCUUUCUCAAUAUAUACAAUAAACUUUCAUUUAUCUAUUUCUAAAUCUUCUAAAGACUAGGAAAGUUCUUGGCAACAAUUCUAUGUUGACAUAUAGUACAUAACAUCUAAAAUCAUAGCUUAAAAAGAUUGUCACAAAUUGAUGUUGUUCUUGCUAACUUAUUGUUUUAUACAAAUGGAUUAAACAUAAAUAUUAAAUGUUUUAUUUUUAAUUUAUAUAUUAUGAUAAUUUUUUGAAUUGUCUUGUAUUUUAUUUUUAAUCACUAGUAAAUUCAUCAUCAUCAUUUUUCAUAUGAAAUUCAUAGCAAAAUACUUAUCAAUUCAUCAAAACUCAUUUCAAUUCAUAUCUAUUAACAUAUAAUAUUACCCAUACACGUAUUAAUUCAACAAACCCAUAAAUUAUUAUAAACCCCAACAUUUUCAAUAACUAAUUAUAAAGAAAUAAAACUAAAAUUAGAUAAUGAAACAAAUAGAAAAAAUGAAGGAAAUAAAUUAGAUAAUGAAACAAAUAGAAAAAAUGAAGGAAAUUUUCCUUAAAUAUAAGAGGUUUGAAGAAAAAUUUUGUAGAAGAGAGAAAGACAUGGACAAUAAUGAAAAAAGAAAAAGAGUUUGGAUUAAUUAGUAGCUAAUAAAAAAAAUUAACCCUGUAAAGCUAUAAUAUUAAUAUUUUAAUAUAAAAAGAUACUUUAAAAAAAAAGAGAUUAAAGGGGCAAUUGCCCUCUCUUGAUCUAUUGUGGCCACUACACUACAAGAUUUAACAGUUUUACCAACGGAAUUUUUCCGUCGGCGUAAGACACAUAUUCCGUCGGUAAUUAAUUUUCCGACGGAAUCACAGACGGAAAUGCUCCGUCGGUGAAUCUUUCGUCGGUAAUUAUUUUUUCGUCGGUAAAUCUGUUGGUAAUAAAAAAAUAAAUUUAUCCGCUUCAUUUCGUCGGUAUAUCCCUCGGUAAUAAUAUUUUUUUAUUACCAACGGAUUUACCGAUGGAAUUGCCGUCGGUAAUUCCAUCGGUAAUUAUUUAAAAACAUUUAAAAAAAUUCAUUUUAUAAAAUUAUAAAAUAAUUAAAUUAGCAUAAAUUAACACUGUAUAAUAUAUACUCAAAAUGCUUGGAAAAAGAAUAAGAAAAUCAACUCAAACAAAUUUGCAACAAAUAAAUAAAAUGAAAAAAUAAAUUCAACUAAAAAAUUCAUAUGAAAAAAAUAAAGAUGCAAUUGCUAAAAAUUUAAAAAUCCUAUAAAUAAAUUAACUAAAAAUUGAUCUCAUAUGAAGAAAAAAUCUCACAACAACAUUUAUACAAUUAUUAAGAACAAAAACAAUUAAAAAUAAAAUAAAAAACAAAUAUAGUGAAAAAAAUCAUGAAAAAAGAAGAAAAAAAAUCUUACCUUAAUGUAGUUGCAAGUGAAGCUAAGGAGAGAAAAAAAUAUUUCGUUAAGCAUAUUAAUUAAAAAAAAACUAAGAGGAUAAAAGAAGAAAGAAGAAGAAGACAUACCCAAGCAUGAAGGAAAAGAGAAGGAGAUGAGGAGAGAAAAGAAGAGAAAGAAAUAUAUAUUGAUGUUUUUUACAUAUAGCGAAGAAGAAGAAGAAGAAGAAGAAGAAGAAGUAGAAGAACAAGAAGAAGAAAUGAGUCUGUCUCUUGUGAAAUAAGGGGAUUCAUGCUUUUUAUUGGGGCGCGUUACCGACGGAUUUACCGACGGAUAAUUGAAUAUUAAUAUUUUUUAAUUAUUCCGUUGGUAAUUCCAUCGGUAAUAUUUAAUUUAAAUUUUCAAUUUCAUAAAAAUUUUUCAGAAACCGCCAACAAUUACCGACGGUUUUUCAAUCCGUCGGUGAUUCCGUCUGUAAUAUUUAAAUGAAAAUUUUAAAUUAAUUGAAUUUUUUCAGAAAACCGCCAAAUAACACUCUCUGGAAAAUACCGACGGAAAAUUCCGUCAGUGAUUCCCUUUGUAAUUGAGAUGAUGAACAGUGUUCACAGUUUACCGACGGAAUUACCAAGGGAAUUUACCGACGGAAAAUUCCGUCGGUAUUUCCGUCGGUAAUUCCGUUGGUAAAAAUGACACGUCAUCUUUUUUUUUUUGCUUUGUUUUAAAUUUUUUUCCCACGGUAAUUCCGUCGGUAUAUACCGAGGGAAUAUUUCCGUCGGUAAAAUCCCUCGGAAAUUUACCGAUGAAAAUAUUCCCUCGGUAUUUCUGUUUGUAUUUAUCAAUUUUCUGGUAGUGGGCUCCGUCACUGCUUUCUCGAUACCAUACAUUUUAUUGGUACUGGGAUUGCAACAUUUCCAUGCUUUUCGUUGCUCAUUUUAAACCCAAGAAUAUGCAAUGAAUCACUUUCUUAUCUAAUUUUCUUCGAAGAAUAUCGGGCAUGAACACAUAUCAUACAUAUCCAAACACUCUAAAGUAACACAUCUUUGCCCUUAUGCUCGUAACUUUUCACAUGAUGUGGUGAAUCUAAGAUUUGCUUAGGUAAGCCUAUUGAUAACAUGUGUAGCUGCCUUCAUGCACUCACCUUAGAAUCUCCUUGGAACAUUCUUGACAUGUAGCAUACGUCUACAAGUUUUCGCUAAGUGCCUAUUCUUUCUCCCCGCUACUCUAUUUUGAUGGGGCCCUGCUGGACAAGUAAGUUGUCGACAAAUACUGCAUACUCUUAGAUAGUUAUUGAGUUCUUCACAAGUGUCACGUUAUCUGUACUAAGUAUUAUAGAAUGUGUUAGAAUAGGAAAUAUUGUAUUAUUAAUGUAUUGACUUAUCGUAUAUAGCAUACUAUACUGUAAUAGAUGUACUGUUUUAAUUAUAUAAAUAGCAGAGGUGGUUAUCUCAUUAGCUCAAGCCUCUCAAUUAUCACAAACUUUGUUGCAACUUGAUAUCAGAGCCAAUUUAUCUUCACAUAUUUAUUCUUCAAACAGCAGCCCCUCUACUACUUCUCUGCAACAAAAUCAUCUCCUCUGUUUGUUGUCUAUUUCUACUCCUCCAUCAGCUAAUUAUUCUUCAAACGACAGCCCCUCUAAUUAUUUUUUAUUACUACUGCUUCAAACAAAAUCCAUUAGCAACGAUAUUGCUUCUCUGCAACGCUGACUUUCUGCCUCAUGAUCAGCGUGUUAAUUACUUGCUUCAUUGUGCUAUUGUUUUUUCUGUUAAUUACUGCAUUGUUGUUACGAUGUCGCGGUCACACAAAUUAAUUACCCUAACUUAAAAUACAACACACAAGAUAAUAUAGAGCAAAUAAGGGGUCGAUCCCACGAGGAAAGUUCGAGUCAGAUUUUUAUGCUGUAUGAUAUGCAACUGGGGGGUUGUGAAGUUAUCUAGGUUAAAGCAAAAGAAAACAAAAAAAUACCAAGCAAAAUUAAAUAAAAUCAGAAAAUAAUCAAUAGAACAAACCUUGGUCACAAGUAAACGUCCACCUACAGAAAUCAGAACUGAUCAUGGAAACAAAACAUCAAUUUAUAUUCCGAAUAUUUAUCUCUUCUUAACAUUGGUUAGUUAAUGGAUCCGCUAUAUAACUAACCCUAGUCAUCAAACAACCACAGUGUCCGCACUAGUAAUUUAAUUAAAUGGCAGCCUUAAGAACUAGAUAAGUUAAUUAAUCAAGAAAAAAUAACUAUCUGCAGUCUAUGUUUGAUUUGAUUGAAUAUUCUCCUUAAGAUUAAUAACAUAGAUCCAUCACAAUUAUUAAACUCAGUUGCUUCACAAGUUCAUAUACCACAACUCCGGUUUUGAUAUCAAACUUAGCAAUAAAUUGUCUACAAUAAUAACUUAGAGUCCGCUCUAGCAAUUAAAAUAAACAAUCAUAGAAAAAAUAAGCGUAGGAGAACAAACAUAUUCAUCAUAUAAACUGGAAAGAAAAGGUAAAAUAAAUCUCACAGUUCUUGAAAUCCGAAGGUUUUUGUGUUCUUGCAACCAAGAAAAAGAGUUUAGCCUUGCAUGUUUGUUGAAAAACUAAUCAAAAAGAAGGAGGAAUGCAUGAUUUCGGGUUUCUUAGAGGAAAGGGGUGUUUUUCUCUUCUUUCCAGCCUGCCUCUCUUCUCUUCUCUCAUUCUUUUUAUAUCCUAAGAAACCUAGUCUCUAUUUUACAAAAUAGUCCUCCCUUAAGUAGAUAGUUUACAUUUAAGUACUUCAAUAACUAUUUUCCUAAAAAAAAGAAAUAUCCUUGCAUGAAAUCUUCAAUCUUUGACUUAGAGGAGCUAAAUUGGUGAAACAAAAACUUGAAUGUCGGUUUAAAUGCCCCUUAACGUAAUUUGGACUCGUUUCUUCACGAAACUUGUUUGCUGGCAGAAUUAAGUUGUGAUCUUUGAAAAAUCAUAUCUCCCUCAUAUGACAUUGUUUUUUGAUGAAAGUUGGAGUGUUGAUAUUUAUUUGAGUCCAGAAUCCAAAAACAUUGAGUUUGCAUCAAUUGGAUUUUUGUAACUCAAGAUAUUCAAGUUGGAAUGGCUGAAGGUCAAUACCAGCAGAUUGCAAGAUUUGACUUUGAAGGUUGCAAUUUCCAUAUUCUUCCUUAUUUUAUUUUCUUGGCUUAGAUUUCCAGAAAGGUAUGGAUGUUAGCUUUUUAUUCCACUGGAAUCACUUCAUUUUGACCUCUAGAACUCACACUCUGCACAAAACAUCUAUUGAAGGUCAAAUCUGCCAAUUACCUUUAAUUUACUCAUUUUUACAUCUUUCAUCCAAAAGUGCCUUCAAAACAUAAAACAAAAAAUAUUAAGGCAUUUUAUAUAAAACAAAACAUAAGCAAAACACUAUGUAAAUGUGUGUUGUUAUCCAUUUUUGGGUUCCCGCACAAAAAAUAAAAAAAAUACAUAUUAGAAAAUAUAUUCGGAAGGAAUCCAAAAAAAUAAUAUGAGUGAGAAAAGGAUGUUGGAACACCCAUAAAAUGUCUAGAAAUUGGUUGAGGAGGUUCAAAAAUACAAGAAUUGAAAUUUGACAAUAUAUUUUCAAGUGGUGAGAGCCUUGUUUACAAGGAAAAUUUAAUUUUUGAGGAAGAAAAGUCCAAAAUCAGAUGUUUAUGGACUUAAUUAAAUUUUAUCUAAGGUUUAAUUGAAUUUAUGGAGGGUUUGGUUACAAGAAAUAUUGAUUUUUAAGUCAAUUUAAGCUUUUAUUGGAAGAAAUUAAAGUUCUGAGAGCCAAUUAUAAUUUUAAAGAGUUGAUUUGGUCAAAUUAGGGGCUUAAUUGCAUAAUUAUUGAAGUUUGAUGGCCAAUUAGGGACUUAAUUGAAACAAUCCAAAACCAAUUACCAAACUGGAAAAGGCGCUCAAAUCAAGGGAUCCAAUUACAAUUUUUCUGGGGUCUUGAUUAUAAACUUGCAAAAACAUCCAAGGACCAAAUCAGAAAUAUCAUUUAAAGUUGCAAAACGGUGUCGUUUCACUGAACACUGCUCACUGUCGUUACGUGCAGCUGGCCGAGAGACGUUGCAGCAGCGAAGGCGUUGAUUUGCUUCAAUCAAUGGGGCAUGUUUCAUGGCUGAUAUCUCUCGCCACCAUGAUGCACGCCGGCCGUUACUCUGUCCCUGCAACAACAAAUGAAAACGCCUGCAUCCUCUGGCUAUAAAAGCUAGAGGAUGUACUGAACAGAAGGAGAAAAAAAAAGGAACGAGACAGAGGAAAGAAAAAACAGAGGGAGAGGGGAACGUAAAGAAGAGAAAACAGAGGGAGGAAGAGCGUAAGAAACUAAAAAAAAGCAGUAAGAGAAGAAAGCAGAGAGAGGAGAAUAGAGGAGAGCAAACAGGAAAAGAAAGAAAAAGAGAAAGAGAGAGAGAGAGGAGAGUGAACGAAAAAAAAAACAGAGGAACACAUUAGCAACCUAAAGCAGAGAACGCAGAUAGCAAAAGAGGUCAGCACCAUCAUCGUCUUCAUCUCUCCAGCACCAGGUAUGUUCACUUCCCUCCUCAGUCCCUGUAAUAAAAAGCGUCAUAGUAACUCUGCGCCAACGUUUCUGGUUUUCAUCAAGCAUCACUUCUUCUUUCUUUUCACAUAAUUUCCAACCAUAAUUCCAUGAUAUAUCACAAGUAUAUGCUCUACUAAUCCUUGGCCAGGGUAAAAGAGAAAAACAUAUAAAAAGUUAAGGCUUAUACAUGGAUAAAGCAAAGAAAAGAUAAACAAGCUCAAAAGGGCUCACUAAGGAUAAUAUGUUUUAGGUUGGCUUUUUGGCUCAAGUGAUUGAAAUUCCUAAUGCCUUUGUCAUCUUCAUAUAUAUAUGUAAUGCGAAUGUAAUCUCAACAAGAUAUGAAGCAAGUUCUAGAGAUACAUAUCAUUGAAAGAAUGCACAAUCAAAGAAUAUAAUGUUGAAGGCUCAAAAGCUUGCAUUGGUAUAACAGUAUAAAGUCAACAUGACAUAUUUUCAAAGUCAAUCCUUAAACCAAUUACACAUUAAAACUUGCAUGCACACUCAUUCAUUAGAUUUAUAUCUUUAUCUAUCUCAAUUAAUUCUCAUGCAUAAUACUCAUAUUCUCAUAAACCAAUGGGAGUUCAAAAAAAUCAAACAUAGAAUUUUUUUUUUUUGAAAAAUAACAAAGAAAACCAAAAUUCCCUUAAUACCCCCACACUUUAAACACAACAUUGUCUUCAAUCUUGAAAUAAAAGAAAAGGAAUAUAGGAGAAUGACAAAAAUAAAGUAAAAUGUGAAAAAUAAAAGAUAAGGGAAAAAGAAAGCAAAUAUGAUUUUUUUUUCUUUUUGUGAUGGGUUGCCUCCCAGUAAGCGUUUUUGUUUUAUAUCAUUGGCUCAACAUGUGGCAUACUUAUUCUUCAUAGAUUGGUUUUGCUAAAUCCACAGAAGCGGUGAGUUCUGUCGUCCAACCUUCAAAGAAAGGUUUCAAGCGAUGCUCAUUGACCUUAAACACUUUGUUUGUUUCUAAACUUGUAAUUUCAAUUGCACCAUAAGGAAAAAUAUUAGAAACAACAAAGGGUCCAAUCCAACGAGAGCGCAACUUUCCAGGAAAAAGUUCCAAACACGAAUGAUAAAGAAGGACUUUGUCUCCAACAUUAAACUCUUUUCUUUGCAAAUCCUUGCAUUCUUAAGCAUCAUUUCAAAUCUCUUCUAACUCUUGUAAUAGCAACUUUCUUGCAAUCCCAGCAGCAUCAUAAUCCAUGUUACAUUUUUUAAUGGCCCAAAAAGCUUUGUGUUCAAGCUCCACCGGUAGAUGACAUGUUUUCCCGUAAAUCAUCCUAUAAGGUGACAUUCCUAUAGGUGAUUUGUAAGCAGUCCGAUAAGCCCAAAGUGCAUUACCAAGUCGUAGACUCCAAUCUCACCGGUUAGGUUGCACUAUCUUCUCCAAAAUGGAUUUGAUUUCUCAAUUUGAAAUUUCAGCUUGGCCAUUCAUUUGAGGAUGGUAUGUUGUGGAAGUUCAAUGAGUCACAUGUAUUUGUGUAACAAUGUUUCCAUUUAACGAUUGCAAAAAUGAGUGCCAUGAUCACUAAUGAUAGCUUUAGGGAUUCCAAACCUAUCAAAUAUGUGAGUCCUGACAAAAUCUAAAACAACCUUAGCAUUGUUAGUUCAUGUGGCUUUCGCCUCAAGAAGGAUAUAAAGAUUGCCUAAAGAAGAAGGAAAUGGACCCAUAAAAUCAAUACCUCAAACAUAAAAAAUUUCACUUACAAGAAUAUUCGUUAAAGGCAUUUGAUUCUUAUGAGUGAUAUUACCUGUUCUUCGGCAUUUUUCACAUGAUUUUCAAAAAUAAUAUGCAUCCUUAAAAAUAGAAGGCCAAUAAAAACCACUUUCAAGUACCUUAUGGAUCGUUUUUUUUUCUCCAAAAUGCCCACCACAAGAAUGAGAAUGACAAAAAGUGAGAAUGGAAUGAAAUUCAUCCUGUGGUACACAUCUCCUAACUAUUUGAUCCACACAAAAUUUUCACAAAUAGGGGGUAUCCCAAAAAUAAUAUUUAGCAUCAGCUAGUAACUUGUUUUUUUAGGAUGUAGACAAACCUGAAGGGAAUUCUUUGGUGACUAAAUAGUUCACCAAAUUAGCAUACCAUGGUCUUGUAGAGGAAUAUAACACAUACAACUGCUCAUCGGGGAAUGUCUCUCUUAUUGUUUUGGUUUGUAUAUCCUCGGUCCUUAGUCGACUCAAGUGAUCAGCCUCUUGGUUUUCAACACCUUUUUUUUCUUUGAUCUCAAGAUCAAUUUCUUGUAAAAGCAAGAUCCACUUAAUCAAUCUUGGUUUGGACUCCUUUUUCUUCAAAAGAUACCUCAAAGCUACAUAGUCAGUAAAAACGACUUUUAUACCAAGUAAAUAUGACAUGAAUUUUUCUAGAGCAAAUAUCAUUGCAAAAAGUUCCUUUUCAGUUGUAUGGUAAUUGCAUUGCGCUCCGUCCAACAUGUGGGAAGCAUAGGCUAAACAUGCAAAUUCUUACCAAUUCUUUGCCCAAUUACAACCCCUAUCGCAGAGUCAAUCGCAUCACACAUUAUCUUGAAAGGCUCAUCCUAGUUUGGUGGUUGCAUGAUAGGGGUAGAUGUGACAUGCCUCUUGAGCUCAUCAUGGACAUCUUUACAUGCUUGAUAAAACACAAAAUCCACUUCUUUCACUAAUAGUUUGCACAAGGGUGUUGUGAUCUUCAAGAAAUCUUUGAUAAAGCGUCGAUAGAAACCUGUAUGGCUCAGAAAAGAACGAACUUCCCUCACGCAUGAGGGGUAAGGAAAUAAUGAAAUAAUGUCUAUUUUAGCUUUAUCAACCUCUAAUCUACAUGAAGACACAACAUGUCCAAGAACUAUUCCUUGUUCUACCAUAAAAUAACACUUUUCAAAAUUCAAGACAAGGUUAGUUUCAAUGCACCUUUUCAAAAUUAAAGAUAAAUUUUCUAGACAUUUAUCAAAAGUGUCGCACCCGACAUCGCGGCGGCCUUAAAAAUUAUUAAAUCUUUGGAAAGAACGGAUUUCUGGCAUCCUGUUCUUUAAUGCGGAAUGGUCUUGUUUAAGGAGUCGCCACCUAGUAUUAUGGUCACUAGGAACCCUAACUGGUCAACAGAGAUUCUAUGGUUCGGGACUGCUACGUAAAAGGAAAGAUAUUAUCACUCCUUAAAUGUUCUGCCUGAGGCAGGCUGCAUUGCUAGUUUUGUCUUAAAUUGCUAAAUAUUUAUUGGUUUAUGCUCUGAUGGUUUACUUGCAAUAUUCCUGACUCUGGCGCCAGUGAAUAUUUAACUACGAAUAUUUCCAACUCUGGCGUUGGUAAAUAUUACGUAGGUACCAAAAUAAAUAAAUUUAAAUCAUCAUUUUCCUUUUUUAUUCCUGACUCUGGCGUCAAUAAAUAAACAAAUAAAAAUCAAUUUAUUUUUAUACAUACGCAUUUUUAUUUUUAUGUAGCUAAAUAAAAGCAAAAUACAAAUAAAAAAUUAAAUAUAGUUGACAAUGGGGUUAAGACAAAAAGAAUCACCAUACACUGUGAAAUCAUCCAUGAAAACUUCAAUUAUUCUUUAAACAUAGUCAGAAAAAAUACUCAUCAUGCAUCUUUGAAAAGUUGCAGGUGCAUUACAGAGACCAAAUGACAUUCUCCUAUAUGCAUAUGUACCAAAUGGACAUGUAAAUGUAGUCUUUUCUUGAUGUUCAGGAUUAAUAACAAUCUGAUUAUAUCCAUUAUAUCUAUCAAGAAAGCAAUAAAAAGACUUACCUGUCAGGCGUUCAAGCAUUUGGUCCAUGAAUGGUAAUGAGAAAUGAUCUUUGCGUGUAGAGAGAUUAAGCUUUCUAUAAUCAACACACAUUCUCCAUCCACUCAAGAUGCGAGUAGUAAUGAGUUCCUCAUUUUUGUUCUUUAACAACGUGAUCCUGAUCUUUUUGAGCACCACAUGGAUAGGCACCACCCAUUUACUGUCCAUGAUGGGGUAAAUGACUCCUGCAUCUAAUAGUUUCAAAAUCUCAGCUUUCACUACCUCCAUCAUAGGCGGAUUCAACCUCCUUUGCAUUUCCCUCAUUGGUUUUGCAUUGUCCUCCAAUAAUAUGUGAUGCAUACACAUGGAGGGACUAAUGCCUUUGAUGUCGGCUAAAGUCCAUCCAAUUGCCGUCUUGUGAUCACACAACAACUUCAUAAUUUUUUCCUCUUGCGCCCUUGUCAAAUCUUUUGCUAUGAUAACGGGAAGUGUGUUGUUGUCGCCAAUGAAUACAUACUUCAAAUUAUCGGGCAAAGGUUUUAAUUCUAACUCAGGGGCCUGUAAAAUAGAUGGCAAAAGCUUUUUAUGUGAAAGUACUAAAUCAACAAAGACAUUACCAUAAGGAAUGGUUUGCAAAGCUUGCAAAGCCAAUGCUGAUUCGUGCAUGUUUUGGGGAACACAUGUGCCUCUCUAUCUCUUUUAUCUUGGUAAAAUCAUAGCCAUAACUCAAAGUCAUGCUUAAUUCGUUCUCACGGUCAUAAUAAAAAACUUGUCGCACACACUUAUCAACUUGGUCAUAGCAUGUGAUAGAAUAAACAUUGUUGUAUGGAUAUUUCAUUGCAUCAUGAAAAUUAAAUUCAAUUUCUUCAUCUCCUACCUCCAUAGACAAAGUAUCCUAACCACAAUCAAUCUUUGUAUUGGCAGUUUUCAAGAAUGGUCUCCCAAACAAUAUAAGAGUGUUGUUUGAUGAAUCACAAGAGUCCUGUUCCAUAUCAAGAAUAUAAAAGUCGCAUGGAGUAACCAAACUAUCAAUCUUGACUAGAACAUCUUCUAUCACACUAAGUGGAUAAACAAAACUAUGAUCCGCAAGUUGUAUUACAAUACUAGAUUUAUUUGAGCUCCAAACUAAGAGAAUCAUAAACAUGUUUAGGCAUAACACUAAUGGAUGCACCUAAAUCGCAUAAAGCCCUUUUAAAACUAGCAUUACCAAUAACACAUGGGAUAGUAAAUACACUUAGGUCUUUUUGCUUCAAAGGCAUAUUCUUUUGAAGAACAGCAGAUACAACUUCACCCAUACUUACUAUUUCAUGACCUUUCAGUUUGAAAGCUCUCUUGGUAGUACACAACUCCUUCAAAAAUUUGGCAUACUUGGGAAUUUGCUUGAUAGCAUCAAGUAAAGGAAUGUUGAGUUCUACUUUCUUGAAAACCUCUAAAUUAUCUUUUUCUUUGUCCUCUUUCUUUGACCUAGAAGAACUCACAGAAAAGGAUGGAAUUGUUUUAAAACUAGAAUUCAUUGACUGACGAGUUACCUUUGGAGUGUUGGUCGUUGUUUCAUUUUGUGGAGGAGAAGGGUGUUUCUUCUUUGUACUCAAUUUGGUUUCUAUCUCUUCUUCUUCCUCCAUCUCAAUUUGUUUCAACCUUUGCCUUUCAAGUUCUUUCCCACUUCACAGCAUGAUUGCACUAACAUUCUCUUUUGAAUUCAAUGCUUGGGAAGGCAAUUUUCCAUUCAUUUGUGCUUCCAAUUUCCCCACACUUGAAGCUAUUUGCUCCAUUUGCUUCUCCAAAUUAUGAAUACUUAACCUUGUUCUUGUUGAAAAGACAUGACGUUUUAUUGCAAGGUCAUUGUAUUAAAAGCUAAUGUCUUCGUCAUCUCAUAAAGAUCAUCAUUGGAUGACGAACCCAUAACAUUAGAGUUUGUGAAUGGAGGGGGCGGUCUCACUUGAUAAUUCUGCUAAGGCUAAAAUCCAUGGGGAUGGAAUUGUCGGCCUUGAUUGCCUUGUUGAGGCAGGUUCCCAUAGCGUAAGUUUGGAUGAUCUCUCCAUCUGGGAUUGUACAUGUUGGAAAAGGGAUCAUAGUUACGCUAGGGUUAGCCGUUGAAUCCUCCAUCAACUGCAUGAACUUGUUCAAUAUAAUCUUCUUGUAUUGUUGGGCAUAUAUCUGUGCUAUGUCCUUGUAAGGAACAUAUGCUACAAACUUUCACUUGUUGUACAUUUCCAUAAGCCAAAGAGCGCAUAAGAGAAGUAAGAUCAUUAACUUUAUUUUCAAUGUUAGAAAUACUUACCUCAUUUACUCGUUUGUUUGAGAUGUCUCCACGGGUGCCAAACUGUUUUGAGUUGGCUAUCAUGUUUAAGAUCAAUUGGCGUGCACCCUCUGGUGUCUUGUCUACCAAUGCCCCUCCAUAUGCAGCAUCAAUGAUACUACGAUCAGUAGGCAUCAAUCCUUCAUAGAAAUAUUGAAUGAGCAGCUGACCGGGUAUUUAAUGAUGAGGGCAUUGGAUGCACAGUUGCUCAAAUCUUUCCUAAUAUUCGGAGAGUGUCUCGCCAUAAGAUUGCCGAAUCCCACAUAUUUCUUUCCUUGUGUUGGCAACUUGAGAUGCUAGGAAAUUACUUCUCAAGGAAGAUCUUCUUCAUGGCAUUCCACGUUCCAAUGGAACCUGGGAGAAUAGAGAAAAGCCAUGCCUUUGCUGCCCCUUUUAAAGAGAAAGAGAAAGCUUUCAACUUAACUUGUUCUUCAUCAACUCCAUUCAGUUUCAUGCCAACGCAAACCAUAUGAAACUCCUUAAGAUGAGUAUGGUUGAUUUUCCAUGUUAGGAGCAGCAAGCUCUAUGAGUGUUUGUUAUCAUGCAAUAGCCUUAGUGUUGACGCGAGCUUCGUUUCAUAACCUGAGUAAAGUGUUUUCUAUUUUGAGAUCCACAUGUACUUGACUCUGGUUAAUAGAACGGGUUACAGGCAUAAAUCAUCAAGAAAACUCAAAAGAAACUAACCACACAAGAGAUCGAAAACAAUGCAAAUUGUACGAAAAUCCUAUCCUCUCUCCCGUUCUCUCUUUUUCUCUUAUUUUUCUGCUCCCUUUUUUUGCUAUUUUUUUGCUCUCUUUUUGCCGCCCCUUGCUAGGUCAUUAAAGGGGUUUAUAUAUAGUCUAGAAUAUCUCUAUUUAGGAAAGAUUUAAUGCAUUAAUUCUAGGACGUAAAUCCCUACUGAUUUGCAGUAAAAAAACGCAAAAGGAAGCUGCAAUAUUCUGAUUUUGUGCUGGUGCUUUACGUCUGAUUUCUUUCCAAUUUUAGAGGAGGGUGUGGCUAUUUUCUUUCCUUCCUUUCAUAGGGCCAGCUGCUCCCUUUCAAAUGAGGCAAGAAAAAACGUGGUUGCAGCUCCAAAAUUCAGGCAUGAUGAUAAAGGAAAAACAGCAGGAAUUUGCAGCGAAAAAAAGGAAAGAAAUCAGAUGGAGGGUGCAGCUGCAAAGUCUCAUUUUCCUUAUUCGGUGUGGAAAAAAUCCUGUCAUUUAUGAUGAUACAGCCCCCUCUCCAGCUUUCAAUAUCCUUCUUCAAUUCAAUCCCUCAUUUUAACAAUUUUUGAUUCAGUCCUGGGUCCAAAAAAAAUCCUUCGAAUCAGCCCCGCGAAUUGGGCUAUAUCCUUCCCGCGGCAGAAUUUUCUAUCCUCACGUUAGAUAUUCAAAAUGGGAAUAUCUUGAGCUUCUGAUAUCGAAAUCAAGUGAUUCAAAAGCCCAAAUUCAUCUACAUGUCUAGGACUAAAACUUUAAUGAAGAAGUCGAAGUGAGAUAAAAUCUUUUUACAGAACAGAAACUGGCAGUAAUCUAGUUGGUCAAAAGGAAUCUCCGGGUCUAACUCAAAAACUGAGGAAUGUCGAGAAUCCUGAUAUGACUGAGAGUAUGAACUAAGAACGAAAAUCACAAAAACUAGGCCAAAAAUAGAGUUUCUUUAGUGUAGACUCGGGUCAAUAUCCUUCUCGCGGCAGAAUUCUCUGCCUUCACGUUAGAUAUUCAAACGGGAACAUCUUAGGCCUCUGAUAUCAAAAUCAAGUGAUUCAAAAGCCCAAAUUCAUCUACGCGUCUAGGACUACAACUUUGAUGAAGGAGUUGAAGUGAGAUAAAAUCUUUUUACAGAACAGAAACUGGCAGUAAUCUAGUUGGUCAAAAGGGAUCUCUGGGUCUAACUCAAAAACUGACGAAUGCCGAGAAUCCUGAUAUGACUGAGAGUAUGAACUAAGAACAAACAUCACAAAACUAGGCCAAAAAUAGAGUUUUUUUAGUGCAGACUCGGGUCAAUAUCCUUCUCGCGGCAGAAUUCUCUACCUUCACGUUAGAUAUUCAAAUGGGAACAUCUUGAGCCUCUAAUAUUGAAAUCAAGUGAUUCAAAAGCUCAAAUUCAUCUACGCGUCUAGGACUACAACUUUGAUGAAGGAGUCGAAGUGAGAUAAAAUCUUUUUACAUAACAGAAACUGGUAGUAAUCUAGUUGGUCAAAAAGGUUCUUGAUCUGACAAUACUGAGCAUCCAAAUCUAAAUGAGAAUCUGCUCUAAGAACAAUGAUCCCUAGGACCUAAUAAAGGUGUACGUCAAUUUUUCAAUAUGUAAUGAGUGACAGGAUAUACCUAGGAUGGUCAGAUAUCGUAUGAAACUGAGUCAGAAUCAGAGCCUAAGUUGGAACCAAAAAAAAUUGCGACAGCAGCAGAACUAUUUUUUUAGUGCAAAUUCUGAGGGAUUUAUUCAACUUUAAAGACCAGAUAAAAAAUAAUGAAUUUAGCAUUAUGAAGACUCCUGAUCAAACUAAGAAAACCUGAUGAUUUUGGUAGUAAAGGGGAAGGAUAAAAAGAGCAGAAAACAACUCAAACAAGGUUUCAAAAUAUUUCUUUAUGUGCCUUUGUCAAUCUUUUGGUGAAUAUGAGCUAAUCUCCUACACUCUGUUCAAAAGAGGUAUACACUGUCUUCAGCACGUGGGGUCCAAAAUUGAGUAACAACAGUUGCCCCCUCUUUACAAUGCUUACGAAGCAAAACUUGUCAAGCGCUUCGCGUAGUAAGUGUUGUAAAGAUAAACCAUUUGAUCCUGCUAAAUCUCACUGCUUUUCCUAAACAAUGGUCUCCCUAUCAGAUGACCUGCUUAUUUAAGAUUUCUAGAAAAACUUCAAUUUUUUUUGAAAUGGUCUGAUUAUCGGGUGACCUGCCCAUCUUAAGAUUCUUUGAAAACUCCACGCUUUUCUAAGAAACGGUCUCAAUAUCAGGUGACAGGCCCAUCUUAAAAUUCUUAGAAAACUCCACGCUUUUCUAAGAAACGGUUUCAAUAUCAGGUAACCGGCCCCUCUUAAAAUUCUUUAGAAAACUCCACGCUUUUCUAAGGAAUGGUCUCAAUAUCGGGUGACCUCUUAGAAAACUCCACGCUUUUCUAAGGAAUGGUCUCAAUAUCGGGUGACCUGCCCAUCUUAAGAUUCUUAGAAAACUCCACGCUUUUCUAAGAAACGGUCUCAGUAUCAGGUGACCGACCCAUCUUAAAAUUCUUAGAAAACUCCACGCUUUUCUAAGAAACAGUUUCAAUAUCAGGUAACCGACCCCUCUGAAAAUUCUUUAGAAAACUCCACGCUUUUCUAAGAAAUGGUCUCAAUAUCGGGUGACCUGCCCAUCUUAAGAUUCUUAGAAAACUCCACGCUUUUCUAAGAAAAGGUCUCAAUAUCAGGUGACUGGCCCAUCUUAAAAUUCUUAGAAAACUCCACGCUUUUCUAAGAAACAGUUUCAAUAUCAGGUAACCGGCCCCUCUUAAAAUUCUUUAGAAAACUCCACGCUUUUCUAAGGAAUGGUCUCAAUAUCGGGUGACCUGCCCAUCGUAAGAUUCUUAGAAAACUCCACGCUUUUCUAAGAAAUGGUCUCAAUAUCAGGUGCCCGGCCCAUCUUAAAAUUCUUAGAAAACUCCACGUUUUUCUAAGAAACAGUUUCAAUAUCAGGUAACCGGCCCCUCUUAAAAUUCUUUAGAAAUCUCCAUGCUUUUCUAAGGAAUGGUCUCAAUAUCGGGUGACCUGCCCAUCUUAAGAUUCUUAGAAAACUCCACGCUUUUCUAAGAAACGGUCCAAUAUCAGGUGACCGGCCCAUCUUAAGAUUCUUAGAAAACUCCACGCUUUUCUAAGAAACGGUCCAAUAUCAGGUGACCGGCCCAUCUUAAAAUUCUUAGAAAACUCCACGCUUUUCUAAGAAACGGUUUCAAUAUCAGGUAACCGGCCGCUCUUAAAAUUCUUUAGAAAAAUCCACGCUUUUCUAAGGAAUGGUCUCAAUAUCGGGUGACCUGCCCAUCUUAAGAUUCUUAGAAAACUCCACGCUUUUCUAAGAAACGGUCCAAUAUCAGGUGACUGGCCCAUCUAAAAAUUCUUAGAAAACUCCACGCUUUUCUAAGAAACGGUUUCAAUAUCAGGUAACCGGCCUCUCUUAAAAUUCUUUAGAAAACUCCACGCUUUUCUAAGGAAUGGUCUCAAUAUCGGGUGACCUGCCCGUUUUAAGAUUUUUAGCAAAUACUCCAUGCUUUUUUUCAAAAAAAAAAAAAGAUCUCAAUAUUGGGUGACCUGCCCGUUUUGAACUUCAAAAGAAAUCAUCUUACCUCGUGGAAUGAAGCAAUGCUGGUUCACAAUUCCUAUCAUUUUCCAUAGUUUCGUUGACCUGAGAUUUUGUACCUCAGCAGUUCCCAAAAAACUUGGAAAUUUAUUUUGUCUUUCGUCACGCCUUUUCCUGCCAGGUUAGUGUUAUGACAAUAUAGCAUGCAUGUUUUUUUGUUACCUAUUUUGGAAACAUAGGUCCCCCUUUCUGUUGUAGACUUAUUGAGCUCUUGUUUCCACUUGUUUUGUCCGACUUGUCCUCUUAAAACAAAAUAUGCUCCACGCGCUAUACUUCCUAUCCUUUUGGUGAAGAGAUCUUUGGUUCCUUAUGGGGCCCUUUAUUGCUCCACUGAGUAUUGUCUUUUUAUUAUUAUUUUAAAAGGAAAACUCAAAAUAUUUGGUUGUUCAUGAAAACUGAAACUUCAAUGCAAUUGGCAAUUCUCAUAAGAGACGCUUUUUCUAGAAAUUUUUAUGAUGAUACCCCUUUUGGCUUUGGUUCACUAUGGACCCCUAUGUGCACUUCGUACACUUCUUGCCCCCAGUGUGGUGUGCAUAAAUACGCCAAGUUUAGAUUUGAUUUGGUUCCCUCCAAUUAAUGGAGUCAUUUCCUUAGUCAUGUGUAAGAAAAGAGUUUGUUUAAGUAAAAGAUUUCAAAUGCUAUGAGAUCAUGCUUUUUAUGAAAAAAGGUUUUUUUACAAAGGAAAUUCAUGGCCAAACUUUAUUUUAUUGAUUGGGAGAUUACAGAAUACAUCAAGCGUAAUAUUUCCUUACAGAGUCAGAAUUCACUGGCCUAACUAGAUCUUCUCCAUCCAUUCUAGAUAACAGCAAAGCUACUCCCGAGAACGCUUUCUUCACCAUGUAAGGGCCCUCAUAGUUCGGCGCCCAUUUACUCUGAUCUUCUCCUGGUAAAGGCAAUAUUUUCUUCAGUACGAGAUCUCCUUCAUGGAAUCCUCGAGGUCGAACCUUUUUGUCGUAUGAUUUGGCCAUCCUUCUUUGGUAAAGUUGAUGAUGACAGAUUGCAGCUAUCCUCUUUUCACUGAUCAGAUUCAGCUGUUCAUAUCUAACUUUUGCCCAUUCUACCUCUUCCAGCUCAGAAUUUACCAGUACUCUCAAUGAGGGGAUUUCCACUUCUAAAGGCAUAACCGCCUCCAUUCCAUAUACCAACGUGUACGGGGUGGCUCCUAUUGAGGUUCGGACUGCGGUGCGAUACGCAUGAAGGGAAAAUGGCAACAUCUCAUGCCAAUCCUUAUAGGUGACUACCAUCUUCUGAAUAAUCUUUUUGACAUUCUUGUUAGCAGCUUCUACCGCACCAUUCAUCUUUGGUCUAUACGGCGAAGAGUUGGAAUGCUUGAUUUUCCAUUUAGCGCAGAGUUCUAUUAUCAUCUUGCCAUUGAAAUUCUGGGCAUUAUCAGUUAUAAUCUUUUCUGGUGGACCAUAUCGACAAAUCAAAUCUCUCUCAAUAAAUUUCUUCACUACUUUUUGCGUCACAUGAGCAAAUGACCCGGCUUCUACCCAUUUUGUAAAGUAGUCGAUAGCCACGAGAAUAAACCUAUGACCAUUGCUGGCUUUUGGGUUUAUAGGUCCAAUCACAUCAAUUCCCCACUUCGCGAAGGGCCAUGGAGAUGUCAAGUUAAAUAGAGGAGUUAGAGGGGCAUUGAUUUUGUCACUGUAUACUUGGCACUUAUGACAUUUUCGGACAUAGUCGAUGCAAUCCUUUUCUAAUGUCAUCCAGAAGUAACCGGCUCUUUGUAUCUUCCUAGCCAUCACGUGUCCAUUAGCAUGGGUUGAGCAAAUCCCUUCAUGGACUUCUCGUAACGCGCUUUUUGCCUCAAAUUCAUCCAAACAUCUCAACAAAGUCCCGUCGAAUGAUUUCUUAUACAAAAUCUCCCCAUCAAGAUAAAAAUCCAUUGCCAACCUCCUCAAGGUCUUCUUGUCGAUUUUGGAUGCCCCCAUGGGAUAUGCCUGGUUUUGGAUGAAAUUCUUGACAUCAUAGUACCAAGGGUUUCCAUCCACUUCUCUUUCGACUGAGCAACAAUGAGCUGGGUUAUUUCUGAUAUUGAUGUGUACUGGUUGUACCCUGUGCCCGAAGUCUAUUUUGGCCAUAGAUGCUAGUGUAGCCAAAGCAUCUGCAAACUGGUUUCCUUCCCUUCCUAGAUGGGUGAACUCUAUUUCCUCAAAUUCUCCAGCCAGUUUAGAUAGGUAUUCUUGGUAAGGCCUUAACUUCUCUUCCUUGGUUUGCCAUUCUCCUUUUACUUGACAAAUGAUCAGCAUUGAGUCUCCAUACACAUCUAUCUUUCUGAUGUUUAGCUCCAAUGCAGCCUCAAAACCGAGAAUGCAAGCUUCAUACUCAGUCGUGUUGUUGGUACACCCGAACUGUAGCUUAACUGAAACCGGAUACUGCUUCUUAUCAGGAGAGAUUAUCACCGCACCCGCUCCGUUACCACAUACAUUUACAGCACCAUCAAAGUACAUAAUCCACCAAUCUGAUUUCUCUUCCUCGAUUGCAAGCACAUCUUCAUCAGGAAAUUCAAAGUCUAAUGAUUCAUAAUCUUCCAUAGCAUGGUCAGCCAGGUGAUCGGCAAUAAUACUCCCUUUUACAGCUUUCCUUGUCAUAUAUAUUAUGUCAUACUCAGCCAAUAGAACUUGCCAUCUUGCAAUUCGGCUCGAUAAAUAGGGCUUUUCACAAAUGUACCUCAACGGGUCUAAUUUGGAAAUUAACCACGUAGUGUGAUACAACAUAUACUGACGUAAUCUCUUUGCAGCCCAUGUCAGUGCGCAACACAACUUCUCAAUCACAGUAUACUUAGACUCACAUUCCGUGAACUUCUUGCUCAGGUAAUAAAUGGCCCUUUCCUUCCUUCCGGUUUCAUCGUGUUGCCCAAGCACACAUCCCAUUGCUGUUUCUGUUACUGUUAGGUACAAUAUCAAUGGCCUUUCUGGUACAGGAGGAACAAGCAGGGGUGGAUUUAACAAGUACUGCUUGAUUUUCUCAAAAGCCUCUUCGCACUCUUCAUUCCAAUUUCCAGGGUUCUUCUUCCUUAACAAACGAAAGAUCGGGUCACAAGUCGUGGUUAAUUGGGAUAUAAAUCGAGCAAUGUAAUUCAACCUUCCUAAGAAACCUCUCACAUCCUUCUCAGUCUUGGGAGGUGGCAUAAAUUGAAUAGCCUUUACUUUGUCGGGAUCCACUUCUAUCCCUUUAUCACUCACCACAAAUCCCAACAACUUCCCAGAUUUCACCCCGAACGAACACUGUGCCGGGUUAAGUCUCAACUUAUAUUUCCUUAAUCUUUCAAACAAUUUCUUCAAUAUUUGGACAUGAUUCUCUCCCUCUCUAGAUUUAGCAAUCAUGUCAUCCACGUAUACUUCAAUCUCUUUGUGCAUCAUGUCAUGAAACAAAGUCACCAUAGCCCUUUGGUAGGUGGCCCCAGCAUUCUUUAAACCAAAUGGCAUGACUUUGUAGCAAAAUGUUCCCCAUGGUGUUACAAAGGUUGUCUUCUCUUUAUCCUCUUGCGCCAUUUUUAUCUUAUUGUAGCCCGAAAAUCCAUCCAUAAAGGAAUAUGUGGAGCUACGUGCUGCAUUAUCAACUAACAUAUCUAUGUGUGGUAGAGGAAAAUUAUCUUUAGGGCUAGCCCGGUUUAAGUCCCUAAAGUCCACACAAACUCUGAUUUUACCUUCCUUUUUGGGUACCACCACUAUGUUUGACACCCAUUGUGGAUACUUGACUACUUCCAAAAAACCAGCGUUCCAUUGUUUUUCAAUUUCUGCUUUUACUUUGAUUAAGACCUCCGGAUGAGUUCUCCUCAACUUCUGCUUAAUCAGUUUGCAUCCUUCCACCAGUGGUAUCCUAUGUACUACGAUAUCCGUAUCCAAACCAGGUAUAUCCUCGUAGGACCAAGCAAAGACAUCUAUGUAAUCUCGAAGCAGUGCAAUCAAUUCUUCCUUCUCUUCAGGGGUGAUCAAAGUCCCUAUUUUCAGCUCUCUCUUGAUUUCUUCAUUACCCACAUUUAUGGUUUCAAGUUCCUCUUUAGCGGGCCUCCAAGCCUGUUCAUGCUGUUCUAUUAAUUUUGUGAAUUCACUUAUGUUUUUCUCCUCCCAUUCCUCAUCUUCUACAGCUACUAUGUAUUCUUUAAAGUUUGGCCAUUCAUUCUCAAUGUAAAGUGCAGGUGUUGUUGUGGAGGAUCCACUUUCAGGGUUCCUGAAAGCGGGAAGUGAUGUGUAAAUGCACAGUAAGACAUCAAGAUGAAUUUUGAAAAUGCAUGAUCUCAUUAAAAGGAAAAGAUUGGCUCAAAAACAAAAAUAAAAUCCAAUUGACAUCUUGAGCUUCGAUUGUCAAUGAAAAAAAAAAUAGAAAGAAAAAAAAAGGCAAACAACAUAGAUAAAAUUAUAAUCUAAUAAUCAUUGUUGAUUACAUUUUGAGAACCAAUGGAGCUUCUUGGGUCUCCCAAUUCUGGAACUUCUCUCCUUCGGCUAGCUUUCGAAUGAAAGUCUUGGCGGUAAAUUCUUCCAGAGUGUAGAUGGUUAAUUGCGGUAGCUCUUCAUCCCUUCUUCCGGAUUCAAUCUUCUUAGCAAUGUCCUCGACUUGAUCUCCCUCCAAAGUGUUUAUGUUCAUUGAAAAAAACUUCUGAAGAAGGUUUCCAUGUCCCUUAUCAGGUUGCAUCUCAUAUGCGGCCUUUGGAAAAGAAAUCCUGAUUGGAGGGAUAGCUAAGCUUUCUUCUUCAGGCUUCCUUCCUUCAAUCCUAGCCAUUCUUUUCUCCCUUCUUGCACCAGCAGCUCGCUUGUAAUCCUCUUUCUUGGGCUUAUAAUCAAGCCCAAACCUCUGUUCUGUAGCUUUCAGCUUGAUUAUAUCAAUCCAUUCAAGUCUUCCUUUCUUGAUGUCAUAUGGGCAAGGAAUCUUGUGUUUCAAAAAGCUUUUAGCGGCUAUUUUGGUGGCCUCCGAGAUUUCUGGUUUCCUCACCACAGUGUUCUCGGGCACCCACUCGAUAUUCACAACUUCAAAUGCAUGAAGGUUUCCAUCCUUACAAUCUUCGGCUUCGAUGAAUGGAACCGCCACAUUUCUUACCAUUGAUAUAGUCUCCUCAGCCUUAACAGUAACCAGAACACCAUUGGCAAUGUACUUCAAACAUUGAUGCAGUGAGGAGGUGACAGCUCCCGCAGAAUGUAUCCAUGGCCUUCCUAACAACAUACUAUAGGAAGGGUGGAUAUCCAUCACUUGAAGGGUUACUAGAAAGACUUGUGGACCCACAGCUAGUUCGACCUCAAUUGUCCCUAUCACUUGCCUUGGCGAGCCAUCGUACGCUCUAGCCGUCAUCACACUGGGUUGCAUAUGUGAGGGAUCUACUGGCAUUUCAUCCAGCAUAUGCCUUGGUAACACAUUAAGGGCUGAGCCGUUAUCAAUGAGAACUUUACCAAUGAGACAAUCUUUGCAUCGAACCGUGACAUAUAAGGGCUUGUUAUGUCCCGUUCCUUCAGCGUCAAGUUCAUCUUCCGUGAAAUAUAAGUAAUUAGCAGCAUGGAUCCUCCCUACUAGAUGCUCCAUAGUUUUUUGUUCAAUAUCUUGGGGUACGUAGGCCUCAUUCAGUACUUUUUGCAAAGCAUUACGAUGCGGCUCGGAGCUAAGUAUUAAUGACAUGAUGGAGAUCUUGGCAGGGGUCUUCUUCAACUGAUCCACUAUACAAUACUCACUAUGCUUCAUCAAUUUCAGGAACUCAUUUGUUUCUUCCUCAGUCACAGGUUUAUUUACCUCGAGCUCUUUAUCGAGGUCCAAUACCUCCUUGCCUUUAGCCUUUCUUUGCUUCUCUAGUUCUUCAGGUGUGAAACAACGACCACUCCGAGUUAGCCCACUUAUCUCAUUUUGGAACAAUGACAAAGGAGUUUCGACAUUCGAGGUAUAACCAUAAUCUCCAGGCAUCGCUCCAUAGUCUACUUUGUUUGCAUACGAGGGCUUAGUUAAUACCAAUUUCGAGAGCCCAUUAGCUGUUGAUUGGACUCUACAUUUCCCCCGAUUCUCUAUCAUCUCUAUCUCUUCAUUAUCUUUUACAGCCCCAAUCCUUAACUCUCCUAAAGUCAGCAUUCUCACAACCUUUUGAUGAAACUCAAUGCAUUCAUCAAUGUGAUGCCCUUUCUUUCUAUGGAAUGGGCAAAAAUCAUCUUCCCUUAUGCAAUGUUCAGAUGGUUUCUCCAAAUGUCCAGAUUGUACCAACAUUUCAUACAGCCUUGCCAUGGUCACUCUCAGCACCUUCUCUUUACUACCGACCUCCAUAGUAUUCACUCCACUACCACCUACAGCAUGUUUGGGUAGAGGGUUUGAAUUCACAUUAGGCGAAUCUUCAAAAGUGACCCUUCCGAUUUUGAUCAACUGCGAUACCCUUUUCUUAAAAGCUACGCAGUUUUCGAUGUUGUGACCCGUAUUACUAGCAUGGUAUUCACAAGUCAACUCGGGGUUGUACCAGGUAGGGAAAGGCGGUUGCAUAGGAGGUAAUGGUAGGGGAGCUAUCUGCCCAAUACUUAGUAACUUGGCAUAUAACUCCUUUAGGGUUAUUGGCAAAGGUGGUAAUUGUUCUUCUAGUUGUCGGUUGUCUCUCCUUUGGUAAUUGUUUUGGCUAUUGGUGGGGAAUUUUGUUUGAUGGGGUUGGUUUGGGACGGAGGGUUUGGAAAAGUUGAUGCUAGUGAUUUGGGAGGUAGGUAUUUGGUAGUUUUGGUAGUUUUUUCCUCUCCCUUUAUAACUGUCUUCUAGGUUAUUUACCUCAAUUUCCUUCUUCUUCCCAACAAAACCCCUCUUCUCUAUAGGUUCCGCAAUUCUCCCACUUCGGAUUCCUUGCUCAAUCCUUUCAGCAAUUCGCACAGCAUCAUAGAAAUGUUGGGCUGAGCUACCCAUAAGAUGCUCAUAGUAUGGGGCCCUAAAAGUAUUGGCAAACAACGUUACCAUCUCCGUCUCUAUUAGUGGAGGUUGUACAUUGAUAGCUUGGUCUCGCCACCUCUGAGCAUAAGCCCUCACGGACUCUUGAGUUCCUUUCUCCAUGGUAAUUAGACUGGUCCUAUCAGGAGCAAUCUCAAGAUUGAACUUGUAUUGUUUUAAGAAAGCAUCUGCCAGAUCUGUCCAUUUCUUGAUCCUAACGUUGUCCAGCCUCAUAUACCAGCUGAGGGCCGAUCCUAUCAAGCUAUCUUGGAAGAAGUAAAUUAGCAACUUAUCAUCGUGGAUAACUUCUGCCAUCUUGUUAUAGUAGGAACGAAGAUGGGUCUUUGGGCAUUCCAUCCCGGUAUACUUAACAAACUCCGGCACUCUGAACUUCUUUGGAAUUACGAUGUUAGGUACCAAACAUACUUCAGCGGCCCUAAUUGGGUCAAAUAAAUCAUUUCCUUCAACUGCCCUUAGCCUCUCUUCUAGCGCAGUCCAUUUAUCAUACCCAACAUGAUCAGAGAAUCUGACGUCCUGUGGAUCCUCGUUUGUUAAAUCCAUUGUAAUAGGGAUUUGGAUGGGCCGAGUGGGAUUAGGAUGCUGCUUAUGUGGUGUAUUUGCCCCCAUGUUUAUAGGUGCGACAAGGAUUUGAGCUGCUGCUGGUGCUUCAUCAGUUUGAGUAGACGUUCCCUCUCCAUCUUUGGCUCUCAACAUUUGCUCAAGCAAACUGGUCAGGUGCGCCACAUCAUUCCGAACUCCUUCAAGUUCCCUUUGAUACUAAGCUUCUGGUUGUGACCUUUCUUCAUUUUCCAUCCUUUUUCUUUGUCGAGUGUUGUGGAUUCUAGAAGGGGGACCUAUGUUUCUUAGUCUGCAGAUGCGUGUAUAGAUGUAUGAGAAAAUGCAUGAUUGAGAAUGCUUUGUAUAUUAGGUAUGGAUGCAACCUUCUUGUGAACGAAUAAUAGCCACCACCUUAUAAACAUAGGUUCUUUUGUCACAUUGCUAGGAGUACUGCCUUUGAAGUCGUUUGCUUGAAUCAUAUUCACCAAGAGACAGAUUUUGCAUAAGAAGAUGGGUCAACGCCCUUUUCAUUAAUGCUUGAUAAGUUUAUUACAUUAAUAAAUAAAAAGGAAAUACAAAAUUUAUUAAUCCCUUUCCUCCACAAACUCUCUAGCCAAAGGUAAGAAGGCAAAACCACGGUUCUCAAUCUUCCCUAGAAAGACAUCGGUUUCAGCUAGGCUUCGGCGAUAGCGAAUGAUAUCCCCUCCCACAUUCCGCGCAUUAAUUCUAAUAAUUCGAGCAUGUGCAGCAGCUUCAUCCAUUUGCUCAUCUGUCUUGGUCAUCUUUUCUAUGAGCAACAUAUUGGUUCUGUUCAAAGCAGUGUUGUUGGCGUCGAUUUGAUCCUUGUGUUUUUCCAUUGCUGCUAGCUUCUCGUCCAAAUACUUCACCUUUUCACGUUCCUUAUCAAGUUUUAUCCUCAUAACUUUUAUCUCAUUCCUCUUAACCGCUAAUUCUGUUUCAAAAGCCUCAAAACCUUUCCUUUUAUUAUCUUUUUUUGCAAUCCCCAUUAAACGGCUUUCCAACUCCAUAUAUUUCUUGUUCAAAUCCUCAUACUUCCCAAUCCUAUCCAUCAAUUCAAACUGGACUUGUGCAAAUUUUUCUUGGAAAUAUUCUGCACUUCCUUGGCAAUCGUUAAAGUCAAUCUCCAUUGCUUCAAGUUCAGAGCAACUUUGCAUCCAAUCCAAACUCAUCCCUCUUAGCUCCUUCUCACUCUUUUCCCUAGCAAUCUUCUCCUCACCCAGCUUUAACUCAAGCUUUGUUAUUCGCGCAUCUCUAGAUUGUAUUUGCUCAUCUAGAAAUGCUCUCCUUUUAUCUUCUUUUAGCAUCAUUUCUUCCAACAUUGCCUUAUCUUUUCUGCUUUUGCUCAACUCUGUCCGAAGUUUUUCCACUUGUCUUCUCAACUCCUCUUCAUUAUUGACCCUUUUCCUCUUAACAGACUCUUCUAUAGUUUGGGGAGAUUUAGCCUCUACACAAGGCAUGGCUAAAGCAGCUAAGUCUCUCCAUCUUGCAUAUCCUUCGCUUGCACUUGGAUCCUUUAAACCUUCUAUCUCAACCAAAACCAGAUGCUUCCAAUCUUGUUUGAUGAUCUCCAAAACUUCUUGUGCAAUGGGAUCUUUGAACAAACCAAAGAAUUGAGCAAUUCCCAUAGUCCUUGGAACAAACUGCAUGCCCCCAAGUUGCCUUACCACCAGGGCAGGAGCAUAACUUACAUAACCUGUAAUCCCUACCAAUGGUACCCAACGUCUUUGUCCACAACUCAUUAGGACUUUCACUAUCGUUACCCAUGGGGCUCUCCACUUAAAAUCACUAUUAGGCAAACCUUCUAAUUUGUCAACCCAACCUUGGUUGUCUAGAUCCACCCAUUCUUCUUCUUCUACUAACUUCAGGGGUCUUUGGGUGAACCACCAAAAAUUAUUGAAGACGGGUUUUUUUGUUUCGAUAUGGCUAACCAUCCAGAUAUACAACAACUGCGUGCAGCAUCUCAUUGCCCCUUUUCCGGUCCUCCUACAAUGAUUAAGCGUCAAGAUGGUUUCAGCUAAAAUCGCAGCCACUGGAUUGAUUUGUGUAUUCUCAUACUCUACAUAAGCAGCAGCGGCCUCCAAACUCACUAAACCCGUCUGACUUGGAAACAACACAAGGCCAAAUAUGCCCAAGGCAAUCAAUCUCUCUUUUUCUAAUCCUGACUUCUUUUCCAGUUCAAUUUCUAGCAUCCUCCAUUUCAGACCGGUAGCAUUCUUUUCCAAAAACUUUUCCAAGUUGGAGAUUCUGAGCAGUUUUGACAGUUCGGGGAUGAUCUUGUCAGAUCUCAAAGGCAAAUAAAUCCGAUACAGAUUGUUUGGAAACUCAGUCAACAUCCCAUAUUCCUCCAUAGUGGGACAUAGGUCUAUACUUCCAAAAGAAAAACACCGGUAGUCUGGAUCCCAAAAAUGAACUAUGGCUCGCACAGCUGGGCUUAAAACUUCUACCCUUGCAAUUUCCAUCAAACGUCCGUAUUUAUUAAAAAAUGCAUCCUUAUCCACAUUCUGAAAGUGAGUCGUUAACUUGUUCACCUCAUUCAUAAUGCAAUUCAGGUUCUUGAUUGGUGACAGUUUCUUAGCAUCGCUUCUAAGGCAGUCUCCUUCAGUCAAUUGUGACAGUUCAGAAUUUUUCCCAUAUUCUAUGAUGGAAAAUUUAGCAAUGGUGGCCAUUUCGUUCACAAGUCCUGCAAUUCAAAAUGCCUUGGGGUUAGACUUGUUUUGAUACAAAAGAUAUUAUGGAUCAUACAACCUAAGGAUAGGUUCUAGUUCCUUUACGUGAGACAUAGGGUAGGUUUACUACUUGGUCUCUAAAAAAGGGUCUCUUGCUGUCCCAGUGAUCGCCCUCGUAAAGGCAAUAUGGGGGUUCAGCAGAUAGUGGGAUGGCACAUGUACCAAUCACUAUCAGUCUAAACACUCAGCAAAAAGUUGGGGUUUACACAAACUUAAACCUUGACUCAAGUCAUAAGGCAAGCUGCUAGUUCCCCACUUAGCUUAAAGUUAAAUGUGUGUGCCCUCAAAAAAAAAAAAAAUAAUAAAGUGAUGCAUGAUUAUACCAUGUAUGACAGAAUGUAAAGAUGCAUGCUAAAGCUUUUAAACAAGGUAUCAUUCAUAUAAGAAAACAAAAAUCAAUAACACAUAGCAUAAACAAACAAAUUACCAAGCCUAGUCCUAAGUCCCCAGUGGAGUCGCCAUCCUGUCGCACCCUCGCGGCGGAGCGCGGCGUCGCGGUGACCAUCGAUUGAUUUCGGGGUCUUUUUGUGUAAAGGAGUCGCCACCUAGUAUUAUGGUCACUAGGAAACCUAACUGGUCUUUCAGAGAUUCUAAGGCAAGGGACUGGUUGCGUAAAGGGAAGGUAUUAGCACCCCUAGUACGCCAUACCUAAGGUAAGCUGCUUAGUAUUUGGUUUGUCUUAUAAUUGCUAUGGUGUUGAUGUUUUCUAAUCCCAUCAGUUUUCUAGGUUUUGAUUCAAACUAAAUUUAUUAGGAUAGAAACCCAAGGAAGUUCCAUGUGCUUUAAAAGCUCAUUUUCCCCUUAGUUUUUCAAGGGUUUGCGACUCAUAAAUCGCAAGGAGGAGGGGCAAAAAUUUAGAAAUCUAGGGUGCUUUAAAAACCUAUUUUUUUUGUCUUAGUGUUUUAACUCUCACAGCUCGUAAAUCGUGGAAAAAAAAUUUGAAAUGUCCUCGAUUAUAAUCAAGGCUUCUUUCAAGGAUGUGUGCGGAUUUAUUACUCCCAAUAAUAUUUUGGAUAUUCGUCCUUUAAGGAUUUCUUUAUCCAAACAUUAGCGGUGAAUAAUAGAUGAAUUCCCCUCAAAAUAAGAUUUUUAUAUUUUUUGGAAUAUUGACCAAUACCCUUUGGAGUUUUACAAACAUGUUGUAAAAUCCAGAAAUGCAAGAAAAACAAUUUUUGGUGUUUAAGAAAUCCAUGCGAAAACACAUUUUCGAAACUUCCAAUGUUUUUUUGUGUAUAAAAAAAAGAGCGUUCAAAACAUGUUAGGGUAUUGGCCGUAUGCAACACGCAAGAAAAUAUUUUUUAUUUGAUCGAAACAUAAGCAUCACGGUAAUCACAAAUAAAGACAACAAGUCAUCACAUAUAUUUCAAAAAAAAUCAUAAGCCUUAAACAUUUCAGUUAAAAUAAAGCAGGAGAAAAAUAAAAAAAGAAAAGCGCUCCAAAGCCAAAACUCAUCAAAUAGAAUUUGAUCCAUCAAAUCACUCAGAGCCUAAACAUAGCAUGACCUAUUAUUUUCGACAGAAAAAAAAAACAAAAGAGUCCAUAUCACGUAAAAAAAAAACAACCCUUUGAACCCAAUCCUAUAGCAAAACCCCUGACUCCUUUUUCUGUCUGUGUUAAAAACCCAAACUGCGCCUAAAAGCCAACUAUUCCUAUGCAACAUUCUAACAGAGAGCACUCGGACAAAGAAAUGAAGGAAUAAUGAAGACCCUUAAAGUUUAAAAUUCCUCUCAAUAAGAGAGCAAAACAAACGCAACUCUAACAUAUAUAAAAAAAUCUUAACUCAAAGACACGGGAGGGACAGUGGGCAAGCAUGCAAAUUUGUAGCUAAGAUAGAAAACGAAGGUGCAAAACCAGAAGACAAAACAGUUUUUAAACAUCAAAAACAAGGACCUGCAGGUCUCACUGAAAUGUCUUAUUGCAGCAGCUGAAAUCAAAACCAAACGAACGUUGCUGACAGAGUUUAGAGCAAAACCCGACUCACGCCUCUCCUUUUUCAAAGCAAUGCAGGUCUUACUGAAAUGCUUUACUGCAGCAGCUAAAUAUAAACCAAAUGAACGUUGCUGUCAAGGCUUAGCAGCAAAGCUCCCUCUCCGUCUUGUCUUUUUUUCCUCCUCUUUCCUCACAGUAACUCAAGAAUGCAAGAAAGAAACUCUCUCUGUUUUUCUGCUUUUUUUCUACUGCCUCUCUCUUGCGUUUUUCUUGUCUUUCUUUUCCUAUCCUCUCUCCCGUUCUCUCUUUUUCUCUUAUUUUUCUGCUCCCUUUUUUUGCUAUUUUUUUGCUCUCUUUUUGCCGCCCCUUGCUAGGUCAUUAGAGGGGUUUAUAUAUAGUCUAGAAUAUCUCUAUUUAGGAAAGAUUUAAUGCAUUAAUUCUAGGACAUAAAUCCCUACUGAUUUGCAGUAAAAAAACGCAAAAGGAAGCUGCAAUAUUCUGAUUUUGUGCUGGUGCUUUACGUCUGAUUUCUUUCCAGUUUUAGAGGAGGGUGUGGCUAUUUUCUUUCCUUCCAUAGGGCCAGCUGCUCCCUUUCAAAUGAGGCAAGAAAAAACGUGGUUGCAGCUCCAAAAUUCAGGCAUGAUGAUAAAGGAAAAACAGCAGGAAUUUGCAGCAAAAAAAAGGAAAGAAAUCAGAUGGAGGGUGCAGCUGCAAAGUCUCAUUUUCCUUAUUCGGUGUGGAAAAAUUCCUGUCAUUUAUGAUGAUCCAGCCCCCUCUCCAGCUUUCAAUAUCCUUCUUCAAUUCAAUCCCUCAUUUUAACAAUUUUUGAUUCAGUCCUGGGUCCAAAAAAAAUCCUUCGAAUCAGCCCCGCGAACUUGGGCUAUAUCCUUCCCGCGGCAGAAUUUUCUGUCCUCACGUUAGAUAUUCAAAUGGGAAUAUCUUGAGCUUCUGAUAUCAAAAUCAAGUGAUUCAAAAGCCCAAAUUCAUCUACACGUCUAGGACUAAAACUUUAAUGAAGAAGUCGAAGUGAGAUAAAAUCUUUUUACAGAACAGAAACUGGCAGUAAUCUAGUUGGUCAAAAGGAAUCUCCGGGUCUAACUCAAAAACUGACGAAUGUCGAGAAUCCUGAUAUGACUGAGAGUAUGAACUAAGAACGAAAAUCACAAAAACUAGGCCAAAAAUAGAGUUUCUUUAGUGUAGACUCGGGUCAAUAUCCUUCUCGCGGCAGAAUUCUCUGCCUUCACGUUAGAUAUUCAAACGGGAACAUCUUAGGCCUCUGAUAUCGAAAUCAAGUGAUUCAAAAGCCCAAAUUCAUCUACGCGUCUAGGACUACAACUUUGAUGAAGGAGUUGAAGUGAGAUAAAAUCUUUUUACAGAACAGAAACUGGCAGUAAUCUAGUUGGUCAAAAGGGAUCUCUGGGUCUAACUCAAAAACUGACGAAUGCCGAGAAUCCUGAUAUGACUGAGAGUAUGAACUAAGAACAAACAUCACAAAACUAGGCCAAAAAUAGAGUUUUUUUAGUGCAGACUCGGGUCAAUAUCCUUCUCGCGGCAGAAUUCUCUACCUUCACGUUAGAUAUUCAAAUGGGAACAUCUUGAGCCUCUAAUAUUGAAAUCAAGUGAUUCAAAAGCUCAAAUUCAUCUACGCGUCUAGGACUACAACUUUGAUGAAGGAGUUGAAGUGAGAUAAAAUCUUUUUACAGAACAGAAACUGGUAGUAAUCUAGUUGGUCAAAAAGGUUCUUGAUCUGACAAUACUGAGCAUCCAAAUCUAAAUGAGAAUCUGCUCUAAGAACAAUGAUCCCUAGGACCUAAUAAAGGUGUACGUCAAUUUUUCAAUAUGUAAUGAGUGACAGGAUAUACCUAGGAUGGUCAGAUAUCGUACGAAACUGAGUCAGAAUCAGAGCCUAAGUUGGAACCAAAAAAAUUGCGACAGCAGCAGAACUAUUUUUUUAGUGCAAAUUCUGAGGGAUUUAUUCAACCUUAAAGACCAGAUAAAAAAUAAUGAAUUUAGCAUUAUGAAGACUCCUGAUCAAACUAAGAAAACCUGAUGAUUUUGGUAGUAAAGGGGAAGGAUAAAAAGAGCAGAAAACAACUCAAACAAGGUUUUAAAAUAUUUCUUUAUGUGCCUUUGUCAAUCUUUUGGUGAAUAUGAGCUAAACUCCUACACUCUGUUCAAAAGAGGUAUACACUGUCUUCAGCACGUGGGGUCCAAAAUUGAGUAACAACAACUGUUUCUACUCCAUUCUGCAACGUUGAUUUUGCUACUGCUUCAACAUUUUCUGCUAUUUUCUUUGCUAUUGUUUCAUCUUCCCUGCAAUUAUCUGCUAUCAACUUCUGUUUUCUACUCAUCUUCUGUAAUAUGGAUCCUUUGUUUUUUGCUACAGUUGGCACCACUAGCAGUCCUUCUUCUCCCAACAUUAAUGUUGUCACGCUUCCCUCUACUGCGACAGCAGCUGUUAUUCCACUGCCAAAUACACAGCAGGCCAUCAACCUCAAACUCACCAAUUCCAAUUAUUUAUUUUAGCGUAUGCAAAUGAAGCCAUAUCUGAUUGGCUAAGGGUGUUCUCGUUUGUCGAUGGCUCGUAUUCUUACCCUUCUCUGCUUGAUCUGUCCAGUCACUCUACUGUCACCUCUACAAACAUUAAUUCUGGUCCUUCCUAAAUGUUUCUCUCAUGGAAACAACAAGAUUAACUCAUACUCAAUGCUUUACUCUCAUCCUUCUCCAUUGAUGUUCUUCACCUUGUGGUGGACUGCCCAACUGCAGCAAGUGUUUGGAGCACCCUUGAAAGUACCCUUACCUCUCCAUCCAACUCUAGGAUUAUGCAAUUAUAUGGCUCUCUUCAGGAUCUUCAUCAAGGUGAUGAUAUUGUCACUCUCUACCUGCAGAAAGCUAAAGGCUUAUUUGACGAACUAGCCGUAGCAGGCAGGCCUAUCUCCUUCACUGACUUCAAUCUCUAUGUUUUUCGAGGCCUUCGCGAUGAAUUUUGAGAUUUGGUUACUAGUCUGUUGACCAACGUUAAGCCUCAUCCAUACUCUGAGCUCCAUAGUUACUUGUCUACACAUGAAUUUUUACACAUGAGCUCUCUUCAAUCCAUUCCAGCUACUGCACCGUUGCUACCCACACCCUCCCUCUACAUAUGCUGCACAACGUGCCUUUGUUGGAUUUAAUGGCAGUGGCUCCUCUUCUUAUUGGGGUAGAGGAAGAAGAGGAGGCUGGAGAGGUAACUUUUGCAGCAAUUAUAACCAGUACCCUAGCCAGCCUUACUAUGGAAACAGUGGGAGCUCCUCCUAGCAGAACAUAGGAGCUACGACAUCAACAAAAACAAGGAGGGCAACACCAGUGGCCUCGACAGAUUAGAUGCCAACUUUGCAGCAACAUCGGACACUCUGCACAACAAUGUUCUUAGCUUGUGCAUAAUGGGAAUCAAGCUUCAACCAACCUCUCCUUUAGUGAUGCUUUAACAACAAAUCCUAUCACUUGGUUCCCCGAUACAGGUGCGAAUCAACAUGUUACUUCGAACAUUGUCGGUAUGACACAUGCAGACCCUUAUCUUGGUAAUGAUCAAUUGUAUGUUGGUGAUGGCAAGACACUUAUUAUAUCUAAUACAGCUCAUAAAAUUUUGCAUGCUCUAAAACGAACCUUUACUUUGUCUAAUAUUCUACAUGUUCUAAAAAUUAAGAAAAGACUCUUAUCUAUUCAACAAUUUUGUCAUGAAAAUUGUGUCUUUUUUAGUUUCACUCUUUUUUUUUUCUAUAUGAAGGAUCUUAUAUCCAAGAUAGUGUCUUCCCCAGGCUUUUCUAUCUACCUUUGCUGAUGUUUGGCAUCGUCGUCUCGAUCAUCUCAGCUCUCAUGUUCUAAGUCUCUUAGCGUCAAAUAAAAAGGUUGUUUGUACUUCUUGUCCUUUAAAUUUUCAAUGUCAAGCUUGUCCGUUAGGCAAAUCAUCUCGUCUGUCUUUAGGCCCUACAGGUCAUCAAACAUCUGCUCCUCUUGAACUUGUUUUUAAUGAUGUGUGGGGCCUUACUCCUAUGUUAUCUUCGGAUGGUUUUUGUUAUUUUUGUUAUUUUUAUGGAUGCACAUACAAAUUUUAUCUGGUUUUAUCCUCUUGUCCUCAAAUUUGAUGUCUUCAAUAUGUUUCAUCUCAUCAAUUUCAAGUCUUCGUCGAACGACAAUUCUCUCGAAAAAUUAAAUUUGUUCAAACUGACUAGGUGCUAAAUAUCGUAAAUUAAAUUUAUUCUGUAAAACCAUUGGUAUUCAUCAUCACCUCAUAUGCCCACAUACGCUUGAACAGAAUGGUAUUGUUGAGCGUUGUCAUCGUCACAAUGUUGAAACUAGUCUUACCCUUCUUGGUCAAUGUAAGGCACCUUUAAAAUUUUGGACUUAUGCUUUUGAAACCUCUGUUUACCUCAUUAAUUGUAUGUCUACACCAGUUUUGCGCAAUAAAUCCCCUUUUGAAUGUCUGCUUCGUCAACCACCUAAUUGAUUUUUUAUGUACUUUCAGAUGUUUAUGUUUUCCCUUCCUUCGACCUUAUAAUGCUCAUAAGUUAGACUAUCGCUUUACUACAUGUGUGUUCUUAGGCUAUAGUUCAUCUCAUCUAGGGUAUCAUUGUCUGGACUUAUUGUCUCUACAUCUCCCGUCAUCUUCGAUUUAAUGAACAAGUGUUUCCAUUUCUCGAGUCUGCCCAUCUCCCUCCACCCACCAGCCAUACCCAUCCGCCUACCACUGUCACACACCUUCCCUCACUCACCAUCUUUCCGUCUACCACACCAUCAGCCCCACCACCAAUUUCCUUUAACCCUGAUGUCCCCUUAUCACCAUCUGCCUCCAUAUAUGUUGAUCAUUUUGCAAGUACAGAGUCUGCAACACCAGUGUUGUUUGUGUGUGCGUCUCCUCCAGCUGCUGUCUCUCCAGCACGGUCAUCCAGCUCUUCCUCUCCAUCCAAAUCAUCUACCAUGUCUUCACCAAGUCUGGACCUCUGUGUUGAUUUGUCCAGUUAUACUCUUGUGUGGCACCGUCCCCUAUUCAAACCCCUGCUCCUUCAGCACAGCGACAACACCCUAUGGUGCUGAGUCCCAGAUAUAACAGGACUGCCAACAUCACUUCAGUCGCUUAUUCUUCCUCAUAACCUCCAGCUUCACGGGUAAUGUCUCCCUCCACUCUCAAACCUCUUACUUUUAAGGAGGCCGACCGUUUUAUUUGUUGGCAUACUACCAUGAAGUCAUAAAUUGCAGCUUUACAUGCCAAUGGUACCUGGUACCUUUUGAUCCCUCCAUGAAUGUGGUUGGCUAUUGAUGGUUGUAUAAAAUAAAGUGUUAAACUAAUGGUGUUAUUGACCACUAUAAGGCUUGCUUGGUUGCGCGCGGGUUCACUCAACAGGAAGGCAUUGAUUACUCAAAAACCUUUAGUCUUGUUGUUAAACCAACUACUGUUCGAUUAGUUCUCACUAUUGUCAUGUCCAAAGGAUGGCAGAUUCAACAACUUGAUGUCCACAAUGCCUUCCUUUUGUAGACUCUACUUUGCGAAAUCAUGUUUGUCUUCUUCACAUGUCUCUAUACGGUCUAAAACAAGCCCCUCGGGCUUCGUACACCCACCUGAGUGACUUCCUUCAGAUUAUUGGUUUUCAGGCUUCCAAGGUUGAUACCUCUCUCUUUGUUCUGACAAGGAAUCAUGAUAUUUGCUAUUUAUUUCUCUAUGUCGAUGACAUCCUACUUAAUGGUAACAACUUUGCCUUAAUUCAUCGCCUUAUUACCUUACUGAGUUCAAAAUUUAAGCUAUGUGACUUGGGUAAUGCUUAUUAUUUUUUGAGAGUUAAGGUCACUCCUACUAGUGUGGGACUCAUACUGAGUCAGCAUAAGUAUGUUCUUGAUAUUCUUUGUCAUGCUGGUAUGUCAUCUUGUAAACCUGUCGAUACACCAGCCUUUGUUUCUAAGCUUGAUCUUUCGUCUACUAUGUUAUUCUCGGAUCCCACUCGCUUUUGAUAAAUUGUUGGUGCUCUUUAGUAUCUCACAUUUACUAGACCGGACAUUUGUUAUGUUGUUAACAAGGUUUGUCAGUUUAUGCAUACUCCUACUAAGAGUCAUUGGGCUGCUGUUAAACGUAUCUUACGCUACUUUAAAGGUAUGUCAUCUUAUGGCAUCCACCUUACUCGUGGCUCCUCUUUAUCACUUCAUGGGUUCACUGACGCAGUUAGAGCGGGGAGUGUUGAUGAUCGAAAAUCUACUCGAGGAUAUAUUGUUUUUCUUAGUACCACACUUGUUUCAUGGAAAUCUGGAAAGCAAUGCACUGUUGCUUACUCCUCCACUGAAGCAAAGUAUAAAGCUUUGGUUGAUGGUACUGCUGAGGUUCUUUGGUUACACUAUCUUCUGACAGAUCUGUGUUUUCCCCUAGUUCUGUUACUACUAUCUAGUACGAUAAUUUGGGUGCUACUUAUGUAUUUGCUAAUCUGAUUUUUUAUGCUUAAACAAAAGAUGUUGAAGUUGAUUAUCACUUUGUUCGUGACCGGAUGACCAAAAAGGAGAUUCAGAUUUGCUUCAUCUCCUCCAAAGAUCAAUUAGUAGAUGUUCUUACUAAGCCACUCUCUUACUCUAUAUUUGCUCUUUUAUGUUCCAAGCUUCAUGUGGAUAACUCACCUUCAACUUGAGGGGGUGUAUUAUGGAAUGUGUUAGAAUAGGAAAUAUUGUAUUAUUAAUGUAUUGACUUAUUAUGUGUAAUAUGCUACACCAUAACACAUGUACUACCCUAAUUAUAUAAAUAGCAGAGGUGGCAAUCUGACAUGAUCAAAAGAUUGAUGUCUUAUCCCAAGUGCAGGAGUAUCGAAGUAAUAAAUAACUCAGCAAGACCGAGGUCGAACCACAGGGAGGUGAACUAUAUAAAAUUAUAAACAAUAAAUGAAAAGGAGUUGAAAAGAACUUUUGAGAUGUGAUAUUGAUGUAAGGAUUAAACAAUGAUAAAACAAUUGUCAAUGUUAAAGGACCCACUAAUGGUAUUUCAAACAAGUAUAGUAUAAACUCUUUUUAUUACUCAACUGAAAACCACACACAAAGGAGGUUCCAAUCGAAUUAUAAAUUCUUAACAUGAUUAUAUUAAUUAUCUUAUUUGAGUAAUGUUAAUACUUGUAAAUGUAGUCAGGUAUUCAUGAUUAUUUCUUGCCCUGUUCUCCUGAGAGAUACAUUGUGUUCCCUAGUUUGCUUGUUGUUUGGCUUGUUGCUGGAUGUGGCUUGCUGGUUGCUGGUUGCUGGUUGUUGCUUGCUCCUCUCUGCCUUGCUUGUCAGGCCUGUUGAUUGCUAUUUGGCUUGUAGCUUGUUGCUUUUACUGUAGAAGCCUGUUCCCCCUUUUUGGGAUGUUUGGUUGGUCUGCUGGAUCGGAUCUUCUGUUUGUAUAAGGGCGCAUGUUCCCUAGUGAUUUUCGGUGUGCUUGUCCUGGGGAGGCUGUUCCCCUGCACACGCCUUUGUGUUGUACUUGUUUUGCAAGCUAAGCUUGCUUUGGUUUCUUUGCUUUAUGGUCCGGUUGCUUGUUCAGGGGAGGCUGUUCCCCAGCACAAGCCUUUUGUUUUCUUAUGUUCAGCAAGAUCUUCUUGCUUUAGUUUUCUAAGGGCAUAUGUUCUCCUUGGCUGCUGCUGCUGCUGUCUGUAAUGUUCUGCUGGUUUCCAGCUUGUAUUGCAAGCUUGUCUUGCUAUUUUCGAUCUAUAUACUUCUUACAUUUGAUAAAUAAAAAAAACAAAUCAAGUUCCUUUCAUAGCAUAGGUGUUGGUUAUACCAUAUAGUUGGCUAUGAAAGGGUCAAGUAUUUGUUGCACCUAGGCUUCUACACCACAAAUCUAGAUUAACCAUUUAACAAGCAAGGUAUUAAGAGUGAGUAAGACAACAAAUACGAAACAUGUUGGUAUCAAACAUUAAAAUCCAUGUUGAGUUUAUAUUAUACUUAUUCUUACACCAUUAGUGUAUCCUUUUCACCUUGACAAAAUUAACUUAGCUAAACAUCAUGAAGAAGAAAAACAUAAAUAAACAAUAUAAGAACAUGAACAUGAUAUAAGUUAACUAAGAAUAGUAAAGAAAAUGGAAAGCAUAAACAAGAGAUUGAUAUAACAUAAAAUAAAACUUGAACAUUAAAAUAAAAAGAGAGAGAGUGAUCUUGAUCUGAAAACCAAAAUGUCUAAAUGUAUGGUAAAUGCCUCCUUUUAUAGGCUAAAAUUCAGAACUAUUGAUUUGAUGACUAAUUAUUGAGUGGAUGGCCACCUCUUGACUUGGUGACAACCAUUGUCUUCUUGUCUGAACAAAACAUCAUUGCUAACGUUAGAAUUUAAACAGAUAGUCUACAUGAACAUUCUGGGCAUUUGUCUCAGCUUUCCAACAAAACAAGAAUGAGCUCAUUUGGAUAUCUAGAACUCUAGAUAUGAGCUGAACAUUGAACAGUGUUUGGGCUGCAAGACAGAUUCCAACUUCUCUUUUGUUGCUACAAUUUGAACUUGAAAAUGACCCAUUUGAAUUUGGACUCUUCAUUAAAGUUUUAGGCCUAUGUCUUAGCUUUCCAUCCAUAUAAACCAGACCUAAAUCCAAGUUAUACAGCUCCAGUUAUGAUCCAAUAACCGAAUGGUGUUCCAGUUUGAAUUGAACCAUCAUCUCUUCUUUAAGCUUAGCCCUCUUUUUGUCUUUUUACUUUCAAUAGUUAAACACAUCAAUCAAUCCUUUAAAUUGAGAGAUUUGCCUGCAUUCAAAAUGAGCAUUUACCAUAAAUCAAAGAUAUCUUAUGUUAUCGUGCUUGCUAUUAUAAAACAUGCUCAAGUUAGGGAAUUUAAUGAUAUUUUAAGUCCAAUAUGAUGAUAUAAAACCUUAAUGAAAAUGCACUUUUAAGUACUAAUAACUAUCUCAUUAGGUCAAGCCUCUCAAUUAUCACAAACCUUGUUUCAGCUAUAAAUAUUUCAUUUUCUUACUAACCUCACUUUCAACUUUCUUUUUAAACUCUAAAACUUUGCUAAGGUUUUAGAUCUUUCUUUCAUGAAAUGCACCGGACAUACCUGGGGUAGUCAAUGAUAAAUGUCACCACCAUAUAGAGAUAUCCACUGAUUGAUGCCUCAUUUAUUUUUCCAAUACAUCUAGGUGGAUGAGCUUUAUGUUAGUGUAUAUAUUUAAUUUAUUAAUAAAGAUUUUUUUUAUUUUUAAUAUUCAUCAAAUAUUUGAUUAAUGAAUCUAAUAUUUGAUAAUAAGUCUAGAGUAAGGAUAAAUUCAUUAAGACAAAAAUGCUUCGCAAAAAAAAUUAUAAAAUUGUCUUGAUCUGAAACAAAAUUUAAGCAUUAUAAAUAUAAAAAGAGAGAGAGAACAAAAGCAUAAUCUUGAUCUGAAAACUAAAAUAUCUAAAUACAUAAUAAAUAUCUCUUUUUAUAGAUGAAAAUUUAAAACCAAGAUCCCACCAGCAUCCUUGGCAGAAUUUACUCUAAGCGGUGAUGGUGGGAAAGAUUAUUACUAUAUAAGCCUUGUUGAUGGCUUUAACAUCCCAAUUUCGGUAACCCCGCAAGGAGGUUCUCCUGGCUGCAGUUCUACAAGCUGUGCAGCUAACGUGAAUGCUGUUUGUGAUCCUAGUUUAGCAGCGAGGGGGCCAGAUGGGACUGUGAUUGCCUGCAAGAGCGCGUGUUUGGCAUUUAACCAGCCGCAGUACUGCUGCACAGGAGAGUACAGUACACCUGACAAAUGUCCUCCUACCCAAUAUUCGAUGAUCUUCAAGUAGCAGUGUCCUCAAGCUUAUAGUUAUGCUUAUGAUGAUAAAUCGUGCACGUUUACUUGAAGAUCACAAACAGCAUUCACGUUAGCUGCACAGCUUGUAGAACUGUGCAGCCAGGAGAACCUCCUUGCGGGGUUACCGAAAUUGGAAUGUUAAAGCCAUCAACAAGGCUUAUAUAGUAAUAAUCUUUCCCACCAUCACCGCUUAGAGUAAAUUCUGCCAAGGAUGCUGGUGGGAUCUUGGUUUUAAAUUUUUACCUAUAAAAAAAAUAUUUAUUAUGUAUUUAGAUAUUUUAGUUUUCAGAUCAAAAUUAUACUCUUGUUCUCUCUUUCUCUUUAUAUUUGUAAUGCUUAAAUUUUGUCUCAGAUCAGGACAAUUUUAUAUUUUUUUUUGUGAAGCAUUUUUGUCUUAAUGAAUUUAUCCUUACUCUAGACUUAUUAUCAAAUAUUAGAUUCAUUAAUCAAAUAUUUGAUGAAUAUUAAAAAUAAAAAAAAAUCUUUAUUAAUAAAUUAAAUAUAUACACUAACAUAAAGCUCAUCCACCUAGAUGUAUUGGAAAAAUAAAUGAGGCAUCAAUCAGUGGAUAUCUCUAUAUGGUGGUGACAUUUAUCAUUGACUACCCCAGGUAUGUCCGGUGCAUUGCAUGAAAGAAAGAUCUAAAACCUUAGCAAAGUUUUAGAGUUUAAAAAGAAAGUUGAAAGUGAGGAUAGUAAGAAAAUGAAAUAUUUAUAGCUGAAACAAGGUUUGUGAUAAUUGAGAGGCUUGACCUAAUGAGAUAGUUAUUAGUACUUAAAAGUGCAUUUUCAUUAAGGUUUUAUAUCAUCAUAUUGGACUUAAAAUAUCAUUAAAUUCCCUAACUUGAGCAUGUUUUAUAAUAGCAAGCACGAUAACAUAAGAUAUCUUUGAUUUAUGGUAAAUGCUCAUUUUGAAUGCAGGCAAAUCUCUCAAUUUAAAGGAUUGAUUGAUGUGUUUAACUAUUGAAAGUAAAAAGACAAAAAGAGGGCUAAGCUUAAAGAAGAGAUGAUGGUUCAAUUCAAACUGGAACACCAUUCGGUUAUUGGAUCAUAACUGGAGCUGUAUAACUUGGAUUUAGGUCUGGUUUAUAUGGAUGGAAAGCUAAGACAUAGGCCUAAAACUUUAAUGAAGAGUCCAAAUUCAAAUGGGUCAUUUUCAAGUUCAAAUUGUAGCAACAAAAGAGAAGUUGGAAUCUGUCUUGCAGCCCAAACACUGUUCAGUGUUCAGCUCAUAUCUAGAGUUCUAGAUAUCCAAAUGAGCUCAUUCUUGUUUUGUUGGAAAGCUGAGACAAAUGCCCAGAACGUUCAUGUAGACUAUCUAUUCAAAUUCUGACAUUAGCAAUGAUGUUUUGUUCAGACAAGAAGACAAUGGUUGUCACCAAGUCAAGAGGUGGUCAUCCACUCAAUAAUUAGUCAUCAAAUCAAUAGUUCUGAAUUUUAGCCUAUAAAAGGAGGCAUUUACCAUACAUUUAGACAUUUUGGUUUUUAGAUCAAGAUCACUCUCUCUCUUUUUAUUUUAAUGUUCAAGUUUUAUUUUAUGUUGUAUCAAUCUCUUGUUUAUGCUUUCCAUUUCCUUUACUAUUCUUAGUUAACUUAUAUCAUGUUCAUGUUCUUAUAUUGUUUAUUUAUGUUUUUCUUCUUCAUGAUGUUUAGCUAAGUUAAUUUUGUCAAGGUGAAAAGGUUACACUAAUAGUAUAAGAAUAAGUAUAGUAUAAACUCAAUAUGGACUUUAAUGUUUGAUACUAACAUAUUUUGUAUUUGUUAUCUUAUUCACUUUUAAUACUUUGCUUGUUAAAUGGUUAAUCUAGAUUUAUGUUCUAUAACCCUUGGUACAAAAAAUACUUGGUACUUUCAUAGCCCAAACCGUAUGGUAUAACCGACACAUGUGCUAUGAAAGGAACUUGAUUUGUUGUUAACAUAAGUUAUAAUCAUGAAUAUCUGACAACAUUUACAAGUAUUAGCAUUAUUCGAAUAAGAUAGCUAAUGUAAUUAUGUUAACAAUUUAUAAUCUGAUUGGAACCUCCUUUGUGUGUGGUUUCUAGUUGAGUAAUAAGAGUUUAUACUAUACUUGUUUGAAAUACCAUUAGUGGAUCCUCUAACAUUGACAAUUGUUUUUAUCACUGUUUAAUCUUUCAAUCAAUCUUACAUCUCAAAGUCCUCAUUAUUAUUAUUAUUAUUAUUAUUAUUAUUAUUAUUAUUAUAGUUAACCUCUAUGUGGUUCUACCCCGGUCUUGCCGAGUUAUUUAUUACUUCGACACUCCUGCACUUGACAGAAGACAUCAACUAUUUGGUCGUGUCACCUUCCCUUCCCUUUCUUCCUCUCUCUCUAUCCUUUCCCUUGUUUCCUUCUGCUCUCCUUUUCUUUCCCCUUCUAUUUCUCUCUUUCUUUCUGUUUUACUCUGUUCUCCUCUCUAUAAUCUCACUUGUCUCCCCCUCCAGCUCCUCUCUCGCCCUAGUAUUUAUAAGAUGGAAAAGGGGGGGAGAGGGCUGCUAUCCUUGUCCAGUCAUGGUGUAGGGGUAGGGUGGCUAUGGUGGCCUACCCCUAGAGCCACUUGCAGGGAAUGGCUCUCCUGGCUUUUUCAUCAUGGUGGUAAGCCAUGAGGGGGUGUGGGUUGUGUUGGGGUUUUGGGUUUUUGGGAGAGAGAGAGAAAUGAAAGUUGCAAAGGAGGGGAAGAAAAACCUUCUUCCCCUGCCUUUGCACGUUAGGGAAGAAGAAGACACAUAGUGCCAUUCAAAACAAAAUUAUUUUGAACUUUUUUUUAUUGAAUAGUGCAUGAAACAAUUAGAAAACAAUUAGAAAGAGGACUUUUCUUAAACCUUAGACAGACCAACAAUUAGAAAACACAACAAUACUUUAGUUAUAUCAGACAAUGCAGCUUACCUUACGUAAGAUGUAUUAGGGGUGCUAAUACCUUCCCUUUACGCAAUCAAUCCUCGUGCCCAAUCUCUGAGAGUAGUUGGGGUUCCUAGUGACCAAAAUAUUAGGUAGUGACUCUCAUUCCCUCUUUCUAAGGAUAAAAGACGAGAAUUCUUUAUCCUGUCCAUUUCCCCACACCACAUGGCAAUAUGGAAUUCUAGGAGGACAUUCACUAUGAUGUCGCACCACAUGCGACAAUUGAGAAAGGGGAUGGUUGGAUUUUGGUCUUGACUUGAGUUGUUUUGGUUGUGAUAUUCAUGAUCGAUGUUGCUGCUAGCAUUAUUAAUGUAUGUCAUUGGCAACUGCUAUCAUUAGUUGGAGGGAGUAGUUGUUGUUGUUCUAGGAUUCAAGCAAACACCUAAAGGGAGGUGAAUUAGGUGUUCCACUAAUAAUAACAAAUAUUAAAAUUAAUUCAAUUAAACACAAUUAACCAACAAUAUAAUUAGAUUGUGUAAAGUGAAGAGUAAAGGGAUAGGAAUUGUAAACUUGAUUUUUAAUGUGGUUUAGCGAGUUUAUAUACACAUCUCAAGCACCAAAUUGGUCUUGUGUAUUUUUUUCUUGCACUAGUCCAAAUUAAAGAUUAGAAUUUUCAUUUGAUGAAUCCACAUCAAGAUUUUAAACCACUUGAAGAUCAUUUCUUUUCAAGAUUUUUCACCACUUGAUGAAUUCACACCAAGAUUUUUCCCUCUUGAAGAUAUGCUCUUUUCAAAAAAAAAUUCUUGGUGAUGUUCCCUCACCAAUACCAAGAGUUUUAUCCUAACUCUCAAAGGAUUACAAGGAUGAUUUUACUCACAAUAAAACUCUCUCGAAGAGUAGAUGAUAUAAUUUAAACUCUAGUAUCUCCAUAACUUACUCAAUAGCAUUUAGAUGAUUUAUAAAGGUCUUUAUAAAGUGUCAUGAGUAUGAAAAUAAAUGCUCUAGUGCUAGAAUAUGAAUGCUCAAUUCUUAAAAUAGCUUCUGUAAUAUGUAUAUUCAGAAUCCUCUUUUAUUUUAACAAUAAUGAGAGUUGUUUAUAAGUUUCCAAAACAAACCAGCCAUUUUUAGUCGUUGUAGCUCCAUUGACGGCUGAACCAAUCAACCGAUUCAGAUUUGUCAAGCCGAUUGGUCAAUCGAUUCCUAUAGUUUCUCAGAUGUUCAUCACGGAUGAAUAAGUGGUAGACCAGUUCACUUGGUAUUACCAAGCGGUCGACUGGUUCAACUUAAAUACCAGAUUUGAAUAGUUUGAACCUACUGAAUCUUGAACCGAUAUUAAUCCUAUAUAUAUACAAAAUUAAGUGUGUAAGUUCAUUUUAAUUUUGUUAUUAAGCUAAAAUAUAAAUAUUUACUUAAUUACUAAAAUGAACAAUUAAUUCUUAGAUUCUCAUAUGUUCUUCACUUGCUUUGGUGGCUAGGUUUUAGAGAAGAAGAAAACUAUUUUUUUUUCUACACUUUCACUCCAUUUUUUUUCUACACUUUCACUCCAUUUUUUUUCUUUUCUCUAUCUUAAGUUUUUCUUCGAGGGUCACUACGGUUUCUUACCCACUCUUUUUUUUUUCUCUCUAAUUUUUCUAUGGAGGCUAGAGUGUUUUUCUACACCUCCUCCUUUUUCUUACCUUGCCUUUCUAUUAAUAAGCAACGGGGCAGGUUCUAGAAUUUUUAUAGGUGAAACAAUCAUAUCCUUUGAUUUCUUUGGGUCGAUUUUGACCCUUCAUCAUUAUUGUACAUUUGGUACAACAUGCUCGUGUUCUAUAAAGCUCACACCAAAUCUUAAUCAUAAAGAGUGGGGAGGGGAGAGAGAGAGAAGAAGAAGAAGAAGAAGAAGAAAAUGGGGCUGAAAAACUUCACUGCCAUUUUUCAAAAUCAGAUGACCCGUUUCCUUUCAAAGGGUAGCCAAAAAGUUCCCAUACACAACACACACACCCAUUAGCGAGCUUCUUCUUUACCAAAACAAAACUAAAAAAAUUAUAUCAUCAUUUUCAAGCCACCUUCUAGCUAUAACUGGAAACAAAAAAAAACAAAAAAAACAAUACAGCCUCUUUCAUCAGCGCUGUCUUUUUUCUCCACCCUCGAGUAACUUCUAUCUUGCCCCACGUUGACUCAAGGAACCAUAGCCGCUGCUUCCACAGUACCAUUAACCUGAGGUGUUCAUUACCGGAAUCAUAACCCAAGGCAGGCCAGGAGCCCACUCACAUCGUCCAUGUGCAUCUUCAGCGUGCUCGUUCUACAUUCUUGCCUCUGACCUCUCUGGACUUAGCUUUAUUCAAGCACUAGCCACUCAAAAAAGAGUGAAGAAGAGGUACGGGAUAUCCAGUGGAGCUGCCUCCAUCAUAAUCACUCAAGGUAUAAAGCUUCUACUUAUUCUCAUGUAGUUGUAAUCUUUUACAUGUGCAUGCUACUGCAAAGGCAAGCUCCCGUUUUUCCUUUAUGUGCUAUGAAGUUAACAUAUAGUGUUGUAAGGUGUGUGGAUCUUUUAAGUCCUAACCUGGUCACGGGUGUUCUUUCACUUGCUACGGAUACUGAAGGGGAUGGGGUGUGAUUUUUGCUUCAAACGCAUAUGGUCUUGAAAACUUGAUUGCAUGUCCUAAGGUCAUGUUAAGACCUUGCCUAGUUAAUUAAGAAUGCUCUUACCCAAGGUUAAAGUUCAAGAACGAUAU